rnacentral:lncRNA from 1 species
AAUAAGUUUAAUUACAAAUAAACAUCAGCUUGGAUGACACUUUACUCAACUGACAGAGGAAGGUAGCCGAUCAAACUGAUUAUGUAAACAGAAUUCUGAUUGGUCAAAAGUGUCUUCUUGUCUCAAGCUCUGAUUUUCUACCUAUUCUUGUUGGAACCUUUGAUACGGAAUAUCGAAAUUUUAAUCCCUUUCACACUUAUAAAAUGUCAAGCAAACUUUAAAAUUUGUCAUUACUGUUUUAGCCAGGAGACCAAACUGAUAGUUUGGCAACCCAUUAAAAUAAACUUUAAAAAUCGACAAGCUUAACUUGGUGUUUAUUGAGCAAAAGAGGUGCGAAAUUUUAGAAGUGACUUGUUAGAAUAUACACAUCUGUGAGGAGACAUAAAAAAGAAUAGUAAAAAUCUACUAUUCCAAAAAAACUGGUAAUGCAUACAUUACAAGUGUUCUAUGAAGUGAACAUAAGAUUGCUGCAUAAUUCGACAUGAAUGUGAAAUGACAUUAAACAUUGUAUAAGGUAAAUGAAGGUUUCUGUAGGAACGCUAAGUCAUAUUCACUUAGUGAGUUUACAUGCACAAGGAUGAAUUAUGAUGUUGUCGUUGUUGCCGUUAGAUGCUGUAAGAGCUGAUAAUGGUGAUACUGGCAAUGAGGAAUUUCAUUGUGUCAUAACAUAGAGAAAGCUAGCGAAUAGCUUCCUGGUGCAAAUGCACGCUAGACUCCCCAAGCGUAGAAAAACUGAUCUAUUUAAGGAAAUUGCUUGUCUCCUUUGUAAUAGGUAGAAACUCCAAGCAAUGUAAAAUAUGGCCCAGACUGUGAUUACCAGCAUGAAAGUCAAACUUCAAAAAGUAAUUAACCAUUUAAUGAUUUUAGUAAAUUUAUACAGAAAAUGUAAGCAUUAUACCGUCCAGCAUAAAUAAAAGUCAACUGCAUUAUAUUUUUUUCUGUAAAAACCUAUUCUGACAUUAAAUGAGUCAACUUCCCGUACAUCAUUUACAACAAAAAAAGUUUCUAAAAAAAUUCUGGAAACAAUCUACUCAUGUAAUUUAUGCACCCCCCUUAAAGUUUAUUUUUGUUUUUGUGGAAAAAUUUGCGUAAAUUACAUGGGUUUUUAUGGUACAUAUGUGUGUAUAUAUACGUAUGUGUGUGUGUGUAUGUAUGUGUGUAUAUAUAUAUAUAUAUUUGUAUGUAUAUAUAUAUAUAUAUAUAUAUAUAUAUAUGCGUGUAUAUGUAUAUUUAGCUAAAUGAUAGAAACUUGACUGAAUAUUCUGUAUUUAAAAUCACUACAAUUGUUUCGACACUAACCUUUACACCCAUAGUACAUUGGUGAAAUAUUGUGUAAUCAUUAACAUGCAUCCACAGUGUAAAAUGCUUCUCUUCUGGUAAUUGUUUGAACAAGACCUUCAGUAAAUCCUACCAUCAAUUCACUUAGUGUGGGAAUGCAUACACAAAGUGAUGUCAUUUCCAGUAGCUUACAGAAAAAAACUAAACUUACAUAUGUUUGUGUAUAUAUAUAUAUAUAUAUAUACAUAUAUAUAUAUAUAUAUAUAUAUAUAUGUUGCUCGACUAAAGGCGGUGCUCCAGCAUGGCCGCAGUCAAAUGACUGAAACAAGUAAAAGAGUAAAAGAGAGUAAAGAGUAUAUAUACAAACCAAAGACCUAUACACACACAUGUAAAUACAUACAUACAUGGCGUAGAAACAUUGCCAGAUCAAACUGGGCCUGGUGCAGCCUUCUGGAAAGCGGACGCUAAAUGAUGAUGAUGAUGAUGAUGAUGCAUGCAUAUAUAUAUAUAUUAUAUAUAUAUAUAUAUAUAUAUAUAUAUAUAUAUUAUAUAUAUAUAUGCAUGUAUGUAUGUAUUUACAUGUGUAUGUAUAGGUUUUUGGUUUGUGUUAGCUAUCACAAUGAAGGGUUUGCACAGUAAUUGCCUACAUUGGGCACUAUUGUGUUUCUUGUGUUAUUUAUGUUGUAUUUACCAAGUUCCCUUUUAAUUGUUGUUUCUCUGCUAAUUUUUGUGAUGUGCAUGUUGCUGAGACGAGCUUUUCUCUGAUUCAUAGCAUUUUAGAAGUGGAUUGUCUAAGAUCCCAUGUAAAAUGUACAUAUAUGCUUUCUAGAAUAUAAAAAAUUCUAAUGGUGAAACUCUCAUUAAGUUUCUUCAAGUUUUUUGGAGGACAAUUGCGUAAUGGUAGGCAUUAUAUUCCGAACUGUUGCUGUGUAGGAUUUGCAAGAGUGCAAAGUGCAGAAAUGGGAAAUUGAGCAUAGCAACAGACUAAAGCUUUCGCUUCAAAUAAAUUAGCACACACACUUACGCACAUAGAAUGUGUGGAAAGAUGCACAAGGGAUCUUACUUAUGGAAAGUAUAAUUAUGGAAUGGUGCAGUGAUCUGAUAAAUAUAUACUCUAAUCUACAGGUAGCAGAGUUCUGAAAUUAUGGUCAAUUGAAGAACCUACUCAGCCAAAUUUGAAUGGUCUUUUAAUUUCUUUCAUUCUUUGCCAUAUGCUUUCACUGUUACUACACUGUACCAUUCACUACAAUUCUGAGUAUCUGUUUAUUAACCCGUUCAUUAUCAUAUUCCUACCCCAAAUACACUGUAUUUGUUUCAGAUAAUUUUGGAAAUGAUGAAUUUCGUAAAAUAACUUUCCUCUCAUUAAGCUGGUGUUUCGAACAUAAAUUAACAUGAAAUUUUGUUGAAAGGUUUUAAAUUUAGAUCGCUUUAAGACAGGACAUUCGCAUCAUUGAACUGUGGGCAGUCUCAGGCAGUUUGGUAUCGAAAGUGUUAAAGAUAUAUUCCAGUUAUAUACUGGGGUAAAUCAACUAGCUGGAUGUCACCUAGCUCGCUCCUUCCCCUCUCAUUCUUGGCAUUGUGCCAAAUCAAUAAAUCAGUAUUUUAAUCUCUGAUGAGGGAGGAGACUGAAAUCUCUUCAAUAAUAGCCUCUCCCAUCACACCCCAAAACAAUAAUACAAUGUUAUGUAUUAAUUAGCAUAUGUUGGGGAAAUAGAAAAUGUGUGUGUGUGUGUGUGUGCGUGUGUGUGCUGCACGUCUGUGAUUUGCUUCAUUUCAUUAACUAUUAAUGAAUUUCAAAAAAAAAACAAGCUAAUAACAAAACAAAAAAAUAAACACUAUUCAUCUCUUCUUCUUUCACUUCUGUCUGCCUUAAUACUCUCUAUAUUUAUAUAGUCUAUCUAUCUAUCUAUCUAUCUAUCUAUCUAUCUAUCUAUCUAUCUGUCCUUCUGUCUGUCUGUCUAUCUAUCUAUCUAUCUAUCUAUCUGUCCUUCUGUCUGUCUGUCUAUCCAUCUAUCUAUCUAUCUAGAUCUCCUUAUCUGAUUAUAUCUUAUCCCUCUCUAUGUUGUCUCUGUCUUUCUCUGUAUCAUCUGUCUGUCUAUCUCUUUAAGUGUUUAUGUAUCUAUCACUAUUUUCUUCAUAUCUCUCUUUCUCCCAAUCUGUCUGUCCAUAGAAACUAUAUGACCAUGCAUACACACGCACAAUGUAUGUGUGUCUCUAUGAUUAUGUAUGUAUUUGUGUAUAUGUAAAUAUGUGUGUGUGUGUAUGUGUGUGUAUAUGUGUAUAUAUAUAUAUAUAUAUAUAUAUAUAUAUAUUACAUUAUGCUAAAGGUAGAAUGGAAAUAUCCCUAAGCUGGCUGUCUGGAACUUACCUUUCCUUCCUUUCUUUCUUUUCUUCCAUCUGUCUUUUCCUCUUUUUUUUUUCUGUCUUGCUUCACUUUUUUGGAAAAAAAAAUGUGAAGAUAGACAGAAAUGAUGAUGUUGAUAGUGAUGGUGAUAUGUUGUUGGUUGUGGGAGUGAUGUUUGUGGUAGUAGGUGUGAUAUUGGUGGUUGUGGGAGUGACGUUGGCGGUUGUGGGAGGAAGGUUGAUGGUUGUGGUGUGUUGUUGAUGGUGUCUAUUGUUUUUCGAGGAUUGUGGCUGGUGUGUGUAUAUGUGCACAUAUACACACACCAGCCAUAUAUAUAUAUAUAUAUAUAUAUAUAUAUAUAUAUACACACACACACACACAUUUAUAUAUAUAUAUAUAUACACACACACACACACACACACACACACACACACACACACACACACACAUACAUAUAUAUAUGAAUAUGUAUUUGUGGUGGAGACUCGAUGUGCAUCUUUGUAUAUACUUAUUUUUGUGUGUAUGUAUAGGUGUUUCCCUGCGUGUAAUUUUCUCUGCAUAUUGAUAUAUGUGUGUGUGUGUAUGUGCGCCUGUCUAGGUAUGCAUAGAUAGCUCUAGGUUUAUUUAUAUAUGUAGUUACAUAUCCUUCUCUGUACAUACAUACAUAUGCAUGCAUGUGUGUAUGUGUAUAUACAUAUGACUAUAUGCAUUUAUUGUUGUUUAUUUGUGUUUGCAUGCAUGCAUGUAUCUGUGUAUGUGUGUGUGUGUGUGUGUGUAUGCUUGCAAUGUUCCCAGUUACCGGUACUUCCUGUCUUGCUCCCAUAUAUAAUGUAUGUUGUCUGGUGUAUCUGUAAUAUAUGUGUGAGGUAUGAUGUAAUAUAUAUGUAGAGAGGUACAUAAUGUAUCUGUGAGAGGCACUGCUGCCACCAUGUAAUAAAUUCAACUCAUGUGAUGUCAUGUGAUGUAAUGUUUGGCCUGUACGCAGCAGCCUUGCUGCCUCUUAUCCACUUGUCUGCAUCAAUGUCUUCUUCUGCUGUUUCCUCCUCCUCCUCCUAUCUCCCCACUACACAGCUGCAGUUUUGCUGUCUAUCUAUCCAUCUAUCUAUCCAUCCAUCUAUCUAUCUAUCCAUCCAUCCAUCCAUCUAUCUAUCUAUCUAUCUAUCUAUCUAUCUCUUUCUUUCUUUCUUUCUUUCUCUCUGUCUGUCUAUCUGUCCAUCUAACAGUCUGUCUAUCUAUCUAUCUAUCUAUCUAUCUAUCUAUCUAUCUAUCUAUCUAUCUAUCUAUCUAUCUAUCUUUCUCUCUGUCUGUCUAUCUGUCCAUCUAACUGUCUGUCUAUCUAUCUAUCUAUCUAUCUAUCUAUCUAUCUAUCUAUCUAUCUAUCUAUCUUUCUCUCUAUCUGUCUAUCUGUCCGUCUAACUGUCUGUCUGUCUGUCUGUCUAUCUGUCCAUCUAUCUAUCUAUCUAUCUAUCUAUCUAUCUAUAUAUCUAUCUGUUUCUGUCUUUCUAUCUGUCUAUGUAUGUAUGUAUGUAUGUAUGUAUGUAUGUAUGUAUGUAUGUAUGUAUGUAUGUAUCUAUCUAUCUAUCUAACUGUUUGUCUGUCUAUCAAUCUGACUGUUUAUCUAUCACUCUUUCCAUCCAUGUCUGUUCAUAUGUCUGUCUGUUUGUCUGACUAUUCGUAUGUCUGUCUAUCUCUCUCUUUCUGUCCGUCUGUCUGUCUCUAUCUGUCUCUGUCUCACUUUCUCUUUCUUGGUAUCUGUUUGUCUGUGCCUGUCUAGCUAUCUGUUUAUAUUUGUUUGUCUAUCGACCUGUUUGUUUGUCUGUUUGUCUGUCUGUCUAUCUCUGUCUGCUUGUUUGUUUGUUUGUCUAUCUAGCUGUCUAUCUAUUGUUUCUCAGUUUUUCUGUCUAUCUUCCUGUUUGUCUAUCUCAUUGUCCUAUCUCCCUGAUUGUCUAUCCAUCUAUCUGUAUAUCUUUCUCUAUUUGACCAUCUUGCCAUCCAUAUAUCUAUCCAUCUCUGUAAUGUUGCCUGUCCAUUGAUAUUUGUCUGUCUGUCCAGCAAUUAAUAUAUAUCUAUCUGUCUAUCCAUACAUAUAUUUACCUAUCUUGCCAUUAACAUAUCUUUCCAUUUAUUUAUUUUUUUAGUACUUACACCCUCUCCCCCCCACACAGGUAUAGCCAUAUGGUUUUGGUUUCUGUCCCAUUGUGUAGUACCUUGGGCAAGUGUGUUUUACUAUAGCUUUUAACUAAGUAUUGUGAGUGGGUUCUGUAAAUGGAAACUAACAGAAGCUCAUAUGUAUGUAUGUGUGUGUGCAUGCAUGUUUGUGUCUCUUUGCUUUGUCUUGACACCAUGCAUUAGUAGCAAACAAGUGAUAUCUUUAUACAAGCAGUGCUGUUUAUUUUCAAUCUUCCAUGAAAACAUGUCCAGUCUUGUGGAAACAUUACCUUGCGUAGAAACAAGUGGAGGUUGGCAUCAGGAUGGCCAUCCAACCAUAGGAAAUCUGCCUUAACAAAUUCUAUGCAAGAAUCGAGAAGUGAACAUUAAAUGAUGAUGAUGAGAUGUGUGUGUAUAUAUAGAGAGAGAUCUUUUACUUAUUUCAGUCACUUCAAUGUGGCCUUUCUGGGGCACUGUGUUGAAGGGUUUAGUUGAGCAAACUGCCUCUGCUACUUAUUUUACCUUUUGUUUUUUAAGUGUGGUACUUAUUCUGUUCAUCUCUUUAGCCAAACUACUAAGUUACAUGAGAUGUAAACAAGCCAACAUUGGUCGAGUUAUGGCGGAGGGGGAGACAAACGCAAAGCACACACGCGAACACACACAAACACACACACACACACACACACACACACAAGGCUUCCACACAGUUUCCAUAUAUCAAAUUCACUCAUAAGGCUUUUGAUGUCCUGGGCUUAUUGCAGAAGACACUUGUCCAAGAUGAGAUGUGGGAUUGAACCUGAAAUCAUGUGGUUGCAAUGUGAGCUUCUUAGUCACAAAGCCAAUACCUGUUUGUCCUGUUCCACUACCUACCAGUCUAUAUAUGUAUCAAUAGUUUUAUCCAUUUUUCAGUCUGCCGCUUUCUUUUUUACAUUUAUGCCAUUUUUCUGGUGUCCAUUCAUCUGCCAGUAUUUCUCUCCAAUUUUCUCUAUCCACCCCCUCUCUCUCUCUCUCUCUCUCUCUCUCUCUCUCUCUCUGUGCAUAUAUAUGUAUGUAUUUCUAACUAUCUUCUUCUUUCACAGUCUUUCCAUAUAUCUGGCAGUCUCUUGCUAUGUCUGACAAUCUCCUGUUUAUCUCAUUUUCUGUAUGCAUCUAUCUGUCUUUCUCUACCAUAUACUUUCCAUAUCUCUCUGUCUGGUGAUGUUGAUAAAAAAGAAAAUUCUUCGAAAAAAAGAUAAAUUCAUCAAGUCUUCAUUUACCUGCUCACCAUAUACAGACUACAUGUUACAUGUUUGUUCUUUCUGCAUUUUCUAUUGGUACCUUGACAGAUUUUAUCCCCUAAAAAUGGCAACUCUAAUCCAUCCAUCUGAAAUUUCUACCUUUCAAACUUAAAACACUCUCUGUCUCACCUCACUUUCUUACCUUGUUCUAAUCAAGUUAACCUUUCCACAGGGUCUGUUUCUAGAAUUCACUAACUUUCAUCAAUUACAAACCUGCAAAUACCCACAGUUAUUAUUAACCACAUUAUUUUUACUCAGUCAGUGUUUUCACACUCUAGCAGAAUAUGAUGGAAGUGCUUGAGAUCAGCCCUAUUCUUUUGUCUUUAGAUAUACAUAUUGAAGAAAAAAAAAGAAAGAAAAAUCAUCUGGUCCAGUCAGACAGAAUACCUAAAUUUCAGGCUUUGUGCCAAUGUUAGAAACAAUUAUUUUUCAGUGAGUCGGCAGAAUUGUUAAUGUGCUGGAUGAAAUUCUUAGCGGUAUUUCACCCAUUGCUACAUUUUGAGUUCAAAUUCUGCUGAGGUUGACUUUGCCUUUCAUCCUUUUGGAGUCCAUAAAUUGAGUACCAGUGAAACACUGAGGUCACUUGUAAUCAGCUAGUCCUCUCCUCCCAAAUUUCAAGCCUUGUGCCUUUAACAGAAAGGAUUAUUUCUAACAUACAGGUGGCAAGCUGGCAGAAUCAUUCCCAGUACUCACCUGGUACUUAUUUUAUUGACUAUCAAAAGAUGAAAGGCAAAGUUGACCUCAGUGGUAUUUAAACUGAGAGUGUAAAGAGCUGAAAGAAAUGCUGCCAAGCAUUUUGACCAAUGCAUUAAUAAUUCUGCCAUCUUGUUACCUUAAUAACAAUAAGAAUAAUUUCAUCAUUUUUAUUUACCACAAGGUCCCAUUCAUUCCUACAAUAUGUUAGAAAUAUGGUUUACUUGGCAUGUGAUGAUGUACAAUCAUAAAAGAGAAUGAGAAAUUAGUAAAAACAUUAUAUAUUGAAACACUGUAAAAAAUUGUUGAUAUAAAUGCUAACUACACAAAAUAGAUAUCUACAAAUAAAGGUACUCCAAUCAUGCACAGAAGAACUGCAUCCAAAGUUAAAUCAAAACUCUCCAUGAUUCUAAUUACACUCCACCUUCAUACAUUUUUCACCUAAGUACUGAAAAUUUGAGCAACUUGAGUGUUGGAGUGGGUAAGCAGGGGCUCAUGCUCCCAUGGUGGUUAAGCUGUCACACUUUGUAAUGGUGUAAGUUGAUGCUCAUAUGUACAUAUGUAUCUUUCCAUCUGAGUCCAUUUUUUGCCAAUCUGCACUUUUUGUUAAUUGCUCUUGCAAUUUGUUUAAAUUUUUUCCCCGCUGGUUGGUCAUUAUUCAAAGUUUUGUGGACUUCAUAACUACCGAGGUGAUGUGUCCUUCUUUGUACAUUCUGCUUACUUUUUGUUUGACUUCGUUUAUUUUCUCAAGUUUAACACUCCAGUUCAUUCUUUAUGCUUUCUUCAUUGUUGCAAGAUGAUAGAGUGCUACUAUUUGUUGUAGUUGGGUGGAGGAUACCUGAUUAUUGGCUUCUAGCACUUGGAUGAUGCAUGUGUGUCUUGCAGUUAGUUACUGUUGUAGCUUGUGUGAGUGGGUGUGUGUUAAUUUUUAUUUUUAUGUUUUUGCUUUUCCAGCUCCUAAUUGGGCAGAAAGUGGCUCUUACUGCUAAUGGUAUAACAGGUGAUCUUUCUGCCCCACACCACCAGUGUUAUCACAUUUUUAUAUGUAGCCACAAUAAGAUACAGUUUAGGAAUGUUCUGAGAUCUUUGGAGGUCAUCAGGGUUUGUAUGUCCAUGUUGAAUGCAGAUCCCACCCAACCACAUGUUACUCAAUGUUGCCCUAGUGCUUACCACCUGCUGGUUCUGUACUACAACAAUUAUGAUAAUGGGCCAAUGUUCAGCAUUAUCACCAGUGUGUCUUGAUGUGACUCAUGAUAUAUCAUUUCAUGCAUUAUGACACUAGCCUGUGAGUAGUUAUGCAAUUCACAAGCUUUACCUGUUCUCUUGCUUCUUCCUCAAUUUUCAAAGAAUGUGCACACAGUUCCUAUGCUCUUCUCCAGUUGAUAGAACUGCAACAUUUCACACAUUGGUCAGGGUGUUUUUCUUAACCUUUUAGCAUUCAGAUUACUCUGUCAAAUGUAAUGUAUAUUUAAUCACAUUGUCUUAAAUUAAUCAUGCAUUAUCUUGGAGACUUGAGAUGUCUCCAAAAUGACAUUGUAGGGUUGGUGUGAAAAGCCAUGUCUGGCUGGUUUGAACAUAAAAUAGGUAGAAUAUUUGACCUGUUUGAAUGCUAAAUGUUUAAAUAUCCUGUUGUGUCUAGAGAGAGUCAUUACACCAAUAGUAGGUUAACUGUUCCUUUGAUAGUGUAUUAAAAGCGCCUCUGUUUUUGUUGAGGCUGAAGUAUAUCAUUUUCCUCAUUACUCUUUUUUCAAUGAAAUCAUCAGACAAAGAAGCAGAACUGUUUGUAAAAAAAACCUGUCCCGUGUAUUCCUUAAGGAGGGCUAACUCAUAGUAUUUCUCUCCGUCUCGUAACACUAGCAAAGCUGUUGUUGUUAUUGCUUUUAUUGUUAAAAUUUUUCUAUUUGUGUGUGUUGCAGUACAAAGGAGUAUAUUAAUGUAUGCAUUCCUUUGCAAUUGUCAUACUUAUUAAGGUAUUAAUGUCUCUGUUUGUAAUUAUGUAUUAGGGUUAAGGUUAGUUUGUUUAAUUGUCAUAUUUUUUGUUUCUUAUUUUCAUUUUAUUUUUUAAAAUAGUCUGUUUUUGAUUUCAUAGUUUUUUUUAAUUUCCUCAAAAUUCAUGGGAAUGUAUAUGCUACUACUACCUUUGCAGAGAAAGAAGCCAUAUUGAAACACACAUUAUGUCUGCCUAUAAAGUAUAGUAAAAAAAAUGUCAAGGACCUACCCUAUUUUACUCUCUCAGGGUAAAUAAAGUGGACAGUGAUAUGUUCCAGAGUUGUUGGUAAAAUAAUCCAAAGAAAAAGAAAAUUUUUCACUCAGUGAAAUUUGGUAAUGAUCUAAAUUCAUUAGAGUGAGUCUAAAGACACCUGCAAGAUAUAGCAGCUAAAUUCUUGACAUCUAGUGAUAGUCUUAAACAGGUGUCACAGUCAUGCAAGGUGUGUUCUCUGUUUCCAGUCUUCUGCGAAAAUAUGUAUGGUUAUGGAGAAAUAUUAGCUUACUUGGAAAUAAAAUGGAUGGAGGUUGGCAACAGGCAGGACAUCCAGUUGUAGAAAAUUCACCUCAACAAAUUCCAUCCAACCCUUGCAAGCAUUGAAAAGUGGACGUUGAUGAUGUUACACACUCGUGUGUGUGUGUGUGUGUGUGUGUGUGGAGGGCACAGGCAUGGUUAUGUGUUUAAGCAGUUGGCUUCAACUUCAUGUGGUUUUGGGUUCAGUCCCACUGCACUGUACCUUGGUGUUUUCUACUAUAGGUUCAUUUGUCCAAAUCCUAGUGAGUGAAUUUGGUAGAUGUAAACUGAAAGGAGCUCCUCGUGUGUGUGUGUGUGAUACAUUUGUACUGUAUGAUAAUCACAAAGUUAUGAAUGAUGUCACAUCUCUUGUCAACAUCAUCUGUUUCCUUUGUGUCUUCAAUGACAUAGGAAAUAAAAGAUCUCAUGCUUGAAAAACGGGUAAGGGUUAACCAUAGGAAGGACUUCCAGCUGUAAAACAAAGCUUUGAUAAUAGUAUUGACAUCAAGAAGGGCAUCUGACCAUAAAUUACUGCCUCAAAAAUAUACUAGCCAACCCAUACUAAUAUUAAAAAAAAAUACAGUUUAAAAAAACCCAUCAUGAUGAUAAUGAUGGUGAAGGUAAAAUGUUGAAAUAUGUAUAUGUUCCAAAGCACUCACCUCAGGUAAAAUGGAGUACCUGACAAAAUUUUUAAUGUCCUUUAACACUGACAAAUGCCUUCUUGCUAUGAAAUUACAAAUGAAAUCUAGGAGUGCAGACAUCCAGUCAUACCAAUUUUACUAUUCUUACGUUUCACAAACAAGUCAGUGGAGAAAGCCUCUAUGCAAAUGUUUGACCUGCUAGAAUAGCUGCCAAAUUUCCCUGAAAUCACACCCUAUACAUCUUGAAAAAAAAAGAUGUGUAGUUUUUUGUAAUCUUGUGUGGCUGGAAAUCCUUUUAGAGCAAAGGUCUGCUUGAUCAGCAACAACAACAACAGUUGCUUUUCCUAAAAUUUACUUGAGGGUAGCACCCUAACUUACUUCUUUAGUGAGUAAGAUUUUUAACAUUGGCACAAGACCACAUAUUUUGGGGGAAGAAAAUAGUUGAUUAAAUGAACCCCAAUGUAUAAUUUAAUUUGUUGGACACUUAAUUCAAAACAACGUGAAUAUAUAAGUACUACAUUUUGACAGAGUAAUUUGAAUGCUAAAGGAUUAAAUAUAUUGCAAAGCAUUUUGUUCAGUGCUCUACUGGUUUAACCUUCCCGCCAAUUCAUUGAGGUUUUCCAACACUGGUGUUUGAAAAAAAAAACAAAGCAAUUAAAUAUUGCAAGGUGUUUUACUAAGUGAUUAACAGAUUCAGGUGUAGGAGGAAGGUACCAGCCAUUUUUUACUUGGGGUUAUAAAUAACUGCAUUUCGUAUCAAUUAUCUUUUACGUGUUUCAGUCAUUUUGAUGGUGGCCAUGCUGGGACACUGCCUUGGAGAGUUUUAGUCAAACAAACCAGCCUCAGGACUUACUUUUUUAAGCCUAGUAUUAGUCAUGGGUCACGUGUGGGCAGUAGAUAGAGAGGAAGGAGCAUGAGAGAGAGGAGAGAGAGAGAACAGGGAAAGAAUGAAGAGAGAAAGUCUACAAUUAUGAGUGAGAGGAUGAGAGAGAAGAGAGUAAAUUGGGAUACUAGGAAAGGAAUAUGAAGACAAGAGAGAAAGAAGAUAGUCACAUAAAAUAUAUAAAAUCUUACUGUUAACAAAAGUCGGGAUGCAUGGCGUUCAGUUAAUAAAUGAAAAAUGCAUUAAAUACUAAAAAACAUACACGUAAGACAGGCACAGAUGGACCCUAAUUCUUCAGUUAUCAACUGAAAUACUCAGUUUCAUGCCUUUAAUUAUAAGACCAAGAACUUCGCAUAUCGGUGGCACAAAGAUUGAGGAGAAUUAGGGCUCAAGCAAACAAAACGAUUCAGAGUGGAUGUACAAAAGUAAAUAAAUGUAAUUUAAAACAAUUGAUGAAGAUGGAAUAAAUACAGCCUUUUGGCCAAACAGACGUGAAUGCUGGGUAACACCUGGAAGAAAUCCUGAAUGGAUAUAAAAAGAGAAAUAGCAAGAGAGGAGAUAGAUAUUGACCGGCAAGCUAAGCGUCCAGUGCCAAAAGGCAGAGAGAUGAGAAAAUUAGUCAUGGGUCACAUGUGAACAGUAGAUAGAAGGGAAGGAGGAUGAGAGAGAGGGAGAGAGAGUGGCAGAGUGAACAAGGAAGGAGAAAGUCUACAGUUAUGAGUGAGAGGACGAGAGAGUGGAAGAGAGGAUGAUGGGAUGCUAGAAAAGGAAUAUGAAGACAAAAGAGAAAGAAAGAAGAUAGAGGUCCAACAUUCUGAGUCUAGUCCUUACCACUUCAUCCCAUGUCUUUCAGGGUCUCUCUCUUCUGCGUGUACCAUCCACUUUCAGUAAUUGGCACUUCUUCAUUCAUACGCAUCACAUGUCCCAAUCUACAUAGUCUUCUCUCUUGCAUGCUACAUUUGGUUCCUCUUAUGCCCAACUUUUCUCUCUAUACAUUUGCACUUUGUUGUACAUGCAUAUUGAUGUUGCACAUCCAACAGAGCAUACUACUUUCAUUUCUCUUCAGUCUGUGUAUGUCUUCUGCAUUCAGAGCCCAUGUCUCACUACCAUGGAGUAUAGCCGUUAAUACACAAGUUUCAUACAAUCUAUCCUCCACUCUGAACUUCCUCCAUCCUAUUCUUAUUCUAGAAAUAAUACUUUCAAAACAUCCUCCACCAUUGCUAAUUUGGUCACCUAGGCAACAGAAACUAUCUGCUACCUCAAGAGAGCCUCCUGAGUGUUUGAGAGAAACUAAGUCCUGUGUGCUCUUAGUGCUUAUUGUUCCUGCACGUCUACCACAUGUGAAGACAGCUUCAUCUGUUAAUCUACUUGUGAUUUCAAUGCACCUCUUAUGUGUCUAUAGCUUACAUUGGGUGCAAUGAGUGGAAUGACUUCUGUCUACUAAAUCCACUCACAAGGCUUUUGUCAGUCCAAGGCUAUAGCAGAAAACACUUUCUCAAGGUGCUAUGCAGUGAGACUGAACCUGGAACCAUAUGGUUGGGAAGCAAGCUUCUGAUCACACAGCCAUGCCUGCUAACUUUUUUCUCUAAUGUCUUUCCUUGUUUUGCUGCUGGUCUUGUGCCCUGUGUGAACACCAAUGUUUUCAGGAAUUUUGCAUUCUCCUUGAAAUCCUUCAUGCUGUUUACUGAAAAGGAAUUGUCAAGAACAUUCUUUAUAUGUAUUAUCAUACUUCGUUUGGACCUCUGUGCAUGCCCAUAUUAUAUAUACAUACAUAUAUGUGCAUGCAUGCAUGCAUAUAUAUAUAUAUAUAUAUAUAUAUAUAUAUAUAUAUACACACACACUUUUAAUCUUUUACUUGUUUCAGUCAUUUGACUGCAGCCAUGCUGGAGCACUGCCUUUAGUUGAGCAAAUCGACUCCAGGACUUAUUCUUUGUAAGCCUAGUACUUAUUCUAUCAGACUCUUUUGCCCAACCGCUAAGUUACAAGGACGUAAAUACACCAGCAUCAGUUGUCAAGCGAUGGUGGGGGGACAGACACAAACGCACACGCACACACGACGGGCUUCUUUCAGUUUCCAUCUAUCAAAUCCACUCACAAGGCUUUGGUUGGCCAGAGGCUAUAGUAGAAGACACUUGCCCUAGGUGCCACACAGUGGAACUGAACCCGGAACCAUAAGAAUUGGGAAGGGCAUCAAGUUGUAGAAACCAUGCCAAAUCAGACUGGAAACUGUUGCUGCUCUCUGAUUUACCAGUUCCAGUCAAAUUGUCUAACCCAUGCCAGCAUGGAAAGCAGACCCUAUAUGAUGAUGAUGAUAAUAUAUACAAACAUAUAUAUGUAUAAAAUUCAGGUAAUAUGUCUGAUAAUAUGAAACGUAUAUGAUUAGCGCUCAGGUUGACCUGUUGCCUGGACUUACUAUAUAACUGUUCAAAGAGAAUACCAGAUAUACCAUUCAACAUUCCCCAACUGAUCUUUUAUCGACCUCUUGUGAUCUAAACUCCUGUAACAUUCAGUUCCACUCUCAUGUUGUGUCAAUGUUUAAAUAUAUAAAUGUCAUAAUCUAACCUGAUACCAGUUUGCCUGUUUAGACUUUUAUACUAUUAUAUAUAUGUAUAUAUACACACACACACACACUUAUAUAUAUACACAGACAUAGAUACAGACGCACACACAGACUCACAUUUGUGUGUGUAUAUGCAUGUAUUUGUAUAUAUAUGUGCAUUUGUGUCUGCUGCAUCCUCGUGAUUAAUUUUCACUCUCUUUCUCUCUCUCUCUCUUUUACUCACCUCUCUCCCUCUUUCUCUACCCACUCCUUUCUCACUACUACUGUAUUCUUUUUGUUAUAAAAGAGUCUGCCAUAUCUGAUUUUUCAUUAUUUGCAUGUCUGUCUGCCUGCCCUCGUGAUUUAUUCCUUUUUCUCUCUCCUUCUUCGUUUCUGUUGCACACAUACACAUAAUCUCACACAUGCACACACACACACAUACACACGCAUGCACACACGUGUCUGUCUGUGCAUGUGCUUAAUUGCUUGUAUGUUUCUUUUUAAAGCAUGUGUGGUUGUGGGUGUGUUGUGUAGGUGUGACUGUCUGCACCCACCUGAUUUUGUUUUUCUAUGUGAAGAAGGUAUCUUUGCUUUUACUUUGUUGUGUUACAUGCGUGCAGUUGUAUGUAUGCUUAUGCAAGUGUACAUGUCUGUGAGUUUCUAUGUUGUGCUUGUGUUUUUGUUUCCCUGAAAUUCUUGAUAUCUGUAUGUGUGUGCAUGAGUGCAUCUACAUUUCAUCUCACUGUAUGUGUAUACAUACAUAUAUAUUUUCUGUCUGUCUCUCUUUCUCUGUGUAUAUAUAUAUAUAUAUAUUUCUCUCUCUCUUCUCUCUCUCUCUAUAUAUAUAUAUAUAUAUAUAUAUAUAUAUAUAUAUAACACAUACAUACAUACACAUAUACACACAUGUAUAUACAUAUACAUACAAUCUUCAUUUUCCUUGUGUGUAUAUAUGUAUAUCUUCACUCCAUCCAUGAGUAUAUGUGCAUGUCUGUAUGUAUACAUUUAAACAUACAUAUGUGUGUGUGUGUGUAUAUAUAUAUAUAUAGAUAUAUAUAUAUAUAUAUAUAUAUAGAUAGAUAGAUAGAUAGAUAGACAGACAGACAGAUAAUCUUCACUUUUUCCUUCUGUGUAUAUACAUAUAUCUUCACUCCAUCUAUGUAUGUCUGCUAUCAGCUUAACUUGCUGUAUACGAUAGAAAUUUGUUGAUCAGCUGUCCCUGAUUUCUGUUUGGGUCCCUUACAAGAUUAUUGUGGCGGUGAGGACAUGUUGGUAGUGGUGAGCUGCAAAAGGGGGUAGUAGUUAUGGUAUGGUGGUGUGUUGUGGAAGUGGUAGUAUGUGUGGUAGUGAUAGUGAAGGGUGGAAAAGUGUUGGCAGCAGUGCAUCUUUGAGCUUUCCAUGUAGAUGUUGAUGGAAUUUUUAUGAAUGUAUAUUUGAGUCUGUUUAUGUCAGUGUGUGUGUGUGUGUGUGUAUCUUUUAUCUUGUUCCAAUUAUUAGAAUGCAGCAAUGCUGAGGCACCACCUUGAAGAAUUUAAUUUUUUGUUAAGUCUGGUUCUUAUUUUAUCUGUCUUUUUGCUGGACCUCUAAGUUAUGGGGACAUAAACAUAGCAACACCACUUUUCAAGCGUGGGAGAGGGACAAACACAGAGAGAAAGUUGCAUACACACAUAUUUGUAUGCAUAUAUACAACAGGUUUCUUUCAGUUUCUGUUUAUCAAAUCCAUGCAAAGCUUUGGUCAACCCGAGGCUAUAGCAGAAACACUUGCCCAAGGUGCCAUGCAGUGGGUGAACCCAGAACCAUGUGGUUUGGAAGCAAACUUUUUAUCACACAGGCACACCUGUGUCUAUAUGCACGCACACACACCACUACCACCACGACCAUCAUCAUCAUCAUCAUCAUUAUUAUUUAGUAUCUGUUCUCCAUGCUAACAUAGGUUGAUGAGAACUGGUAAGGCCAGGGACCACACCAGGUUCCACAGUCUAGUUUGGCUUGGUUUCUACAGCUGGAUGCCCUUCCUAACACCAACCACUUUUAUAGUCUGUACUGCGUGCUUUUUAUGUGGUACCAGCACCAACACCAAUGCUUUUUUGUGUGGUGCAUUGGUUUUAGGAUAUCAACUCUGUUGUGGUGGGCAAUGCAACCAGCCAUUUUGUAGAAUAUGUGGGGGACAUUUUAUUCUACCACUGACACUAGAGAGUAUCUGUUUUUCAUGUGUGCACACAUCCAUGCAUCUGAAUAUGUUUAUGUUCAAAAUCAUAUACACACAAGUUGAUAGUCCAGUAUUACUCACAUACACACUAUGUGUGUGUGUGUGUGUGUGUGUGUGUGUGUGUGUGUAUAUAAAUAUGCAGUUCAGUAUUGUAAAAUACAGUCAUAGUCUCCUGUGUUAUAUAGCACCUUCACAGCUCUUUCUUGCCGGCAAGUAUGACUUAGUAAUGUGUACUAUGCCUCAUUAACCCUUAACCCUAUAGUAUUCAGAUUACUCUGUUAAAUAUAAUAUUUUUUUUACUCAAAUUGUUUUGAAUUAAUCAAGCAUUAUCUUAUAGCUUUGAGGUUUCAAUGAUGUGAUUGUUUAUUUUUAGAAUGUUAAUGUAGGUUAGGUGUGAGAGGCUAGAUAUUGCCAGUUUGAAUAGAAAACAUGUAGAAUAUCUGGGCCAGAUAUGGCCAGUUUAAACACUAAAGGGUUAAACAGUGGACAUCAUCAAUUGAUGUUUCAAAAGUUUUACAUGGAUACAGCCAUCACUAUUUGGUGCCUGAGUGUCUACUUCUACAAAAUGCACAUAGGUGUAAGUAGCCCUUAUCAAUGACAGAAAUCAAGUUGCAAAUGGAAGAUUUAUACAGUGAUAAAGAAGUUUUUGCUAAUUUUCCUUUAUCAUCAGAUGAUGAUGAUAAUGAUGACAUUCUAGAUAACACGAAAGAAAAUGAUUCUUCAACUAACUCUGGAUGGAAAAUGUGCCACAAUAUUUCUCCAUUUCUGCAUUUCUUUGAUAAUAAUGUGGGAAUCUCAAAUGAAUCUAUACUCACAUCAGAUGCAAAGGAAAGUGAAUAUUUUACAGCAUUUUCAGACGAGAUGAUAAAUUUUUAUUGUUUUUGCAUAUUUAAAGUGAAAAUAAGUAAAAAAAAAAAAAAUGAUUUUUGUGUUUUGCCCAUUUAGCUCACAUAUUCAUGCGACCCUUUGGUUUAGGGUGCCUUUGUAGUUGCAAACUAGAUACAGAUGUCAGUUUAGACUUCCUAUCUUUGACCAAGCAGCACAUUCAGGAUGAGGCAGCUGGAGGAAGAGAGGGCUGUACUUGCACUUGGCUGGCAGUUAUUUCAGCUGGAGCAAUGAUAAAUGAAGUUUCUUACUCAAGAAUGCAAUGUGCUGUCCAGUCCAGCAAUUGAACUCAGAACUUCAAUCCAACACCCUGACCAUACACACACACAAAAUUACACAGCCCAGUAUUAUAAGUGUGCAUACACAGCUGUGUAGCUCAGCAUUAUACACACAGCUACACUGUCCAUUCCAAUAUUAUACAUACACACAGUGUUUCGCAGUCUAGUCCAUCGUCUAUUUUUCUGUCUGUCUCCGUUUCUCUUGUGCAUACACACACACACACAGCUAUACACUUCAGUGUUAUACAAACACAUACGUAACUAUACAGUCCUGUGUUACACUAAAACUGUGAGGUAAGAAACUACUUGAAAUUGUUUGUUAAACAGCUUCAUUACUGGUGAUAGCUUAAUGAUGCUAUAUAGUAGUACAUCUGUUAUUGUUGCUGCUCUUCUAGCAGCAGCAGCUACUACUACUACUACUACUACUACUACUACUACUACUACUACUACUACUACUACUACUACUAUUGUUGUUGUUGUUGUUGCUAUAGUUACCACCACCACCACUGCAGCUGCAACUACUAAUUGCUUUGUUUUUGCCAGUCUCACUAAUUUCUUUGCUGACCUUAGUCUACUAAAAUCACUGUUGAUGGACUGUCAUUGUAAUUAUCUAUCAUCUUUGAAAGAGGCUACUACUGCUUGCCCUCCUCCUUCUCCCCCUCCAUAAACAACUAAAGAAUCUUCCUCCUUAUCAAUGCUACCACACCAACCAGCAUCAGUACUUAUGCUGUGAAAAAAUAUGGUGGAUUGGUGGUGGUUAGAUGAAACCCUUAAGGUCAUCAAAUAGUCACUUUAGUAUCAUUUGACCAAAAAAAAAAAAAAUGUACACCACUGUGAUCACCUACCGUUAGUUAUAUGCUAACUAAUGAGGAAGUUUCUAUGCGGACAUUUGAUUUGCUAGGAAUAGCAACAACUCCUUCAAAUCACACCCUAUCAUCUUAUGGAAAGACGGUGCGGUCGGUAGUCUUUGGUGUCUUCUAUAAAGUUGCUAAAUUUGAGUCUUGCAUACUUGAGACUGUAGCUAGUGAUGUUUACUGCAAGUUCUUUAGCCUUGUUUAGAUCAUUCUCUUCUAUCAUUUUGAGAACUUUAUCCAUAUAUCUUCAUUCAUAUAAUCGCUUUCGGGCUCCAAUUUUAUCUUCAUUUAUUGGUUGGAUUCGAAGGUAACAUUGGAUAGCAAGGACUUGUACUUUAUUUUACCAUCAUUACUGACAAGUUACAACUAACUAGGUUGAUCUAUUGCAUUGUCCAAAAUUAGUAUUACUUUUACUUCAUUAGCAAAAACUUUGAGGACAUCUUCCUGGCACUACAGGAAUGAAACAUGAGGGGGGAAAAUGCUGAUGGGGGAACCAACACACUGAAAGCAACCUAAGGGGUCAUCCUGCUAGGACAUUUAUUGACAAACUGGUUAAAAAUUCCAGUCUAUUGAAGAGCUGCCUACCAAGAGCAAUGCAGGUUAAAUAAUUCUGGAGACUAGUGGUUGAUAAUAUUCAUGUAUAAAUGAAACAGUAUUAUUAUUUAUUAAUAAGGCUGUGAGCUGGCAAAAUUGUUAGCAUGCUGAGGAAAUGCUUAGUGUUAUUUUUGCCUGUUGCUCUGUUCUGAGUUCAAAUUCCACUGAGGUUGACUUUGCCUUUCAUCCUUUCGGGGUCAGUGAAAUUAGUACCAAUUGAAGACAGAUCGAUGUAAUCAACUCAUCCCCUCUCCCCAAAUUGCUGCUUUUGUGUCAAAAUUUAAAACCAUUAUUAUUUAUUAUUAUUAAAAACGUCACACAGUAUCCAAUAUCAUGAUGUUGAUUGAAGAUAUUGUGUCUACGGGGGGGGGGGGGUUGUAUUGUCUGUCAAGCCACAACAAGGACCUCAAACUGACAUUACUUUAUGCAAUAUGCAUGCAUUUCCAAGUAAUGCUAAUUUUUGUAAUACUCUUAUAUUGUAGGCUAUUUCUAAAGUUCCCAGGUGUUUCUUCGGGUUGGGUGGUAUUGAACCCAAUGCUCCAAUGACAUAUCAUCAUCAUCAUCAUCAUCAUCAUCAUCAGUAGUAGUAGUAGUCGUAUAUUCCAUUUCUAAAUCACUACAAUCCUCAUCCUAGUUUCAACAUUCUUGAUAGCCAUAUACUUAGCUUGUGCAGCAGUGCAGUAUUUGGAAUUUUUGCAUCUUGGAAUGGUGUUACUGCAGUAUCAUUGGUGAAUAAAAAUCAUUUUGUCACAACCUUCUCAGGAUUAUCUUUUGCAAUUCUUAUAUGUUUCCUUGCCCCAGCAGUUAAUGAUUUAGAAUUUACAUCAGUAUCCUAUUUCAAAGAAAAUUUAAUGGGCUUGUCUUUAGCCUUGUGUCUGCCCAAAACUUUACUUUUUAUCAUCAUAUUUCUCACAAACUCUUUAUGCUGAAGCACUGGCUUCUGUCUUACUUUAAUAAGAUGUAGUUUCUAGUUAACAAAUAGUCACAUGUUUCAUGUUUAGAUUAUUCCUUUCACUUGAGUACCUGAUCUAAAAUACAAGGCUGAAAGAUGCAUUUUCACUGAAAUAUGAAAAAAUACUGAGAAACAUAAAUUAUGUUGCAUAUAGUGGUUAUUAUUACAAUGUGCACUGUGUUACUGCGCUCAAUCUACUAGUCUUGCAUAGUAGUAUAAUUCGAUAAUAAACAUUAACUUGAAGCUGUUUUGACCUGACUUAAUUUUUGUUUCUUAGCAUGUAUUAAAUUUCAAAGUAAAUAGUAGCCAGGUUGUAUCACAUUACCCCAAAACAAAUAUUAUUAUUAAAAACGGUCAGUUUCAUGUAAUGAAUUUUCAACAAAUUUUUAUAUAAAAUGUAGUGUUUAUUGAAAGGGAGUGUGAGAGCUAAUAAGAAAAAUUGAAUAUAAACAAAGAGAAUCCGGGAGAAGAAAGCAACAUCUGAAUUCAAAAGAUAAAUUAACUCUGCUACUAGUGAUGACAGCAGGUGCAGUGAUGAUGAUAAUAUCAUUGAAAUAUCUCCAAAAAAUUAUAAGGAAACUAAGUUGUGUUGUUUUGGUGGUUAUUUAUCAUGAUGUGCACCAUUCUGAACCUACACAUCUUGCACAAGUAUUUCUUAAAAAUAAAUGUGCAAUCUCCAACAGAGGAUGAUAAUGAUACCAACAGUUAUGAUGUGAUGUUGUAAACAGUUAUGGUGAUGAUAUCAAUAAUGAUUAUGAUAAUGAUGAUAAUUGAUGUCAACUGCAAUUGUGAUGAUGAUAAUGGUACAUCAUCAACAGUUAUGGUGAUUGUGACAAUGAUAUCAUCAGUUAUAAUGAUAUCAGCAGUUAUUAUAUCAUAUAUUAGUAGUUGUAAUAAGGUCACACUUUCAAUACCACAUGUCUCAAAUCACCAAGCAAUCAGGAAGGAGGUACCAAAUCAUAUUAAUGCUGAUAUAAACUGGCAUCAUAUCAAGUGGCAGAUCUGUAAGCAUUGGCCCAUGACAUUUAGUUGUUGUUCCAGAGGCAUUCAUAUUUACCUAUAGACAUCCAGAUACACCAUCUUCUUCAGAACAAUACUAUAGAAAAAAAAAAAAAAGAAUAAACACUCCCUAUCUCCCAUCUAAUCAAACAAGAUUGCAUUGAUGAGCUAAUGAAUCAGCAUGUAUGCUAGAAAUAGCAGUCAAAUCCCCUUCAGCUCACAUCUUAGCUUAAAAAAAGACAUUAGAUAAUAUAGUCUUAGAUAAUAUAGUCUAAAAAGAUGGAUUGGUCAUGAUUGGAAUUCCUUUGAUUAUAGUUCUUCUCAGUGAUGAUCAGGAGCUUGACAAGAACAGCAACAAACAAACCUGGCAAGAAAAAGUUGUGAUUUGAUCCCAGCUGCCUUGCUGCAUACUUUAUUGGUCAACUACUGCAUACAGAAACAACAUGACUAACUUGGGCUACAAACUCAAAAGUUCAGCUGUGUAUUUCAGCAAUACUCUUAAUUCUGCAUAUGUAACUGCCAAAAGGUAUCCACCAGAUGAUCAGAGAUUGUUGUUUGAGACACACUGGUCUCUUAUCAGUUAAAAAUUUCACAGGUGUGGCUGUGUGGUAAGCAGCUUGCUCCCCAACCACAUGGUUUUGGUUUCGGUCUCACUGUGUGGCAUCUUGAGUGUCUUCUAAUUAUAACCACAGGCUGGUGAAAGUAGCGUGAGUGGAUUUAGUAGAAUGAAACUGAAAGAAGCAUGUGGUGUGUGUGUGUGUGAUGCUGUCCUCUUGCCUGGAAACAAGUGAGGGUUGGCAUGGGAAAGGGUAACCAGCCUUAGAAAAUCUGCCUCAGUAAACUCUGCCUGACCAAUGUAAGCAUGGAAAAGUGGGUGUUAAACCAGUGCUGAUGAUCUCAUUUGCUUAAAGCCAUAAAACUGGAGCUAAGUACUGAUCCUUGGGUAAAAACAAAACAAAGCAAGCACAUCGUCACUGGUCCCCAGAGACAUUUUAAUCAAUGUGAGGUGGGAAUAUGUGCUAUAGCUCUAGUUUGGGCUGACACAUGUUAGAUGUGAUAUUGUUAGAGUUAAAAGUUGCUUCCAAAUCAUAUUGGUUGGUUGUCUUAAAAUUGUAGGUCUCUUCUGAUUAGCAACUAGUUGGAAUCUUUAGGGUAACAGAUAGAAUACCUUGUUGUGUUUGUUCUGGUUUUUUACAUUGAGUUCAAAUACCAUUGUAGCCUAUUUGGGUUGGUAGGCUUAAUCUGUUGCCUGGUUUAACAUCACCACUUGGUCCUCGAGGGACUUUAUCAAAGCCCACUCUGCUGCAGGCAUUUGGCCUCGGUCCUUCUUUCUUUACCAAGUUUCAUGGGCCAUGAAAAGGAGCAUUGAUAUGGUCAUUCAGUCUGACAAAGCACCCAACACCAGAGAAGAAAACAUUAAUGUCAAGUUUAAAGCUAUCAUCUACUGUAGAAAUGCUGUUGAUAAAGGUGCUUUAACCCUUUCAUUACUGUAUUUAUUUUGAGAUACUCUGUUUUUAAUUACUCUAAAUAUAACCAAGAAUUUAGUAAAAUAACUUAGUGAUCAUUCAGCUAGUGUUAGGAACAUAAAUUGUGUCUAAGGUUUGGUGGAAGAUUUUAAUUCAAAACUUAGGAAAAUUAGACAUUUGUACUUAGAGCCAAAGCUGGUUUCAGUUGGGUUGGUAACGAAAGGGUUAACAUAGUCACAUGAGUCCACCCAAUAUAGCACCCAAAAUGUUCCAUCUACAAUAAAGUCUGUCCAAUCUUAAAAUAUCUCGAGUCUUUUUUAAAAAAAAAGAAACACUACCCCCACACCCACUAAAUCAAGCACAGCUUCCUCAGUGAUAAUUAUUGAAUGAGUUGAGUUAGAAUGCUAAUCCUAACAUAGUGAAUGUGACUCAAACUGAUACCGCACACAUAUUUGCAUGUGGUGCAUAUUUGUAGGCUGAAGUUGCUAAGUGCUUUGAUGAGCAGUCUCUGUGACAUUGGUUUUUGUUCACUUGAAGCUGAUUAGGACCUCUCAGCAGAAGUUAACAGCAACAAUAGUUGUUAGACCAACACUGCAGGCUGGAUAACUGGUGUCUUAAUUCAAUACAGCUUUGAUGCUGCACUAAUUGUUACCUAUGGUAUUAACUUGCUGAGUUGUUGCACUUACUGAUUAGCAGCACUGAUGUGCAUUUGUAAAUAGUUGCAGUCUUUAAGAUGCUAUUUGUUUAUGCUUUUGUUGAUGAUUGUGAUUAUGGUGGUACUGAUUAUGAUGUAGGUGGAAAUGCUGAUGGUGGUGGUGGUAGUGAUUAUGUUAUUAUUGCUGUUAAGUUUUUUUUUGUUGUAAUUGCAUACACAGAUGCACAUGUGCAAGCAUAAGUAUUCAUGCAGAUACACAUUCACAUACUUCAUGCAUACAAUCACAUUUAUAGACAGCUAUGCACAUACACAUGUUUUACAUAUCCAGUUAUACACUUUUAGAUGCAGACAUGAUCCUACACUUUAUGUCCAUGGUAGAGACUCCUAUGUGGUGGCUCAACCUGUUAAAGUGGUUAAUCUCCUUCAAAUGAUAUCCCAUCAUCUUUAAAGGUAAGACAUUGGAUGAUAUCACCUUAGAUACAUUGCAACAAAAUAACAAAAAAAAAAGGAAAAGAAGAAAAACCACAAUGGACACAGAAUGCUUUUCAUUGUAGACCUCCUCAAUUAGGGUUGACCAUUCACAUAGAAAUACUGUACAUGAAAAAAAGAAAGAUACACACAUAUACAUAUACCUACAUAGUUUUCUGCAACUAAUGUUGCAUAUACACAUUAUCAUUUGUAGUGCCUAACCAUUCUGAUCUUGAAAAUGGUUGAUGUUUGGCUGUCAUUUAAAGUGUGAGUCAGUUCAUAUCACAAGUCAUUAGAGCUCUAAUGUUCUUUUUAAUGACUCUGUUGAUGAUAAUGGUAGUGGUGGUGGUGUGUGCGCUCGCACACACACACACACACACACACACACACAUUUGUGUAACUGCUACUGUGUAUCUUGCAUUACAUUCAUAUAUUAAGAGAUAGAGUAGUAAUGAAGUCAUUAUGGUAUUGACUGAUAUUAUAUUGCGGUGAUUGCUGUUGGUACCAUCUUUGCUGCAAAUUAAAUGGCAUUAGUGCCAAUAGAAAUGUCUUAGCUCUACAUUGCCCCAGUUCAUCUGGUUGUCUAGAGAUGUAUAGGUAUCAGAUCAUCUGCCAGUGUUGCUUGACAAAAGCAUGGAUGCCAUUCUAUUUCAUUAGGUUACAAGUGAUAAAAGUUGUAGAAUAAGAUGGAUGCUCCAGAUAAGGGCCAAGCCUAACGAAUCAGCUUCAGUUCACAGUUAUGUGGAGACAGCUUCUGAGAGCUUUAUGUUAUUAUCUUUUAAUGGUAUGGCUGUUCCAGCAUAUCUCCUUUGCUAUCCUCCAGGGCAAUGCCUUUCCCAUUUUGUCUGCUGGGAAAUGUGAUGGUCUGAAUUAUCAAAAGGGUUAAACUCAUACAUAACAGGUUAGGAAACACACCAGAGUUUAAGCCUUCUAAUAUGAGCAUGCAUGUAUUGAUCCCUUUAUAGACAUCUGAGCUCCAGCAUCCUGUGUGCAAGCAUUUUAGUGGGAGACCCAAUGUGUCAAUACCUGUUCUUAAUGUUGCUAGCUUGUUCUUGUACACCUUUAGCAGAGGUAACUUUGUUGCAAGCGUUAGAAUAGUUCCAGUUCCUUUGUCUAUAUUUCUCCUUGCAGAUUGGGCAUUAUAGCUACAUCAAGCUUACCAGUCUGGAAGUGCCUGCAGACUUAUUCAUAUAUGCAUGGACAACCACUCCACUCCUAAUUUAUAAAAAUAGGAAAAAAGAAACAAAAAUAGCACUAACAUUCUAUGAAGGAUGAAAUUUGUCUCUGUAAGGACAAGUCUUGUUAGGAAUUUGCUGAAACGGCUGUGUCUGCUACUCAGAGUUGAUAUAGCAAACAACAUAGAAGUCCUAUGGUGAUUCACCAUAACUUGAUUGUUCUAUUAUUGCAUUUGGAUUGAUUUAAGGGUAGUUUCCACCUUGCUGUUCCUCUUUUAAUUUUUUUUUUAGGGUCAGUACUAUUAACUAAAACCCAUGAAGUAGUGUCUCCUAUGGAUGUAGGCCAAUAAUGAAAAAAUAAAGGAAUACAUAAAAGUUUUUAUAUACUCUUCAAGUUUUUAUGGACUGAUGCUUAGCCCUGGUUUCACUGUAUUAAGUGAAUGACAGAUAAAUCUCUUUUUUGAUAGGAUACCAAUAACAUAACCUUAUGAUCUGACAAUCUUAAAAUAUCUUAAAAUAUCUCGAGUCUUUUUUUAAAAAAAAGAAACACUACCCCCACCCCUACUAAAUCAAGCACAGCUUCCUCAGUGAUAAUUAUUGAAUGAGUUGAGUUAGAAUGCUAAUCCUAACACAGUGAAUGUGACUCAAACUGAUACCGCACACAUAUUUGCAUGUGGUGCAUAUUUGUAGGCUGAAGUUGCUAAGUGCUUUGAUGAGCAGUCUCUGUGACAUUGGUUUUUGUUCACUUGAAGCUGAUUAGGACCUCUCAGCAGAAGUUAACAGCAACAAUAGUUGUUAGACCAACACUGCAGGCUGGAUAACUGGUGUUUUAAUUCAAUACAGCUUUGAAGGUCAUGUACAAUAAAGAAGUAUUCUUCUGAAACAAUGGACCAGGUCUGCUUGAAACACCUACAAGGAUAUUUGAACAAACCAUUCAGGCAUCUCCUCUCUUCACUAUACCAAUAAGGGGGUCUAUGUGUCUUCUCACCCCACUAAAAAUAGCAGCCAAAUUUUCCUGAAAUCCCUAUCUUAAAGAAGAAAAUGUCAUAUAAGAUAUUGUGAUCCUGCAAGCUCUUAAGACAGGGUGGUUGGUUCCAAAUGGAAUACCUUUAAUUAUAGUUCUGCUUGAUCAUUGUUGAUCUGGGAUUAAACACCAUCAAAUUUCAUGGCACACACCUAAACCUUUUCAGUCAUUACUCAUUGAUACAUCCUCAUCUGUAUCUCACACAGUUAUGUAAUAUUUGUAUUACAUAACCAACAUGGGUACAGGUAAGGCUGUGUGACUUAGAAGUACAUUUUGUAACUAUGUGGUUCCAAGUUUGAUCCCACUGCUCCACACUUAGGGCAAUUGCCUUCUCCGUUAGCUUUGGAUUGAUCAAUGCUUUGUGAGAUGGAAACUGUACAGAAGCCCAUUGUAUGUAUGUAUGAAGAUAUGUGUGUGUGUGUGUGUGCUAACAUAUAUGUGUAUAUUGAUGAAAUAUAUAAAAUAUAUAUAUAUACAUAUGAAUGAGAAAAUAGGGUAAUGGACAUCAAUACAUUUCACCUAUCUGACUUGCCUAUAUAUAUCUUAAGGGAAUCUAUAACCAUGAAAAAUUGUCAUUGCUGCUACUACUAUCACCACCACCAAUACUACUAUUACUCACACUACUACUACUACUGCUGCUGUUGCUUCUGCUGCUGCUGCUGCUGCUACUACUACUACUACUACUACUACUACUACUACUACUACUACUACUACUACUACUACUACUACUACCACCACCACCACCACUACUGUUGUUGUUGUUGUUGUUGUUAUUCAAAAUAAAACAAAAGUUAAAAUUUAUUAUAUUAUAUAUUAUAUUAUAUUACUUGAGUAAAAAUUUUGUAAAAUACUAAGAACAUUCCAGACUAAAAUCGACAUGUUUUAUUGAAUUUAUGGGGAAAUAUUAUUUAGUGAAGAUGGGGUGUGGAUGGGCAAUGAAUUGAUGUAGAAUGAGGAAAGAUGAUAGAGAUAGAGAGAGAGAGAGAAGCUUCGACUGAAUGAAAUCUCUUAGCAAUUAUUGCGGCGGCUGAGAUAUUUUUCUGUCUGUGGAAGAUGUCAGUGGAAUCUUUUGUGCUAGGGUUAAUUUUUAUUUGUGUUGCACUGUGGUAACUUUAAUGGGUUGUGGUCUGGUAAGUAAGAAAAUGUUCUGCAUGUAAUAGUAUCGAACAUUUGUAGACAAUCGAUACUAGAGAACAACUUUGCCAAAAUUGGUGAAGGGGGGGAAAUAAACAUUAUAUGUAUAUUGAAAAGAAAAAGAGGAGAAAAUUCCACUAAAAACGUCUACUUAUUUAUUUAUUGUUUUUCUAUUUCACCCUAAACUAUGAAUGUGUUGAGGGUUGGAGUUUCAAGGUAGAGUAGGAGUUAUAAAGGUAAGGGAGAUGGGGAGAGGCAACAAAUCAAUAUUUCUGUCAUUGUGAAAUUAAAUAAGAUGAACAUUAAUUAACCUUCUUCGUUAAAGAUUGUAGAAGAAACGAGAGUUUGCAGCUGGCUGAAUCGAUAGGGUGUUGUCGCUGCUAUUGUCGGACUACAACUUAAAUGGGGGUAUAGGGGUGUGGGCUGUAGGGUUCUGUGACUUAUGUUCCUUUCAUCUGAAUCGCGCCACUACUGUGAGCUCCUCUGUAUUGGGCUGUGAAACUUAGCAGCUCUAAUUUAGCCCAGUCCACUUGACUGUAAUGGCUGUAAAUUAGGUUGUUGUUAUUGAUGUUUAGCUUUACCUAAAUUCUGAUCAGUCAGACAGCUAAUCAAAGGUGUUCUGGCCAUGUUCUAGCAUUUCUAGUAUCUCUGCAUAGAGAUUUCCUCAUUGGUUUCUCUGAAAUAAGUAGUGUCAUGAUAUGGAAGUAAAGGCUUCACUGUUUCAAGUUAAAGAUUCUCAUUUAGAAAGGGGUGUGUAAUGGUUGGACUGAGUUCAGCUCUUUUAUGUGGUCAAAGCCUAUAGUGGACUGGUGUGCCCUCUAGGAAAGGUAUGCACAGUGCCUUGAAAGAUAUACUCCUCUAUACAGUGAUGCCUGGUGAUGGCAGUGGGUAGAUAAAAUGUGGAAGUGAGGAAGGAAAAUGAUCACUCAGAUGGUGGAAGCACUCUUCAUAGCAUAAUUGUUGACUUAGUGGCUUAAGCUGGGAUUGGCAUAUGGAAUAUAGAAUCUAUCACAGGUUCAAAUUUAGCUGCAAGCAUUAGUUGCACAUACUAUUAGUCUGUACCCUCUGCUUUUACAACAAAGGGAAUUUUUGAAAUGGUCUCUGGUGUAACUAGUCUGUAACAGUGCAUUUUGAGGUUAAUGAAGAAACAUUUCAAGCUUCACAAGGAGAUAUCUAUAUUGUUAUUUGGCUCUGUUCAAAGCUGCAGUGAAAUUUCUCUUGUCAAAUUAAUGGACAUUUGUUUUUUUAUAAAGUCUGAUGUUUUAAGUUCUAAAAUUGUAUGGAUGACCUAUUUCAUUAACCCUUUAGCAUUUAAUCUGCCCUUAUCCAGCCCAUAUCCACCUGGUUUAUGUUAAAACUAACCAGAUCCAACCUCUCACACUUACCCUACAAUGUCAUUCUAAAAAUAUACAAACACACCAUUGAAAUCUUGAAGCUACAAGAUGUGUGAUUAAUUCAAAAUAAUGAGAAUAAAUAAACAAUACAUUUGACAAAGGAGUCUGAAUGCAUGUCUUCUCUCAUCCACUCUUUGUGCUGUCAUAAAUACAUAUACCCUAAUCAUAUAAAGAUAGUUUGACCUACGAAAGUAACCAGUAAAGAUUUAUUUAAUAUGAAGAGAAAGGUGGUUGUUAGGGGCUGUUCGAUAAGUUGGUAUCAAUGUCAUAAUUUAACUUUUUUUUUAUGAAUUACGUUUUGUCGUACAACCAUCAUGAAGUGGUGUUAAGGGCUUGACGACAAGGGAAACAACUGUGUAACACCACAUCGAUAACCUUGAUCAUUACUUUGGUUUCUGUUUUAGUUUUCUUUUGUUAUUUUGACAUGAAACUUUAUAUUUAUUCCUAAAUGUUUGUACAUCUCUCCAUACAUUAUUCACUUGCCUGAUCACUAAACCAAAAAAAUUUAAUAACAGUAUUUUUUUCAAGUCAUAUUCCAGAUUAUCUCCCUUAGACGUGCCUAGGGAUCUUACACAUUUUUACACCCACUUUUAAAAGUGUAUACAUUUUCAUAAGUGGUUGAUGGCAACUACUGAAUCAACCUGUACUGAAAUUAUUUUAUUGGUUUUGGAUUUGAACUAAAAAAAAAAGUAGAGAGAUGAAGCCAAAUACUGUCAGAUAUUUAAUAUGGCAUUAUUGUUUCUGACACUAUCCUCAAAGAGAUUUUAAAGUGUAAAGUAUCUCAAACUAUGAAUAAUGUCUGUGAUUUAAUAGUGAGUUGUUUGAAUAAAUGAGGAUCAAAAACAACAACAAAGAAUGUGUAUGGCUAAAGUAUUGGAUUGCUGUUGAACAGCAAUUUGCAUCUGUCAUAGACCAGCCUUGGUAUCUGAAGAUAUUACAGCCCACUUCAUAGUUUCAGGAAAGAACAGUCUUUAAAAAAAAUAAAUAUGCAACUAGUAUUUAUUCCCUUCAUAUAAGAUCAGCAUAUAUUGUAUAUCAUGUUAUAUAUUUCACUUCUCAAAACAGAAACAAACAAAUGUGUAACUCUGUAUAUCUUCUCAUAAACAAUUUAAAGCCAUUAUAGCUGUAAUAAUUUCUUGACUGUACAAUUAUCAAGAACAUUUCUAUACCAACUAUAAGCUCUCUGCACAGUCGGUAUUGGCUCAUAAAGACUUAGUUUCCCUUUUCACAGCUAUAAAAUACUUCAGCCCAGAAUUGCUGCUAACUUUGAAAUAAAAUGUAAAUUCACUCAACCUCAAAACAAAAAAUUGAAUACCUCUUAAACUAGAGAUACACCAUGAACCUACCCACUUCAUAAGGCUGUCAUAUUUGCCAAUACUCUGCAACUCUUGGCUUGGCUCACUAUCAAAAUGUGUCUGCUCUCACAUUAUCUUAGCUUUCUACAUUUAUUUAAGCAGUUCUGAUCUGACAGCUUACCUAAGAACAACAACAACAUUAAAUGUAAUGUUGAACAUUAGUAAAAUAGCCUAUCCAGCUACUGCUAAGUGACUGAUGAAUUAUAUUGUAGGAAUAAAAUAAUAUAGUUAAAAUAGUGUAAACCACAUUAGUUAAAGUAUGAAAAUGGAAUAGCAAGUAGUCCAUAGUGUAAUUAGUAACAUGAUUAACAAGCAAGUUAUAGUUAUGCACUUCAAGCCCCAUCAUUGGACAAGUGAAAAUAUUUUUCUACUGCAGAUUGGUACCUACAAUGUCUGAUAUCAUAAGGUGGCGAGCUGGCAGAAUUAUUAGCAUGCCAGGAAAAAUGCUUAGCCAGCAUUUCAUCAAUCCUUAUGUUUUGAGUUCAAAUUCUGCGUAAGUCAACUUCACUUUUGGGGUCAAUAAGAUAAGUACCAGUUGAAUACUGAGGUUAAUGUUAUCAACUUACCUUCUCCCACAAAAUUUGAAACCAAUUUCAUAAACAUUCAUGAAUACUGGAAGUAAAAGCUGAAGGGAUGCUUGCUGUGAGAUAAAGUAUGGAUUAAUUUUUCAAACAGAUUUGCCCUCCAUCCACCCAACAAAUGUUCUUUAGUGGAAACAUUAGUUUCUAUAUCAUACCAUGAAUAACAUAUUAUGAAACAACAAAGGAACCUCUGUAUGGUUAUACAUGUUGCUAGAAACAGAAGCUAAAUCUCCUUCAAAUCACAUCUGUUUUACAAAAGGACACAGCCAAAAAGGUAUGCAAAACUACAGUUUGGUCACAAAUAGAAUACCUUUAAGUACUAAUUUGUUUGAUUGGAACGAAACAACAGCAGCAUGCAAUAACUCUUCAGUUUCUCUUUCAUACAGUGUGCAGACAAUUACUAACUAACUGUUUCUAGUGAAUAGCCUCACUAACCCUUUAGCAUUUAGAUUUCUUUGUCAAAUAUGUUACUUACUUAUAUUAUAGGGUAGGUGUGAUAGGCUGGAUCUGGUCAGUUUUAUCAUAAAACAAGUAGAAUAUUUGGGCUGCAUAUGGCUGGAUUAAAUGUUAAAGGGUUAACAUAAAGCCUCUUUAAUUUUAAAUCAGAAAUCUUACUGACUGGUUGGUUUAUUGAAUCAUCAAGGCCCCAUUUUUGAUAAUACUAAUAAUAACAAUAAUGAUACCUUCAUUUGGUGCAAGAGCAUACACUCCAAAGAAAUCACUAAUUAAAUCAACACAAUUAUGUAUAACUAUUACUUAUUUUACCAUCUGUGAAAAGAUAUGAGGUAAAGUUGACUCCUGCAAAAGGUCAUAACUAAAUAGUUCAAGAUGUCUAGUCCAGUCCUCAACCAUUUGUACUUUCAAUUAGGAGGUGAGUGUGAGGAACAUUUGACAAUAGAAAAAUGAAAGCAAAGUGAAUUCAGGAUAUAGAGAUGUAACUAAUCUGUACAGUGCUUUAUUAACUUUGGUAAUCAACAAAUUUUGGUUCAAAUUUUGGGGUAGGGUUAAGCCGAUUCUUUGACCCCAGUGCUCAGCUGGUUCUUAUUUCUUUAACUUCAAAGGCAAAAUUUGAACCUAGAAUGUGAAGAUGGAAUAAAUAUCCCUAAGAAUUUUGUCCAACUUGCUAAUGAUUCUACUGGCUCAUUACUUCCAUAAUAAUAAUAAUAAUACACUUUUAUUUCAGUAGCUCAACUCAAAUACUAUGCUCAGAACACAACAAAUCCUCUACAUAAUCAUCACCUUCUCAACUAACAUAGCAAUACCCUAUAUGAUCACCACUCAGUAACACAACACAUACCUGAUGCAGUUGCCUCAAUAAAUUAGCUCAUACAAUAAUACGCAAUCCAUAUAUCAUAUACUGUAUACAAUCACUACCUUGCAUUAAAGCACAUAACACCAACCAUCAUGUGUGUCUGUUGGAAUGGUGAGGACCAUCUAGUCAUCCUUAGGGAUAAUUGGUGACUUGCAUGGUGACAUUGUUUAAAGUGAAGAUGAGUUGCACCCAUGAACCUCACACUCUUGUCCAUAUCUAUCGUCAGUCCAGUGACAAGGCCAGAUCAAAAUGACUAGGGCUGGAGAAGGAUGCAGUGGAUGACCAAGAUGUCUUACUUGCUACAUCUUGCUGUUUGCAAUCCACAAUGCAUCGUUGCAGCUGCCUUCUCCUCUGUUGAACUAUGACAGUUUCGUCUACAGUGUCCACUGGAUCCAGUUUUCAUACGCAUAGGUAGUCAAACUCUAAUAUGCUACUUAGCCCAUAGAUGGGACCCUGACAGGUGCAAGUACUAUGGGCCAGAAUACACCUGGGAACAAAAAUGGAUAAUUGGUGGUUCCACACUCCUCAAAGCCAGAUCAGUGGCUCUUAACUGGGGUUCAUAUGGCCCUUGUGGGUCCAUAUGAGAUUCUUGGGCAUUCACAUAACAAAGUAGUAAAUUGGGGAUCGCAAUAGUAUUUUAAGGCCCCCUGAAAAAAUUUUGCUUUAGAUGUAUUUAUUGCAAGAAACAGCUAGGUUUCUUACUGUAUCAUUUUACGUAGUUCAACCUACAUAAGUUAAUGUGUGUGACAAACAAAAUAGGAACUUUGAAAGAAGUUUCUAUGAAACUAGUUUUUAAAUAUUGAAUGGUUCUGGGAGUCCACCAGAAUAAAAUAGUAAUGAAAGGGGUUAAUUGAUAAAAAAUGGUUGGGAACCCCUGCACUGGACCUCCCAAACCAGGGCCUCACUACUGAGUGUAGUUUUAAGUGAAACCCAGGACACAACACUAACCAUACAGCUCAUAUGAAACAUAAAUCUCUGCCUAACAAAUAUAGCGUGACAUCAAAAUCCUAAUAUCAAACAUAACAGCAUAUACAAAGCACAAUCCCCAGCCAACAGAAUAACUCAACUCCCGUUGUACAAUCUUUUAUACAACAAAUGAAAAGUUAAACCACUAGCAUUCAGAUUAUUCUGUCAAGUGUAAUGCUUAUUUACUCAUGUUGUUUUGAAUUAUCAUACAUUAUCUUGUAGCUUUGAGAUUUCAAUGAUUUUGAUGAUGUGAUUGUUUAUAUUUAGAUUGCGUUUGUAAGGUAGAUGUAAAUGGUUAGGUCUGGCUUGUUUGAAUAUAAAACAGGUAGAAUAUUUUGACCAGAUAUAGCUGGUUUAACCCUUUAGCAUUCUAUCAAAUGUAAUGCUCAUUUAUUCACAUUGCUUUGAAUUAUGCAUUAUCUUGUAGCUUUGGGAUUUUGAAGAUGUGAUUGUUUAGUUUUUUGGAAUGACAUCUAGUAGGUGUGAGAGGCUGGAUCUGGCCAAUUUGAACAUAAAACAAUAAUUAAAGCAGAUAUGGCUGGUUUGAAUGCUAAUGGGUUCAAAUAAUGUCAGGAUCAACUAAACAGAUUCCCACAACAAAAGUGAAACUGGUGUAGUAUACAUGCACAAAUUUACAGUCUUAACAGACUAUAUUGUAUACAUUUCAAGAAUAUAGAGGUGCAUUUAGUGAUAUAGAAGAAGCACAUAUAAAGUUGUUGAAACAGGAUGAUGAUGAUGAUUGUUUAAGUAAGUGCUGGUAUGGCUGUGGGGUUAAGAAGUUUGCUUCCCACUUACAUGGUUUCAGGUUCAGUCCCAAUGUUUGACACCUUGGGCAAAUGUCUUCUACCAUAGCCCCAGGUUGACCAAAGCCUUGUGUAUGUAUGUGUGUGUGUGUCCUUGACAUUGCAUGAUAAUUGUAAAUAAGUGUCACUGUCAUUUUAGCAGUGUCUUUUGUUUCCAGUCUUCCAUAAAAACAGGUCUGGCUAUGGGGAAAUGUUACCUUGCUUGUAAGUAAGUGAGGAUUGGUGACAGGAAGGGCAUCCUGUUGUAGAAAAUCUGCCACGACAAAUUCUGGUUGAUCCAUGCAAGCAUGGAAAAGUGGACAUUAAGAUGAUGAUGAGGAUGUUUCUAGCAUAGGCUCAGGGCCUGAAAUUUAGGGGAAAGAGAAUAGUCAUUUCUAAAAUUCCCAUUUACUUGACUUUAUUUUAUUGACUCCAAAAGGAGGAAAAACAAAGUUGAUUAAUGUGAGAUUUGAACUCAGAAUGUGAAGAGCCUGAGGAAGUACUGCAAAGCAUUUUUACUCUCCUGAUGCUCUAACAAUUCUGCCAAUCUGCUCUAAAUAAUAAUUGUAUAAAGCUUGAACUUUGAGAAUAAGGGUUUAACCAUUUGGCAUUUAAACCAGCCAUAUCUGACCCAAAUAGUUUAUUUGGUUUUAUGUUCAAACUGUCAAGAUCUGCUCUCUUACACCUAUUCUACAAUGUCAUUCUAAAAAUAUGCAAUCACAUCAUCAGAAUCUCAAAGCUUUGAGAAUAUGCAUGAUUAAUUCAAAAUAAUGUGAAUGUAUUUGUUGCCCACUUCUGCUUGACAACCAGUGUUGGUGUGUUUAUGUCCCGUAAUGUAAACAGUUCAGCAAAAGACACUGAUAGAAUAAACACUAGGCUUAACAAAAUAUGAGUACUGGGGUCAAUUCAUCUGACUAAAAAAUUCUUCUAUGUGGUGCCCCAGCAUGGCCACAGUCUAAUGACUGAAAAAUGUAAGAGAUUAAAGAUAUAAGCACUAUAUUUGAUGGAAUAACCUGAAUGCUAAAGGGCUAAUCAAAUUGUCCAUAGUACUUGAGUGGUAGUUUAUUAUAUCAGCUCUGAAAAGAUGAAAGUCAAAAUCAACCUUGGUGGGAUUCAAACUCCUAAAUACCACUUGACAGUUUGUCUGCUGCUCUAACAGUUCUGCCAAAUUGCCCCUCAAGUAUUUCUAAUAUAGGCACAAGACCACACAUAGUGGUGGUUGGGAAGGAGAAAUGGAAUCGAUUAGACCACUCCUAGUAAUUGACUGAUUCUUAUUUGAUCACCACUAAUCAGUCUAUAGUGGCAGUGGUCACAGACUAAUGAGGAAAACGGCAAAGAGCAAAACAGAUGAUGCAACACCGUCCCUACCAUUUAUCAUCAAAGUUGUUUUCCCCUUCAUCAUCAUCAUCAUCAUCAUCAUUUACAUGAGUGCUAAAAACUCUUUGUCACAUCAGUAUGAAAUCUAGUCAAUAACGGAAUAAUUAGAAAUUAGAUUUGUCGUAAAUUUUUAUUCUUUCUUUUUCUUGUUAAUGUUAAUUUUAUUUUUAGUCUGUUGGAUUAAAUAUUGUAUUUAAAAAAAAAAUUUUUUUUUCUUAUUUGUUUCUAACUUUUAUAAAUGUCAAUAUUUUAUUUUUCUCUAUUGAUUUAUUCUUUCUUUCUUCAAUUAUGUUCUAUUUAAGUGUGAUAAUUUGUAUUGCAACCUAUUCUCCACCCCACCUCUCUUUACUUCUUGAUACUGUGUCCAGUAAUUGUCUUCGGGUCUUAAUUCUGCUUUCUGUUCUUUUUCUGUUUCUGCUUUUUUUUUCCUGUCUGUUUGGUUAUUUUUUAAAAAUAUUUGUUUAAAUAAUGCUGCAGUUGUUUGUUUUAUAAAUUUUAAAUCUGUCUUGGUAUUUUUACUGUUAUUAUUAUUUUUAUUUCACAGUUGUAAGAAUACUUGAUUAUAAUAACGAUAAUAAUAAUAGUAAUAAUUAUAACAGUGAUGAUAAUGGUCUGUGAGUGACGCGCAAGAAGCAAUCUUUGUAGAAGUGGUUAUUAGGUGGGGGAAAACAAUUUGAUAAUAUUCACUGGUAUAUAUUUUAGUCACAUCCAAAGAAAUGGAAGAGAAAUUCUACCCUGGGUGAGAUUUUGAACUUGGAACAUUGAUGUAAAAAAUUAAGUAUUUAUUAUAAGUCUGAUACCGUAGCAUUUUGGUCAUUUCUCUACCUGGUGAAGCAUUUUUGGUCAGCAACACUGGUAUUCACCUUUCUGUUACCAUAUUUCUUUUGAAAUAUACAACUUUUGUUUCAGUUAAUUUUAGAAAUUUUGAAAAGUUUAUUGAUAACUUUGUCAUUAUGAAGCUGGUUUUUUGAACAAUUUAGCAUGAAAUUUUGAUGGAAGAUUUUAAUAUAGGUAAUUUCAAAACAGGAAGUUUUGAACUAGAAGGCAGUUUCUGGCAGGUUGGUUUCAAGAGAGUUUGUCUGCUAGGCUUAGCCGGCACCUUCAGUUCCCUCUGUCCCCUAAUCCUGUAACAUUUCAACCAGCUAUAUCUAGCCCAAAUAUUCCAGUUGUUUUAGGUUCAGACUAGCCAGAUCCAGCCUCUCACACAUACUCAAUGCUAUCCACAUCAUUGAAAUCUUGAAGCUUCAAGAUAAUGCAUGAUUAAUUCAAAGAAAUGUGAAUAAAUAAGCCUUACACUUGACAGAAGAAUUUGAAUGCUAAAGGGUUAAGUUAGUUUUUCUGAUAGAGGUGGGGAGGCUCCUCUGGGUAUGAGACCCAUUUAAAUUGAAAAGAUGGUAGAUAAAUUGCCAUGUUUGUUGAAAUCAAGAUAGUUUUAAACUCUCAUCACAUCGUAGUGAAUAAUGAAGAGUUAUAUGAUUUAAACUCAGUCCACUUCAUUGCAGCUCCCAAUUCAAAUGUGGGAUUGAGUUUAUGAGUGCCAUAUGGGUGAAGGUGUCUGCAGGAUAUUAUCAUACAUGAGUCGAAGCCCCAUGAGUUAGAGUGGCUAUUCUAGAGCAUCUCCCUCACUGUCCAUUUUGUAUGCUGUGGCCAUGAGACUGAAUUACUGGAAAUUGUAUGUUCUAUUCUUUAAUGGAAAGUUACUCCAUACAGUUUGUAAGUGUGAUUCAGAGAUCCAGCAGACUGGUGAACCUUCCCUCAGCCCUCCAUUAAAAACUAACAAUGCACAAACUCAUACUCAAUAUGGGCUGAAUAUUUACAGUUUUGCAAAUUAAUUGAAACAGUUUAUUUUAUGAGAAAUAUGAUCAAGAAGACUUUAUAACAUAAAAGAAUGUGAUAGAAAAAAACAAAAGCAGUAAACUAUCACAAGCUUACCCCAGGGUACUAAUUCUUUUACUUGUUCCAGUCAUUUGACUGAACCAAUUGAGCCCAGAUCUUAAUUUUUGUAAUCCUAGUACUUAUUCUAUCAGUCUCUUAGGCUGAACCGCUAAGUUAUGGGGACAUAAACUCACCAACAUCGGUUGUCAAGUCAUGAGGGAGGGCAAACACCCCCACACACACACACAUACGAUGGACUUCUUUCAGUUUCCAUCUACCAAAUCCUCUCACAGGGCUUUGGUUGGCCCAAGGCCGUAGUAGAAGACACUUGCCCAAGGUGCCAUUCAGUGGAACUGAACCCAGAACUAUGUGGUUGGGAAGCAAGCUUCUUACCAUACAGCCACGUGUGCAUUUAUAUUUUACAUAUUAUUUGUUAGUUGUUUGAUUCUUAAUCCUGUGCCCAUAUAUCUACUGGGCUUGUCAGCUGGUAAUAUAGUUCUUAUAGAUGAUGGAGGGGGUUCAGCUCUGCAGUGUGGGUUGCGGAUCCGUGGAACAAGCUGCCAGACAAGAUGGUGAAGAUGCCGACGACCGCUUUGUUCAAAGCCUCCCUGGACCUCAAGUGGCCUGAACUCUUUACAUGAACACCACCCUGUACUUAACUCCAUGUCCCCCUACAUGGCCUUACUAUUUGCUUUUGAGCCAAAUUAACUAACUAACUAACUAACUAACAAUUACAUAAUAUAUGUUACCAUGGUACCUAAUUACAGCUAAUUAUGAAUUGUUUCUAUUGGUUUGAAUUUAUAAACCAACCAGAGAAGGAGGGAGGUAGUACCCAUGCUACAGGCCUCACUCCCAUCCUUCUGGGAUUGUUGUAAGACAUUGCCUAGCUAGAACAUCUGCUGUAAGAAAUGGAUAUCUAUAAUUGAAUGCCUGCAACAAAUGUUUUGGCUAAAUGCACCCAAGGACCAGGGUGUGGCUUGUUCAGCAACAUAACAAUGCUUUUUCAAUUAGUCAGUACUCUGAUAACACGAACUUUAUACAUUUUAUACAGCAUGUUUACACACUCACCUCUUUGCUCCUCCUCAUUCUCUCUUCUCACACACACACGCACUUUCAAAUAUUCAUACUCAAUCUGAAAUACACACAUACUAUCUCUCUUUCUUUCUCUCUCACUCUCUCUCUCUCUCUGACAUUUACACACACACACAUACAGACAUUCUCUCAUAUUCUCUCUCAUACAUAUGCACACACUAAGGCACACAUUAGCAUAUGCAUCUUGCAUAGAAGAAGGUGUUUAUUCCUUUUGGAUUGCAAAACAGCUAGAAAAUAUAGAUAUGGUAUAGUGGUGAUGACGAGGAUGCUGAUAAUAAUGACAUUGGCAGUUGUUAUUGUUCUUCUUGUCUUUAAUGCCUUCAUGGUUGUUGUCUUUCAAUGUCAUCAUCGUCGUCAUUAUCACAGGUGGAUGUGCACCGGAAAUAGCCAAGCUAGCAAAAACUACAGAACAAAGACACAUGACAAGCCAACAGUUUCCUCUGCAUGUAAGAGAUGUGUAAGAAAUGUGUUAGUUCACUAGUAUUUUGCCACAUUAAAGCCAUAUCCAUAGACAUUCUUCUGAUUGUUUCCAGCUUCUUCAUUCACUUGCACUACCAUUUUGAAAACGAAAAUGAAAGCAACAGUUGGCUUUUACUUCAGUUUUAGUUUUGCUUUUGUUUCAUUUAUAUCUUUCCUAAUGUCUUUUUGUUUUCAUUAUUCAGUGUUUUUGAGGUCGUUUUUGCUUUUUUGUCUCCAUUUUAUAAAAAAAUUUACAAUAUUUUGUUGAUGUCCUUAUUCUCAUUAUUGUUUAAUUGAACUUAUAUAUCAUUAGUGUGUUUUUUUUCUUUCUUUUAAUUUUUACUUUUAAUUGAAAAAGACACCUGUCAUCAUUUAUGUGCAUAUAAAUAUAUUUCCAUGAUUGCAUGUGUAGACACAAUAAUUUUAUUACCUUCGUAUGUCUGAUUAAUGGUAUGUACUUACUCACAAACAUAUACAUUGUGGUUGUCACCAUCGUCAUUUUAACGCACACUUUUUCAUACUUGCAUGCAUUGGAUGGAAUCUAUUGAGUCAAAUUUUCUACAGUUGGAUGCCCUUCUUGUUGUCAGCCUACACCUGUUUCCAUGCAAGGUAAUAUUUUCUCAUGACCAGGCGUGUUUCUCGUACAAUAUCGGUAAUGAAUGACACUACAUGUUUGACAAUGUUAAGACGAGAGAGAGAGAGAGAGAGAGAGAGAGAGAGAGAGAGAGAGAGAGAGAGAGAGAGAGAGAGAGAGAGACACACACACACACACACUUCUUUCAGCUUCCAUGUACCAAAUUCCAGUCACAAGGCUUUGGUCUACCUUAGGGUAUAGUAGAAGACACUUGUCCAAGGUGUCCUGCAGUGGGAUAGAAUCCAGAACUAUGUGGUUGCAAAACAAACUUCUCACCACACUGUCACAUACACACAAAUGCUUGUUAAUAUGUGUGUACAUGCCAGUAUGUGUGUCUUGCCCACAUAUCCAGUGCUGUCUAGGUAUUUCCCCCUGUCUACAAGUCAAUAAAACUAUCACUUCAUGUUUACAUCACAAACGAAAUUCUUUUUACAUUGUUAUACAUAUUUUCUCUAUGUAAGCCCUGGAUGUGUUUGCAUAUUUAUGUUUGUGUGUGUAUUUAUACACAUACACACACCAUAUAUAUAUAUAUAUGCCUGUGUGUAUACAUAUAUAUAUGUGUGUGUGUGUAUAAAUAUAUAUAUAUAUAUAUAUAUAUAUAUAUAUAUAUAUAUAUUAUAUACAGGGUGUCCGCAAAGUCUGGGUUCAUGGGGAUUAACACAUACUUUAAGAAAUUAUUAUUUCUUAUAUUUAAUUGUUUAUGUUAUGAUUUUAUUUAUUCCAUGUACCCAGACUUUGUGAACACCCUGUAUAAUAUGAAAGCCUCAGUCCCUCCUGUGCCUUCAAGUUUAUUGACCAUAAAAUUGAUGCCACUGAUUUCUAUUGACUGCAAUUUUCUUUGCAUCUAGCUAAGUGAUAUUGGCCUCUCUCACAUCAGCUAUGAAUGCUCUGCACCAUGGAACUCCGGUCUUGUUGUCUUUUUCUCUUUGGUGGUGUCCGUUUGAAAGCUGCUUUAGAAUGUUCUAGCAGCCAAAGCUUGUAAUCUGUUGGUUUUAUUCUUCAGUCUGCGAUGGUUUAGCUAAGUGAUCCUGUGUUGCCUUUCUUUAGAAUAUCUUCAUUUGUUAUGUGGUCUUUCCUGUACAUUCUCAAAAGCCUUCACAAGCAUCCUUCACAGAUUGCAUCUAGCUUUGUGUUGACUUUCAUGCUGUUCUUCCAUGUCUCACUAGCGUAAAGAACUAUUGGUAGAACUACGCAGUUAUGCAGCUGGAUCUUUGUGUAUAGAGUGAUGGUGUUGGAGGAUCAGGCUGGGCAUGUUCUCUGGAAGAUGGCUGCAGUUUUGUCAGUUCCAUCAUUGCUGUCUAUUUCGAUAUCACCUUUGUUAGUGAUGAUGCUCCCUAGAUAGAUGAAUCUGGCUACUGUCACGCACACACACACACGCACACACGUGUAUAUAUUUGUGUCUUUGUGUCUGCCCUGCCCCCAUAACUUAGCAGUUUGGUGAAAGAAUAAGUACUGGGCUUCAGAAAUAUGUGCCAUAAUUAAAUGUAUGGAUAUAGGUCUUAUAUUUUAAAUGAGGAAUAUACACUAGUUGGAAGUUGUGGGGGUUCAUAUUUGCAGAGUAAGUAUAUAUUAAAACAAAAAAUGGAAAUUUUGGUAUAUUUUUAAUUCCGUGUUACGUGUGUUUCAUUACAGUAUAGGAAAUCCAUUAUGUCUAUAACUAAUAAUAAUAAUAAAGCAAGCUGGCAGAAUUGUUAGCACCCCAGGCAAGAUGCUUAGUGGUGUUUUGCUUGUCUUUAUGUUCUGAGUUCAAAUUCCACCAAGGUUGACUUUGCCUUUAUUCCUUUUGGGGUUGAUAAAACAAGUAUGAGUUGAAUGUUAAAGGUCUGUGUUAUCAACUUCCCCUCAAAUUGCUGGCCUUGUGCUAAAAUUUCAAACCAGUAUUAAUAAUAAUAAUAUGAAUAUAAUAAAUUCAUAAUAGGUAAUAUACAUAUAGAAAGUGCAUAUGAGAUCUAUUUGUAAUUCCCUGGAUAAAGAAUAAAAUAAAUAAUAUUGGGUUGACUAAAAAAGUUUGUUUUUUCCUUUGCACAUGCAUACUCAUCAGAUUCCUCUCCUCCAGACCCACACACUCCCACUCACUGUUGGAGCUGAUUGUUAAUUCUGCUAUUUGAGUUUUCCACUUAUAUGCAUUCAUUCACGAGGCAUAUACCUACAAACAAGAAACUCAGAGUGGUAGCAAAGUAUAUCAACAACUACAUAAGAAUAAAUAAUAAUUAUCUACAAUAGAAUUUGUGUGUGUGUGUGUGUGUGUAUACACGCACAAACAUAUUUUUUUUUUAAAUAGAAGAAAUUCAAAAAGCAGAAACAAAGUCUAGAAUCAAGUGAGUAAAGGUAACAAAGACUAAAGUUUAUUGUUUGCAGGAAAGAAAAGGAGACUUUACUGUUAUGUUUGCUAUGCAAAAAUAGGAAUAACAAGGAAUUCCAUGCAAUGCACCCAGUGUAAACUAUGUGUGCUAAAGGGAUGCAGUGAUAACUGGGGCAAGGUGAUAGAAAAGGACUUCAUAUGUAUCAGAUGCACAGGAGUAGUUAGCAGUAUGGGCACCCAUGGAAUAAAUUCUUUCAAAUAUUUGAAGUACUCCCAAGAAGUAAUUGAUAGCUUUCAUUACUUAAGUAACUUAUUUAGCAGUGGUGGUGAAUGUUCUGAAAGUAUAGCCAGAGUAAGAACAGGGUUGAAAAAGUUUGGGGAACUAUUACUUCUGUUAAGUGACAAAGAGAUUACACUGUAAUAUGACUUUUGUCCUUGGAUAGCAACUGUUAUUUUCUACUUAGAAAAUUUGGAAAAUGGCUAAUGUUUCUUUCAAAUUUUACUUUUCUCAAAAUUGUCUCUGCGUGGACAGCUAGAAGUAAACUGAACUGUUGAGCUUAUCAUCCCUGUAUUUAUGCUGCCAUCUAUGUUGCCAGAACAUUCUAGAAAUUCUGAAAGUUUUAGUAACUUCUUGAAAGUUCUAGAAAAUUGUACUUAAGCAACUUAGCACUAAUUCUGUCUGAAAUGUAAUGGAAAAUUGGUCAGUUUCAAAAUAUUGAUGUCCAGGUUACAAAAGCAAAGUUUGAAGGGAAUAGUAGUCAUUUCCUUUGAUUUCUAGAUAGAAGCAAAUAGGAAAUAACACUGACUGACUAAAGACAAAAAGAAAUGGUAUACAGUGUUAUAUCUGAGUGAAACACAACCAGGUAACAUAUGAUGCAAUGUUACCUGGUUGCCAAACAUGGGCUUUGAAUAUGGAUGACAGACAAAGGGGUAGGGGUGGGGGGAAUGAGAUGAACAUGUUCAGCUGCAUAUAUGAAUGAACAAUGUAGCAUAAAUGAGCUGAUAGAAAAACUGAGUAUAAGAUGUCCUGAGCAAAAGAGAAUACUGUGAUAGGGGUAUGUAAUGUGUAAGGAGGAUAACAGUGCCUGGUUGUGAAGAGGUGUUGAAUGAAGACAUGGGAAUAUGUAGUGAAGAUUGAUCUCAAGAGGCUGGACUUCCAUGAAGUUAACAAAAGGACUUCCAGAAGUGGUGAUGCUUUGUACCAGGGUAAAAACCUUUCCAACUUAAAACAAGCAUGGAAAAAUGGACAUAAAAUAUUGCUGAUAAUGAUGAUCACAUAAAUAUUUGGUUUGAAGUAUUAAUUGGAUGUCUAUCUUAGCAAAAGUAUCCAAAUUGCAUUGUUAUUAGAGAAAAAUGUCAUGAGGUUUAUUCUAUCUAUUGCUUUAGUUUUUCUUCUUUUUCAAAUUCUUGUCAAUUGGUUACAAACUACUGUCAUGUAGAUGGUUUCAUAACUUGUGCAUGUAAUGUCACAAUUUAUGUACAUGUACAUGCAUUUGCACUCUCUCUCUCUCUCUCUCUCCUUUCUCUCCCUCAUACACACAAGGAUCAUUAAGUAAAACCUACUUCUGCUACUGAACAAUAUCAUGGCAUAAAUCACAGCAAUAAAAUGCUAAUGGUUGAAAUGUGAAGGCAAUUACAGAAUGAAGAAUGAAUACAAAAUAUAAGAUAUUAAGAAGUAAUAGAAUCACAAAAAUAACAAUCCUGAAAGUAGUGCAGUUGUUGGGUAAAGGUUUCUGUAUGUCCUACCUGAGUAAAAGUUAAUGCAUAAAGUUAUUGUUACCUGUAGGGUAAAGUUCUGGAUUUAUGGUAGAGGAAGAAUUCUGAGGCUCUCUUUGUACAAAGAAAUCCUUUGUUAUGUUUAUUUAGUAGGUUUAUGUUUAGUAAAUAAAACAGUAAAGCUUUCCCUUGAACAUAAAUUACAAGAUUUCACAUUUCCACUACAGGACUUGGUCAUAGAAUACUGAGCAAAACAGAUGGCCUUUUGUCAAGGAUCAUUUUAAUUUAAUGCAGUAAAUAAUAUAGUUCUAGUGCCAUCUCAAUUUCUUUUUAUUUGAAAGUGGCUUUUAGUACAUGGCUACUCUUUCAUUAACAUACUCACUCAUACUUCCACAUGCAAAUAUGUAUGUGUGUUUGUAUAUAUUAGUAGGGAACUAGGUGAUAAUCAAUAGACAGAACUAUUUAGUAGAUUCAUAGACAGAAAUUAUUGGUGAAGAAAGCAGUCUUUAAGUGAAGUUAGUGUCAAGUUUUGUGUGUGUGUGUGUGUGUGUGUGAGAGAGAGAGAGAGAGAGAAAAGCAGACAGACAGACAGACAAUCAAUCAGAAUGACAGGCAUAAGGAAAAAGAUAACAUGUAAUUAUAAUUUCAGAGAUAUUACAACGGAACCAUUCACUCACUUCUCUUCAUCCCCAUGAUGUAUUUAUUACUUUGAUUAGUCUUGUGUUAAAUACAUUGUGCUAAAAAAAUCUUAUUACCCAAAUUAAAUGUUAAACUGCUUGAAUAUCCCAUUUAAACACCCAUCAAUCAGCCUUGUUAAAUGCUACCAUUAAACAGCCAUUAACCAACGUUGUUAAAUAUCACUAUUAAACACCCAUUUAUGAACCUUGUUAAAUGCUACCAUUAAAACAUUGUUAAAUUCAUUCAAGUCAUAAUAAAUACCCCAUGAAACUUCCUGCUCAACUGACAUCCAAUUAGACAUUCAUCUUGUUAAUUACAACAUAAAAUGUUUUGUCAAUUGAUCUAUUACAUAUUUGUUAACUAUUUCCUGAAGCACCCUGUUUUCAUAUCCUAUUAAACAACAUGUUUUAUCAUUCCCUUUUUUCUCUCUCUCUUUUUUUCCCCCACCAAUGCCUCAGUUUCUUGCCAACCUUCUAAGGAUGACAACAUGUUUUUGUUUCGCUGAAAAUAAGAUAACACUAUAACUAUACUUUUUUAAAAAAAUCAAAAUCUAAAACAGUGGUUCUUAACCAUUUUCCACCUAUGGACCUCUUUAAUUCCUAUUUUAUCCUACUGGACCUCCAUACAUUCAGUGUUUUAAAAAAAUCUUACUGCAUUUUCAUAAUUAAAUAUUAUCAGGAAUUGGAUUAAAAAAUUGUUAAAAUAUUUUGUAUUGUAGAAGUAUAACCAAUUUAUUGUACAUAAAUUUUAACAGCAAAAUCUUAUAUGAAUCCCAGUUGAGAACCACUGAUUGAAGUAUAUUAUAACCAUGAGAGAGACUGUGUGUGUAUGUGUGUGCAGUCAAAAUGGGUAAUGAAUGAUUAAUUUUAAUGUACAGAUGUGAAAAUCAGAGAUAAAAUAUUCUGACCUUGAAUAAAAUUGCAACAUAGAUUAUGCAACAGUUACAUUAGACAGACAUGCGGGCCUGAUUUCAUGCUGUAAAAUGUUGCUACAGUUUGGCCAUGGAUGCAAGGUAUAGCUAUGUGGUUAAGAAAUUUGCUUUAUAACCAUACGGUUUGGGGUUCAAUCCCACUGUGAAGCUCCUUGGGUAAAUGGUUUUUUACUAUAGCCUUUGGUUGGCCAAUACCUUGUGAGUGCAAUUUCAUAUGGUAAAUUUAGAGAAAUAUGCUGAAUGUGUGUGUGUGUGUGUAUGUGUAUAUUUACUCAUGUAAAAUUGUAAGUUAAUGAUUUGAUAAAUAUUGAUAAAAUAAAUCCUAGUGUUGGUAUGAUUGACUAUAAACUGUUAAGUCUUGUGGUUGAAUCCAGUUAAUAACAUAUCAGAGAAUGCUGUUGGGAUGAGUGCUGACUCACCUUUAUAUAAUCUAUUAUCAUUAUUAUUAUUAACAUGAAAGUGGCAAGUUGACAUAGAGUAACUAAGACUAAAUUAGUCAAUGUGUUGAGUUUUAAAAGAUGGUUGAGCGUAAUUUGUGGGACAUUCAACUGCUAAUUUUAAGUGUGUCUGGCUAUAUAGAAGUAGUUAUGUAAGAUUUUGGUAGCAGUGGUGGUCAUGGUGGUAGUGGCAGCAGUAGUAUUGGUAGGUGUAAUAAGUAUUCAGAAGUUAAAAUUUUUAUUAUUUUUUUUUACUUGUUUCAGUCAUUAUACUGUGGCCAUACUGGGGCACUGUCUUGAAGAAUUUUAGUCAAAUGAAUUGACCUCAGUACUUACUUUUUAAAGAUUGGUACUUAUUCUGUCAAUUCCACUAAGUUACAGGGAUGUAAACACACCAAUACCAGUUGCCAAGUGAUGGUGGUGGGGGAAACAGACAUAAAGACACACACACAUACACAAUGGGGUUAUAUCAGUUUCCAUCUACCAAAUCUACUUACAAGGCUUUGGUUGGCCUGAGGCUAUAGUAGAAAACACUUGGCCAAGGUGUCAUGCAAGGGAACUGAACCCAGAAUCAUGUGAUUGGGAAGCAAACUUCUUACCACACAGCCAUAUCUGCACUUUAUGUGUAUGUUUGAGAUAUGUAUACUUGUGAGUGGAGCAUAGCUUGUUUGGUUAAGAAGUUUACUUAGCAACCCUAUGAUUUUGGUUCACUCCCUCUGUGCAUUUGGUUACCACAUGUAUUCUAUAAUAGUCUUGGAUCAUGAAAAGUUUUGUUGGAGAUGGAAACUAUGUAGAAGCCUGUUAUAAUAAUCACUCUUGGUUUUGGAGAUGAUAGUCUUAAUCCAUCACUCAAUUUAACACCACCAACUUUUCCCCUUGAUGCUUUAUUAUUAAUUUAAUAGUUGUCCAAACUUCAAGUUGUUGUUUUGACCCAGGUCAAGACUAAUAAAGUCCAUUUAUGAGCAGAGCAUUUCUUCCAUGAUCAUCUUACUGUAUUUUCUGAUAGUAUGUUCUGGACUAAAUUAUUCAACUGAAAUUGUAGUCAUGGCCAGUGCCAGUAACAUGUGAAAGGAACCCAUGUUGGUGACACAUGAGAAGCACCCGUGCUGGUGACAUGUAAAAGGCACCUGUAUUAGUGACACAUAACAAACACCCAGUACCCUCUGUGGAGUGGUUGGCAUUAGGAAGGGCAUCCAGGUGUAGAAACCUUGCCAAAACUGACUGGAGCCUGGUGCAGCUCCCCAGCUUAUCAGCUCUAGUCAAACCAUCUAACCCAUGUCCGCAUGGAAAAUAGGUGCUAAAUAAUGAUGAUGAUUAUGAUGUCCUUCCAUUUUUGGCAUUUAAAAACCAGUCACAUCCGACUCGAAUAUUCUACCUGCUUAACAUUGAAACUGACUAAAUUUGGCCUCUCAUAUCUACCCUACUAUGUCAUUCUAAAAAUAAGCAAUCACAUCAUCAAAAUCUCGAAGCUAUGGGAUAAUGCAUGAUUAAUUCAAAACAAUGUGAAUAAAUAAUCAUUAAAAUUUGUCAGAGUAAUCCAAAUGCUAAAGGGUUAAGCAGAGUUUACUUUGUUGUAAGUAUUCAGGCAAGGUUGUUGAUCCAAAGAUCAAACCCCAGCUCCUUUCUUCCACAAAUCUUGGAGGCCUUCUGAAAGCUUAUAGUUACUACUAUGGAUGUAAGUCAAUGCAGUGUGUGUGUAUAAAAGCUUAACUGUCACUUGCAAAUGGAUAUGACCUGAUAAAACAAUAGUGGAAAAUUAAUUGUGUCAGAUAUGUAUCUAGUCGCAGACAGACAUAGACACCCUCUUGCCCUUGAAACAGUGGAACAUUGAAGGUAUAGCUGGAUAGAGAGGGUUGCACUAGCAGUCAACCAGUAAUCAUUUAUAGCUGAAUAGUCUGGAGCUAUGUGAAAUUGUGUUCCUUGCUCAAGGACACAGCACACCACCUGGCUCAGGAAUCAAGCCCAUGGCCUUAUGGUUGUGAGAUCAAUGCCCUAACCAUGAGGCCACACACUUUUCACACGUGCAUGCACACAAACAUUUAUAUAUUGAGUAUAUGUAUGCAUGUCUGUGGGUGAGUGUGAUCUACAGUGUAUACAUAUAUGCUGUUGUGUGUGCAUAUCAUCAGUUAAUGUCUGUUUUCCAUGCUGGCACAGGUUGAACAGUUUGACAGGGGCUGUCUAAGUAGAAGACCACACCAGGCUUCACUGUCUGUUUUGGCAGGGGUUUUAUGGCUGGAUGCCCUUCCUAACACCAACUACCUUACAGACUGGACAUAUAUGUAUAUAUUUGCAUGCCUGUGUGCAUGUUUGUGUGUCUGUGUAAAUACAUGUAUGGUACAUGCUUUUUCUUCUGAGUGAGGGUACAUGAAUGAGUGUAUGUUUGUAAGUACCUCUGAAUAUGCAUGCUAUUGCUGUAUAGCCCUAGGUUAACUCUGGUCAAGCAGACUUAUAAGGCAUUCCAGCUACAAUAAUCUUUUUUGUACACAUUUUAAAAGUGUAUUAUCAAAUAAAAUCCCUACCAUUCUUUUAAAAUAGUAAGAUGUGAUAUAAGAGAUUUGGCUGCUAUUUCUGGCAGAUGGAGGGACCAUGUUGAAACUCCUCAUCGGUUUGUAGAAGCAUGCAUUUCUGUGUGUGUAUGUAUAUGUAUAGACAUAUGUGACUGACUAAAUAUAUGACUAAAUGCGUAUGUUUGUAAAUGAUCUCUAUAUAUGCCUGCAUAUCUCUCGGUAUUUGUGCAUAUGUGUGUAGAUAUUUUUUUUAAAAAAAGGCUGAAAUAAAACUAACUGUAGUAAAAGGAAAGAUGGAUGCAGGUAAAUUGAUGAAGUGGAAGGAAAGAAGAGUGUGAAAGUAGCCCUGGCCGUGUGUGCACGUGAAAGAGAGAGAGAGUGUGUGUAUAAAUCAAUUGAUGUUUGGCUCAACUCCAGACGGAAGGUGCAUAAGUAUCCACUGCACCAUUACUUCAUAGCAUCAUCGCAGUAAACUACUGUGCAAUCUGAUGUUUUAGCAGGGAGGUGGGGGUAGAAUAGAAAAAGAGUGGGGGACGAUGUGUGCAUAUAUAUAUAUAUAUAUAUGUGUGUGUGUGUGUGUGUGUGUAUAUAUAUAUAUAUAUAUAUAUAUACAUACACGCACACAUACAUGUGUGUGUGAUUUCAGAGGGAGAGAUUUGUGCAGCAGAAGAAGGAGUCUUAGACAAGAGUGGGGAGGGGGAUGUUUGGAAGAAGAGAAAACAAAAGUGAAGGGGAGGGUCACAUGGUCACAUGUUGAGUUGAGGAGAGAGGGAGUGAGAGAGAGAAAGAGAGAUUGAAGCAGUUGGGGAGAGAUGAAAAAGAGAGAGACAGAUUUACGCAGAGGAUAACACAGAUGGACAUAUGCAGAGUGAUAUAUAUAUAUAUAUAUGUAUAUACACACACAGGUAAAAAAAGUGACUUGAUUCAUAUAGAGUGCAAGACAUGCAUGCAGAGAGAGAGAGAGAGAGAUGGCUGGGUUGGAGCAUAGAUAAACAGAAGGAUUCAAAGAAAAAGGAAGGGGAAAUUGGUGAAAGAAAGAAAACAGACAGGAAGAGUGAGGGAAUUUUUUACAUAAUGUCUUAGAGAAGGAAGACCGAUGUCCAUGUGUCCUUUCACGGUUUCUGCAACUGGGUUGGAGGUAGAAGUUAACCUCAGAUGAGACAUCUGGCCCAAAUGUUUGCAGCAGGGCAGACUGUUAAAGUCAGCCGAGGCCUGUUGGUGGUGUUCAUUUGGAUGACAUGCUUAGAGAGAGAGAUGUCUGCAGAGAAGAUAAGAAAGUGCAAGAAACAGAGAGAGAGAGAGAGAUGCACACGUAUACAGAAAGAGACAUUGAGAAACUUGCAUAUAGGAGAAGGUUAAAGAGAGAGUACAAGAGUUGCAUACAGAUAUGCAUGGUAAGAGAGAAGGACGGACAUACAGAUAGAGUGAGAUAUAUAGGUAUAUUUACUGAUAUAUAUGGUGAGAGGAAGAGAAAGAUAUGUACAUGUGUGUGUGAGUGUGUGAGAGAGAGAGAGAGAGAGACUUGUCUGCAGAGAUGUAUGGAGACAAACAGGCAGAUGAAAUAUUGCUUGUAGUUACUGUCUUAGUAAUGAGUUAGCACUAGUAUAAAUACAAUAAACUGGCAUUUUGUGUCUAGUGUAGUGCUGGUUGUGGAGUGUAGUGACAUUGGUGUGGUAGUGGUGGUCGUGGUGAGAGCUGCAACACAUUUCAGAAGUAAAAGGAAGAAGAGGAGCAAACUAAAGAAUUCGGUGUAAAAACAGCAAAAUGAAACUGAAGUGCCAUCUUUUUCAUUCUGCUUGAAUGUGUGUGUGUGUGUGAGAGAGAGAGAGAGAGAGAGGGAGAGAGUGUGUGUGUGUGUGUCUAAGCAGGUAUGUUUGUGUUUAUGGGGGUGGGUGGUUUACAUGUGUCUGUCUAAGCAUAAUUUUGUGUUUGUGUAUCUGCUCUAGGCAUGUGUGAAUAUGUGUAAAAACAUAUGUGUGUGCAUGUAUAGGAAUCUAUGUUCUUGUGGGCAGGUGUGUGCGUGUGCAGGAAUGUAUGCUCAUGUGUGCAGGUGUGUGUGUGUGUGUGUGUGUGCAGGUAUCUAUGCAGUCCCAUGAUAGCUUCUUGUAAUAGUCCAUCUUCCCAGCUUGCAACCACCUGUAGAGAGAUGCAGGCUGGUACAGUGUGGCUGCCCACAAUCAGUCUAUGGUCUGUGGUCCUCAGGCAUGGAGUUGUUUUGCUUAUAUCUCUUUUUAUUAAUUGCUUGGUGGCAUAGUAGUUGAGUAGUGUUGAGGGUUGGUAGAAUGACAAUAUGCAGUCACAGCACUUGCAGGUAGCUCAAAUAAUAUCUUUUUUUUAUGAAUUGUCAAAGAUGUUUCUCAAUGCUUAUAUGAGAAAAUUUUAAUAUCCGUCAUCUCACACACCUGCCUUGUGUUAUCGUACCUAAGUAGAAACCUUUUCCCCACCUUGACCUAACCACUGGCAGCUUAUUUCCUCAUUUAUUCUCCCAGUCCCUCACCUAUUUAACCAGCUCGCUAAGUUUGGUGCAACACAUUGCGAUCUAUCUAUUUAUCUGUCUGCCUGUCUAACUAUGUCUAUAUUUAGAAAUAUAUAGACAUAUGUGUCUAUCUAUAUCUAACCUGUCUGUCUAUGUCUAUUGAUCUGUCUGUCUGUCUGUCUCUCUAUACAUCUAUCUGCUUAUCUGUCUGUCUUUCUGUCUAUCUGUUUUUCUGCCUGUCUAUUUGCUUGUCCGUCUGUCUAUUCAUCUAUUUAUCUAUCUGUCUAUCUACACACACACCAGUAUGUAUUCAUAUGUCUAUCCAUAUAUAUAUAUAUAUAUAUAUAUACACACACACACACACCCAUCUAUCCAUAUAUGUGUCUAUUCAUCUAUGUAUUUCUACACCUGUCUACCCAUAUUUUCUAUUCAUCUGCAUACUGUAUAUCCGUUAUGUAUAUCCAUAUAACUGUCUGACAGUCUGUUGCUGUACCUUAUUUGUGUACUAUAUCUGUUUUAUCUGUCAUAAUGACCCACACCCCCAGUACAAAAAUCAUUGUAAAGGUCAGGGAGGGAUCUUGUGCCCUUGUCUACAAUAACAGUGAUGAUGACAAUGACACUGUCUGCUGCUGCUGUUUGUCUGUUCUAGGUGGCGCCAGUGAAUGCCUGGCAUUGGUGCUGUCGUUGCAGACAGCUUGAUCGUCUGCACUUACUAUGAUUUUUGUUUUUGUUUUUUUACGGCAAUAAUUAUAAGAGUAAUGGUAAAGAUAAUGAAAAUAAUGAUUGUAAUAAUAACGAUAACAAUAAUUAUGAAGAUGAUUUCUUUAAUAAUAAUUGUAUUAAUGAUAUUAUGGAAUGAUAAUAUACACCAAUAUCUUUGUCAAUUUCAUCUCUUUUUCUGUUAUAACUACUUCUCUCUCUCUCUCUCCACACACACACACACACACACACACAUGCACAUACACACUCUCUCUCUCACCGAAUAUGUACACAUACACACACUAAAUAUAAUGCGCAAUUGUGCAUUUACAUACAUUAUAGAAAUUGGAUAGAAUGCUUGAGUUUGAGGGAAGAACAGUAACACCAGACAGAAGGAUGGUCUACGUAAAACUCGGAAAAUUGCAAUAACAGAAGUAUAAAAAAAAAACCCCAAAAAAACAAAAAUUACCAGUCGGCGAGCAAGGAAUGGUAAAAAAAAGAAAGAUGACAGAAAUGUCAAAAGGGGAAUGACAAAAUAAUAUUAAUGAUACCUAUAUAGAAAGAAAAAAUUAAAUUGACAGGAAUAACUGAAUGAAUGAAUGAAGAAAUCACAAAGGAAAGAAGAAAAAGUAUAAACAGCAUGAGAGGUCACACACAUACAUAGACACACAUUUAUGCGUAUUUGUGUGUGUGUGUGUGUGUGUGUGUGUGCAUUUUCUCUCUAUUACAUUUCAUCUUCUCUCUAUAGUGAUUUUGUUCUUUUGCUCAUUUACUUAAGUUUGUGUGUGUGUGUGUAUAUAUAUGUAUGUUUGUAUGCACAUACACAUGUAUGCAAGCUUGUAUUUAUGUAUGUGAGUGUUGCACAUUCACAUAUACGUAGUCACAAAUAGUGAAUUAUACAUAUGUACAUACGUAUACUUGCAGUUUCCUCAAGAAACCUUGCAGAGGAAAUAUUUUUCGAGUCAGCAGACAAUAUGUACUUAGCAAAAUGGAAUUAAUUAUAUAUAUCAUAAAAUCAUUACUGCUUCUUCUGCUGUCGUUGCUGCUGCUUCUGUUGAAAUGACCAUGCACUUAAUGAUGAUGUUGAUACUGGUGUUGGUGGUGCUCCUCUUGAUGAUGUUUUCUGCAGUGUUACAGACGACAAUGAUGAUGAUAAUGAUGUUGAUGAUGAUGAUUGCAUUGCUGAUACCUGGCGGCUUACUAUGCUAACAGACGAAAGGUAGGACAGAAAAACAAAAUUAAACACUCCAAUGCUGUCAACAUCUCUGCAACUAUUAUCACUUGUCAUCAUCAUAAUCAUUGUUGUCAUCAGUAUUACUACUAUCAUCAUCGUUAUCAUUAGCUGCAGCUGUAUUGCACUUAUACAACAUUAUCAGCAUCAUUAUUAAUAUCACCAUCAUCUUUGUUUCCAUCAUGCACCACCACCACCACCACCACUACUGUCACUACUCAUCAUCAUCUUCAUCGUCAUCAUUGUUCCUUUUAUUAUCAACUUCACUAAUAAGUGGACAAAGGAUCUUCCUUGUGGUUGAUCAACUUGCAAAAAAUAGCUGUUCCCAUCUCCCUCAGAUCACACCCCACCAUCUUAAAGGAAAAGGACCUGUUGAAUAAUGCAGUCUUAGGUAUAUUAAGCCUGGAAAAAAAAGGCAUCCCCUAGAUAGGACCAUCAUGGCUGGACUGUGCUUGAUUAAGGCUGUUACAGGGCUAAACUACAACUUUUCUAAUACGAUCACAUGUCAACAUUUCCACCAGCAUUUCCACCGUCAUUGUUAUUGUCAUCACUAUAGUUUACACCGUUAUUAUCAACUUUGACAUUAUCAUCAUGUUAACAUUUCCGUCAUCAUCAUCACUGUUACUGUCAACAUUUCCACUGCAAUUGUCAUCAUUAUCACAAUCAUCAUCCUUAUUAUCAACCUCGCCAUUAUUACCAUCACAUGUCAGCAUUUCCGUCAUUAUCACUAUUACCGUCAACUUUGCCAACAUUGUUAUCACCAUCAUUAUUACCAUCAACACUGCCAUUAACAUCGCAUGUUAACUCCAUCAUCAUCCUCAUCAUCAUUAAAAUCAGAAUCAUUAGCAGUAGCACAAUUGCCGUUGCCAUCAUCAUAAUAAUAAUAAUCUUCAGUAAUAUCAUUCAGUAAGGAUUGCUACCAUCAUACUAUAACUAAUUACAUAAUACUUUAUUCAAAUGUAAAGUGUACUGUGUAAUUUCAUACACACACACAUAUAUAUGCUAGCUUGCUUAAGAUUGACCAUCAUAUUCGAUAACAAUCUCUUCUAUCAACUGCGAAUUCUGUAAUGGCUAUACUUUUUAAAGAGUAGCAGUAACAGGUGAUAUAAGUGUAUGGGCAACCGGAGGAUUGUGACUGUUACUAUCGCCUGUGCCAAACCUACCAUAUGCCCUCAUGAGCAACGAAGCUACAGAAGUGGUAGUGUCUCGUCAUUGUGUGAUACACUGACUGCCACAAAAGUCACCACCACUGAGAUCCAAGUUCCAGUGAUACACAUUGCAGGAGAUAUUACCAAUCCACUGAAGUGUUGUAAUGUUCUAUGAGUUUUUCACUGGUAUGGAUUUCUCAGUAUCACGGUCUUCCCUGUGAAAGGGAUAGAGAUCCUUAGGUGGUCAAAAUAAGGCUGAUACCCCUCCUCCCGCUGUGCCAAACUGCCAGAAGCUUCCUGGAAUCCAGUUAGUUAGAAACAGCCUUGAAGCUGACUUCCAUGCCUUGUUUUUUUUUCUCUUUUUCUCAAGAUGCACUCUUGUAAACUUUGUCGUCUUGGGUUCACCCACAAGGCAUCGAGACAGUGCUUAUAGGUCAGUUUCAUCAUAGCUAAGGUGCUCUAUCUACUCUUCUCCUAAAUAAACCUGGUAGGUCACUUUGUGACUGGUAACUUGUUACAUGGGAUCACCAGUGAGUAAACUAGUACUCACCAUCUGGUUAACCUAUUGAAGAUGGUUAUUGAAACUCCAUCAGGACCAAAAAAGUAUGACCUGUCUGAAGAUAGAUGAACCCAGUAUAUAAGGUCAAUAAGAAUCUUGCAAUAGUAUACGAGGACAUAGAAAUACUAGAGAUGAUAAAUGGGUGUGCAGUAUGAUCCUAUAAGAAGUGACAUACUUCCAAUCCUUAUCAGAACACGCAUAAAUGUAUUCACCAUUCUUAUUUUUAGAUCUGCUUCAGUGUAGACUGGGCAAAAUUAAUUGAGGUAGUAUUUUAUGGUUGCAUGCUUUACCUAUUGCCAGUUCUUACUUGAUUUUACAAGUAAAGUAUUCUUAUUCGACUAUGAAACCAAAUUCACUGAACUACAGGGUGUACUGUUUACUGGAGAUGAAAUUAACUCACCUCCGCUCAAAUGAUGGUGGUGUGAAAAUACAUUGACACAAGCACACAUGCAUGCACACACACACCCACUCAUGCCAGACAGGCUUCUGUAAAAGUCCAGACCAAUGUGUUAUAUCAGUUAAAAAAAGUAAAUCAAAUUUAUAUUAAUAUAAAGAAUCUUGGGUAAAGGCUCUGUGAUUAACAUUUGUUCCAUAAAUAGUUGUCUGCAUUUGUAAUAAUAAAUUCAGGCAUGGCUGUGUAGUAAGAAGUUUGCUUCCUAACCACAUGGUUCCAAGUUCAGUCCCACUGCAUGGCACCUAUGGCAAGUGUCUUUUGCUAUAACCCUAGGUUGACCAAAACCUUGUGAAUGGAUUUGGUAGAUAGAAAUUGAAAGAAACCAGUUGCUUAUAUCUGUGUAUGUGUGUGUGUGUGUCUUUGUGUCUGUGUUUGACCACCACCACUUGAAAACCAGUGUUGGUGUGUUUAUGUCCCAGUAACUUAGUGGUCCAGCAGAAGGUAUUGAUACAGGCUUUAACAAUAAAAUAAAAACUGCAAUUAAUUUCAUUCGACUAAAAUUCCUCAAGGUGGUGCUCCAGCAUGACCAUAGUCGAAUGACUGAAAGAAGUUAAAGAUAUUACAUACCAGGAUGAGAGGAUAAGAACGGAAAGAGCAGAAUACUAGAAGAAAACCAAUUUUGAUUUUUAUAGAAAGAUUUAAGCUCUUGAUUUCUAGUUCAAGGGCAGUAACUUCCUUUGUGGCAUUUGUUUUUUUUUCACAGCAUCUUCCAUUCUUGCCCCACAUGUAGGCAGAUAGAGAUGUGUGUUCACAUAUGCAUCUAUUCAUUCUCCAGCAUGACAUACAAAUAUAUUGCACAUUUUAUGUUCAUAAGUGUACAGAAAUUGAACAUGCAUGCAUUUGCAUACUUAUCUAGAUACACACGUGGCCUUUCAUAAAAAAAACAAAAAGCAAAAAUGCCUUCUGCCCUCCAUCACUUGUGAAUAUGACCCUGAGAUACUUAAACUUGCCAUAAAACAUGGUUCAUCAACUAUUUCUUAUAUUUUACAAGUGUGUAUGUCCUUUAACAAAGCAAAAGCAACUUAUACAUCCAUAGUGUCAUCCCUUCUCACUUAGCAUGUUCACACAAACAUACAAAACACAAGAUGAUAACUUUCUCUUUCAACAACCAAUAAAAGUCUAGUAUCAAUUUCAAAGAUAAUUUUGAGUUUUCUUUAAUAGGGCAUGUUGUAAGGUGGUUUCUUUAUCCUUUGGAAAACUAUGUAGACUAGCUGUCGUCACUCUAAUCUCUUUUACCAUCUGAAAAUCAGUGGCAUAAAACUCAGAGUAAUGAUUAAUAGUAUUUUCAACUUCUCAGAGAUAUGAUGAAACUCUACACUCAUAUUGAGUACAUCCUUUUCUCUGCUCCAGCACAUUUCUCUAUACUAUGUCAAAAGCACACACACACACACAAACACACACACAUCUUUUACUUGUUUCAGUCAUUAAACUGCUGGUUGUGAAGCAGUGGUGGGAGACAAAGAAACACAUAUAUUUGCAUGAAUGACUUCUUUCAGUUUCCACCUACCAAAUCCAUUCACAAGGCUUUGGUUGGCACAAGUCUACAGUAGAAGACUCUUGUCCAAGGUGCCAAGCAGUGGGACUGAACCUGGAACCACGUGGUUGAGAAGCAAGCUUCUUACCACACAGCCAUGCCUUCACACACUCACACACACACACACAUUUUAUCUUUUCCUUGUUUCAGUCAUUGGACUGUGGUCAUGCUGAAACCCAAGUUAACCUCAGUAUUCAUUUUUUUAAUUUUGUACUUAUUUCACCAAGCCCUUUCAAUGAACCACUAGGUUAUGCAGAUAGAUAUAAGCAAAUCAACACUGGUUGUCAAGCAGUGUGAGUGGGGUACAUGACAAACAAACUCAGACCCACACACUCACACACGCACGCAUACAUAGUGGACUUCGCACAGUUUCUGUCUACUAAAUUCACUUAAAAGGCAUUGAUCAGCCUGGGGCAGUAGUAGAAGACACUUCUCCAAUGUGGAACUGAACCCAAAAUCAUGUUGUUGUAAAGCAAGCUUCUUAACCUCACAGCCAUGCCCCUGUGUUAGCAUAAGUGUGUGUAUGUGCAUGCAUUUGUGCAUACACACACAUAUAUAUGGAUAAACUGAUGUUAAAAUUGUGGAUCCUGGAGGUAUGUAUGUACACAUAACUGGUUGCUCAAUUAAUAUGUGACUAUCGAAUCCACACCACUUGUUCCCUCUUUCUGCACCAUUAAUCCUUCCAUCAGUUUCCUAUCUCAUGUGUUGUUUUGUUACUGUAAUUAAUGAAGGCGGAACUCAUUACAUAUUCUGUUGCCUUUUCUGUACUGUGAAAUCCUUUUCUCCUAAGCUCCUCCCUGUUAUGUCCAUCCUUCAUUCUUACCAAUGACUAGCAACCCUUACUCUCAUCAUUCACUCCCUAUUUACCCCUGGUCACCUCCACCCUUAUCUGCAUCUGUCACUCAUUCUUUCACACACACACACACUCUCCCACUCAUGCUUGUAACUUUUACCUACAAUUCCAUAUCUUUCUCUUAUCACAUUUAAAAAAAAAAGUUUUUGUUCCUUUGAUAUUCACAUUGGGCUUCUCAGAAAUAAGAUUGGAUAGGUGUGAACUUGUCUUAAUCCUCUCCACUGUUCUUAUCUUGUUCUUUCCUUUCUAUUUCUCCCUUCCCCAAUACUCUCUCUAUUAGUCUCUUUUCUAAUUCACUCUCAUAACAACAAAUUUGGUUCUUUCAUCACACUUCUAACAUCCCAACAUCAACCAAAGAUUACAACUAUUAUGGGAAUUCUGUGGUCUUGCAAGUUCUAAUGUUUACUUCACUGGUAUGAUGUCAUGAAAAUUGCACCUAGUACACUCUGUUAAGUGGUGAGCAUUAGGAAAAGCAUCAAGCUGUAGAAACCAUGCCAGAACUGAGACUUAGGGUGUGACAUGAUACACCAAUUCAUUAGAUCCUGUCUAACAGUCUAUCCCAUGCCAGCAUGGAAAGUAGACAUUAAAAUGGUAGUGGUGGUGGAAAAUGGUAGUUGCAAGAAACACACACACAGACACAAUCCAGAAAACUUAAUAUAUAUUCAUAAUAUACAAUUGUGUAUACACACACACACACAUACACACACAUGUAUACAUGCAUGCUAUAUGUAGGAUAGCCAUGUUUAUUCAUGUAAAAAUAUGUAUAUAUAUAUAUAUAAAUGUACUUGUAUAAAUGUGUAAAUAUAAUAUAUUUAUAGAUCUGUAGAUAUAUGCUCUUUUGAAUGUAUAGAAUAACAAAGCCCCUACUUGAAAAACAGGUAGGAUUAGCAACAAGAAGGGCAACUGGCUGCAAGCCAAUGCCUCAAUAAUAUUCAUCUAACCCAUGCUUGCAUGGAAAAAUGGAAGUAAAAAUGAAGUAACAAUAGAACAAAUAUGCACAUAUAUUUUUCCAUGUAACCAGCAAAUUAUUUCCUGACAAGGGAAGUGCUUACAGCACAGCAUAUUUUCUUGUAAAGUGUGUGCAUGUACACAUGCACACAUGUGUUUGCACAUACCCCUCCACUCUCCUCCUCUGCCCCCACACAGACACCAUCAUUAUCAUUGUUUUAAUGUGCACUUUUCCAUGCUUGUAUGGGUCAAAUGGAAUUCAUUGAGGCAGAUUUUACUAUGGCUAGCUGUCCCUCCUGUCACCAACCCUCAUCUGUUUCUGAAUAAGGUAAUGUCUCUCCCUGUUCUUUGAACACAAAUGCCAUGAUGACUGGAAACAUGUCUUUAGAAAACUGCAAACAGACAAUACCUCUUCUAUGAGGGUGGCAUUUAUUUACACUUAGUGUGCAUGUCAAGAUAAGGAACUAUAAACAUAUACAGAGAUGAAUGUGUACAUGUAUGCACCCCAAGAUUCUUUAAGUUUCCAACUAUCAAAUUCACUCACAAGACAUUGGUGGGCUCAAGAAUACAUUUAGGAGAGGUGGUGAUGGUGAUGGUUAUCAUCACCAUUUAUUUUCCACUUUAGCAUAAAGAUUCUUGCCCAGAGUGUUUUGAUAGACAUAUAUGUCUAUGUACAUACAUACAUACCUACAUGCAUACACAAAGCCUGGAUGUACUAUGGCUAAAAUUCACUUCCCAACCACUGUGUGGCACUUUCACAAUAACUGCAGACCAACCAAAACCUUAUAAGAGAAUUUGGUUAACAGGAAAUAAAAAAGAAAACCCUUGUGUAUGUGAAUGUGUACCCUUGUCUUGAUAUCAUGUGGUCAUUUUAACCCUUUAGCAUUCAGAUUACUCUGUCAAGUGUAAAGCUUUUUUACUCUUUUACUAUUUUACUCUUUUACUUGUUUCAGUCAUUUGACUGCGGCCAUGCUGGAGCACCGCCUUUAUUCACAUUGUUUUGAAUAAAUCAUGCAUUAUCUUGUAGCUUCAAGAUUUUGAUGAUGUGAUUGUUUAUCUUUAAAAUGACAUUGCAAGGUAGGUGUGAGAUGUUGAAUCUGAUCAGUUUGAACAUAAAACAGGUAGAAUAUUUGGGCUGGAUAUGGCCAGCAUAAAUGCUAAAGGAGUGUACAAAUUAUGUUGCCCAUUUCCAGUCUCCUGUGAAAGCAUGUCUGGCCAUGGGAGAAAUAUUCCCCGGAUUUGGAAACAAGUAUGGGUUGGUGACAGGAAGUUCAUCUGACUAUAGCAAAUCUACCUUAUUGAAUUCUGUCUUAACCAAGGAAGCAUGGAGAAGUUAACAUUUUAGGAGAAGUAGUGGUGGUGGUGGUCGUCGUCGUCGUCAUCGUCGUCAUUUAGUUUCCAGUUUUGCAUACUUGAUGAGCUAGAUGGAAGUUAUUUGAGGCUGAUUUUCUACAUCUGAAUGAUAAUUAUAAUGAUAAAAUAUAGCACUUCUAGGUACAGCACACAAAUUACACAGAGCACUUUGAAUAUGAUAAAACCAAAAAAGCAUAGCUCUGCACAUACCCAAGACAUGUAGAGCUGUGCUGUGAAAACACUCAAUAAAAAUUAAGAUAAUCAUAGUGAUAGUUCCUUAUUUUGAACUGAUGUUACACAUUUUUUAUUUUAUGAAAGGGGAGGUAGAUGUGUAGAAGAUAUAAUUUGCAUCCGUACUUGAUUGGUCAGUACCAUAGAUAGAUGAAAAGUAAUCUUAGCAGCAUUUGAAUUCAUAACAUAAAGGAAUAUAACUAAAUGCCAUGAGACAUUUCAACUAGCUCUCUACAUAUUUUGUCAGUCAGUUGUAAAAACCACCACAACAACAAUUGUUUCUAAUUUAGGCACAAGACCAGCAAUUUUGAGGGGAGAGUGUUAGUGAAUAACAUAGACUCCAACACUUGUCUGGUACUUUACUUUUGCAACCCUGGCGGGAUGAAAAGCAAAAUUGACUUUGGUGGGGUUUGAACACAGAAUGUUGAGAGCUAGAAAAAAUACCGCAAGUCUAAUGAUUCUGCUAACCCACUGGUCUAGCAACAGCAGUAAUAAUCAUCCUUUCUACUAUAGGCACAAUGCCUGAAACUUUGUGGGGAGUGAGGAUAAUUGAUUUCAUUGAUCCUGGUGCUCAAUUGAUAUUUAUUUCAGCAACCCUGAAAGGAUGAAAGGAAAGUCAACCUCGGUGGCAUCUGAACUCAAACAUAAAGAGCUGAAAGAAAUUCCACUAAACGUUUUGCUUGGUUUGCUAAUGAUUCUACCACCUUGUUGCCCUAAUCAUAAUAACAACAAUAAUAAUAAUAAAAUCCAUGUUAAAAAAAAUUUGAAAUAAAAAUCGAAGUAAAUAUAUAUAAUUUUAUUCUAAUACUAAAUAAUAAGAAAACAUUUUAUCCAGUUAGAAUGAAAAUAAAUAAAUAAACCCUGGAUAAACUAAACAUAGUUAAUGAAAAGAAAACCUGUUAAAUUGCUUUGAGAAAAAUAUAUAUAUAAUAAAAAAAAAAGCAGCCAUUAAACAAACAUUUAAGGAAACCAAAUUGUUGGUUGUUUAGAUUUCGUUAGAAUUCAGUCAGAAUUUUAAUAAUGUCUAAGUUGAUUUCACCGGAAAUUAUUUGAUUACUAUCAAAUAAUUUCCAUGCAACCUGUCAUGCUCUCUCCUGCCCUGCUCUUCCUUCCUUUUGUCUCCUCUUUUCUCUCUUCCUUCUCUUCUUCUCAAUAAACUAAUAAAGCAAACUGAAAUAGGUUAAUUCUCUAAGAUAUAUCAAACCAAACAGUAAAAGUAAACAGGUCAUCAGUUGCAAGAGAUUGAAAGACUGAAACAAGUGUUUAGUUCUCAAUUCCAUAGGAUUAAGCAAUCAGCAGUUAAGAAAGAGUCACAAAUGAGACCAAUUUAUUGUCUUGACCAGUAGGAAAGGACUUGCUGGAUAUAAUCUUUAAAUCUUAAUACUGUCUUUUAAUAUAAAAGAAAGAAAAAAAAAACAGAACCACACAUACAAGAAGAAUAAAUUAGAGAAUGUAGUUACAUUAUUUUCUGAAAUUUUGUGCUGGUGACACAUAAAAGGCAUCUGUGCGAGAAACACAUAAAAGCACCUGUGCUGGUGACUUGUAAAAGGCACCCACUGCACUUUGUGGAGUGGUUGGUGUUAGGAAGGGCAUCCAACUGUAGAAACCAAACCAAAACAAACUGGAGCUUGGUGCAGUUCUCCAGCUUACCAGUUCUAGUCAAACUGUCUAACGCAUGCCAACAUAGAAGCUGGACACUAAAUGAUGAUGAUAGCUAGAAUACAAUUUAAUCAUAUAAGUCUGCUUAAUCAAAGCUGAAGUGGGAAUAAACAACAACAGCACCAACAACAACCACCAUCCUGUAUAUUCAUGGUUCUUAAUCAGCUGCUAUUACUGCUGGCUUGUGCCCAUGGUCAAAAUACUUAAACCAUGAUGGUUGUGUUGUAAAUAUACAGGUACCACAUAAUCUUUUCUACUCUAGGCACAAGGCCUGAAAUUUUUGGGAGGGGACCAGCCGAUUAGAUCGACACCAGUAUGCAACUGGUACUUAAUAUAUUGACCCCGAAAGGAUGAAUGGGAGAGUCAACCUUGGCAGAAUUUGAGCUCAGAACAUUAUGACUGACGAAAUACCGCUAAGCAUUUUGCCCGGCGUGCUAACAUUUCUGCCAGCUCGCUGCCUUCAGUUACCACAUAAUAUAACUCACCAAAGUAACUUUGUAAAAUUGAGGAGUAUUUUGUUAACAUGUUGUACUGAGUUCAAGUUCUGUGUGCUUGAUUCAUACUGGAUGCAGCUGUUCUUUCAAAGCUCAUAUAUUAUUAAGUAUUUGAGAGAUGGUACCCUCUGGGAUAGAAUGUUAGUUUAAUGCUAACAAUAUUCUCUGAAGUGGUAUUAUCUGUUACUGAUAAGGUGGUGAAUUGUGGUACAUAGAAUUGUGUUCUGCCCAGAAAGAUUGUAUGAUGCCUGUUCAGAAAGAUGGCAUCAUAGUUGUUGUGACUACAAACUUAUUAGCUAUGAGUCUGGACCCAGUAUCUUAAUUAUUCAAGUAAAACCUAUUUCAAAUAAAUAACUUAGAGUAUUUAAUCAAAUGGAUACAGGUAUGGCUGUGCAGUAAGAUGCUUGCUUCCCAACGACAUGGUUUUUGGGAUCAGUCUCACUGUGUGGGAUCUUAGGAAAGACUAUAUCCCCCAGGCUGACCAAAGCCUUAUGAGUGGAUUUGGUUGAUGGAAGACUGAGAGAAGCUCAUCGUGUAUGUGUCUCUUUAUGUUUGUUCUUCGCCACCACCACUUGACAAACCUGUGUUAGUUUGUUUAUAUUCCUGUAACUUGCAUGUUCAGCAGAAAGAGGCCGAUAGAAUAAGUACCAGGCUUAGAAAUAAGUCCUGGGGUCAAUUUGUUUGAUUAAGCUCCAUCAAGGCAAUGCUCUAGCAUGGCUGCAGUCAAAUGAUAGAAACAAGUAAAAGAUAAAAGAUUAAAAAAUCUUCAUUAACCAUUUAGCAUUUAAACCAAUCAUAUCUGGCCCAAAUACUUUACCUGGUUUGUGUCCAAACUGACCAGCUCCAGCUUCUCACACCUACCCUACAAUUCAUUCUCAAAGUAAAUAUUCACAUCAUUGAAAUCUCAAAGCUGCAGGAUAAUGCAUGAUUAAUUCAAAAUAAUGUGAAUAAAUAAGCAUUACAUUUGACAAAGUAAUCUGAAUGCUAUUGGGUUAAAUUCAAGUGUGUUAUGGAAAGUUUAUGAAAAGUCUUGUCUAAUCUGUCUUACCAGUGUAUGUGCACAUUGUAGGGAGAUGAGUGAGUUUGAGUUAUGCAUAUAAGAUUAUGCCAUGCUAUAACUAAAUUAACAUCUGUGAAUAUGCCAUGCAAUAACCAACGUUAUAUAAAUGAAAACCUCUACUUGGAGUGUUAUAGUUAUAAAGAAUUAAAUUCAAACCUUACUAAACAUUUAAUAUAAUCUUAUUAAAACUAUUUGCUCCGGUAGUAUAUGCAAGUGUGUGAACAUGUAUUUGUGUAUGCAAAUUUGUAAACACUGCCAACCCAUAUAAGUGCAAAGAAUAAAGAAGCUAAAGUAUUUUAUUAUAGCUAUUAUCAUCAUCACCAUUAUUAUCUUAGCCACCACCACCACCAGUAUCAUGAUGACCAUCAUCUCUGCCACUACCAUCACUACUAUCAUCAUCAUUAUCAUCACCAUCACAACUACCAUCAACCUCAUCAUCACCAUUAUUAUUACCACAAUCAUAGUUUUCAUCACCACCAUGUGAUUUUGCUUAUGAGUUGAUCAGCCUCUGGAUAAUUUUGAGACUAAUCUGUAGUAUCAUCAUCAGCACCACCAUCACUACUAUUACUACCAUCAUUAUCAUUUAAGUAUUCAUUGUUGAAAAUUGACCCAUUUAAAUGGCAUCCUAGCCAUCUCCAAUUUGGCAAACACUAUUGCACAGCAAGAUGUCAUUAUGUGAACUGGUGCCAGAAUAUCAAGAUUGCUUUUCAGUUAUUUAAUACAGUCUUAUUCAUCUCUAUAAUUUAGAAUUUCCCCCAAUUUCAGGUGUGAGCAUAGCAUUGAUGCAAAAUCUUCAUGGAAGUCUGUAAGAAACAGAUGAUUUUUAUUUUUUACCUCUAAAUUGUAUAUUCGUGUUUUUUCUCACUCAUAUUUCUCUGUCACUUCAACCUGCAUAAAGUUGCAGUUGCUGCUGUUGUUGUUGUUGAAUGACCUCUAAGUUUUCCUCAAGCUAACAGAUAGAAUGUCCGAAUAUUUAAUUUACAGAUCUAGCCAUACCGGGUGUGUUCCCUUUAGUUUGUUGCUGUUUAAGUCCUGGACAGCCCAAACAAGUCCUUCUUCUCUUAAGACUGCUAUGAUACGAAGGAGAUUCAGCUAUUUCUUGCAGGUUGAAUGACCAUAUAGAGGUCUGUUCAUUGGUAUGUUCUAAUUUAGUUUUUAGUAGAUUGUAUAGGUUAUGGAGUUUAUUUGGUCUAUAUACCAUUUUUUUUAUAUACAGGUAACUCAUUAUACCAAUUAUUUUAUAUAUUUUCAACACUUAUUCCCAGCAUUUCCAGAAUAUUUUGUAGGCACAAGCCUGAUUUUGGGAUGAGUAACCUUUCUUUGCAUUAAUUUGUGACUAUAUAAUUGUAUUGUAUAAUGCUGAGCAUAUUAUUGAUGCAUACUGAAAUUAAUAGUACAUGAAGAAGGUUAUAAAACGUCCGUAAUCAUAUGGAAGUCAUAUGGAUAAAUAAAUCUAUCUUCACCUCUCACAUCUCCUGACUUUAUGCUUUAUAUUACAUGUGUGUGUGUGUGUGUGACAUAUAUGUCUUGACAUGUUUGCACUUGCUGUAAACAAGACAUUGCUGUUCAUAAAAAUAGUGUUGCAUGUUUGCAGUCCUCUGCAAAUGCAUGCCUGAGUUGUUCAUUGUUUGAUAGACUCGUGGACAUUUUACCUUUCUUGGAACCAAAUGAGGGUUGGCAAAACAAAGGGCAUUCGGCCAUAUAAAAUUCCACCUCAAUAAAGUCUUCUGAUCCAUGCAAGCAUGGAAAAAUAGUUAUUAAAAUGAUAAUGAUUAUGAUAUUAGUCUUGAAUUUUCUACAUUUGUUAGCAUUACUCGUUAAUACUAAUUAGAAAUAAUAAUCCUCUUUUUUGCUACAGGUACAAGGCUUGAAAUUUGUGGGAGGAGUUAGUUGAAUACAUUACCACCAAUGCUCAACUGGUACAGUGCCUAAGAGGAUGAAAGGCAAAGUUGAUCUUGGCAGAAUUUGAACUCAGAGGACAAUAAUGAUUUCAAAUUUUGGCACAAGGCCAGCACAUUCAGGGAUGGGGCUAUUUGAUUACAUCAACCCCAGUGCUCAACUGGUACAUAUUUUAUCAACCCCAAAAGAAUGAAAGUUAAUCUUGGUGGCAUUUGAACCCAGAAUGUAAAAGUAGACAAAAUGCUUAUCAGCAUUUUGUCUGGUGCAGUAACAAUUCUGGCAGCUCACUGCCUAAAUGCAGAACAUAAUAGCAACAGCAACACCAACUACAAUGAUAUCAGCAAUUUCUAACAUAGAUACAAGGCCACAAAUCAAUUAAAUCUACCACAAUAUUUGGCUAGGCACACUUGAUUCCAGGAUUUAAAUUCAGAGCUGUAACCAAAUGCUAUUAGGAAUGAUACUUUAUGAUGAUGAUGAUAAUAAUGAUGAUUCUAAUGCUGUAAAGAUAUUUUUCCAAUCCAUACUGUUACUUUAUGCAUCCCAAAAGGAUAAAAAUCACAGUAGUCAACUUCUGCAGAAUUUAACCUUAGAAUAUAAGAGUAAGUAAAUGUUGCCAGGUAUUUUCUUAACUGCUCUACCAAUUCUGAUAAUGAUGAUUUCUUUAUUUUAACAACAUCAGUUUUUAUGACAGGAGAGGAUGUUGUCAGUUGAAAUUAACUUCACUACAAAUUUUAUCAGUCCUUGGCAGUGUAAAAGGGAAAUACAUGUUUGGUAGGAAUUAAACUAAAAUCAAUAAUAACCCAACUGCAUUAACAAAUUAAAGCACCUUCAUCUUAGACAUCAGUGAGACAAUCAUUUUUACAUUAAAUAUUAGACUGUAUAGUUUAAUCCUUUUGUUACCGUAUUUCUAAUGAAAUAUACUGCCUUUGUUUCAAUUAAUUUUGAAAUUGAUGAAGAAUUUAGUAAAAUAGAUUUAAGCUGGUGUUUAGAAUAAAUUAACAUAACAUUUUGAAGGAAGGUUUUAAUUUAGAAUACUUUGAAAGAGGAAAUUUGUAUCAGAAUCGAGGCAGUCUCUGGUAGGUUAGUACCAAAAUGGUUUACCUGAAAUCAAUGUUGGCCUUAUAGUCGAAUAUUUGUCAGUGUGUCCUUAUCACCAGCACCAUGUUAUGUCUUUGCUAAAGAUGCUUGACUUUUAAUAAUUAAUGAAUCUUGAAAUCUGCACUAUUAGCAACAUACAGAUCAUUGCUGAUGGAUAUUAUUACACAGUUGAGUGAUAUUUUGUUAGCUUACGGUUAUUAAUUCAUACCCUACAAGAGUUUAAUAUUCUGUGUAAUAAUAGAUGAAGCAGAACUGCCUCUUUAGUAUUCUUUAGUUCCAGAAAGCAUGAAUUUCUGUUGUGGGAAUAGUGCUUGUUGUAUUUAAAAAGGCAUUUGUGGGAACAUCAGCCAUUUGAUAGUAUUAACUUUGAGUAUCUGUGGAAGUUCUUUUCAAGAUUGAUUGUCCACCUGAUUUUGUAGAUAUCAAUUUAAAGAAAAGUCAAUUGACUGAAAGAUUCAGUUUCAGAUUAAUUGCAACAUUUUCAACAUUCACUGACUUUUUGCUAAAACAAAAUGAUGAGAAAUGCUUAUGCAUCUGCUCUUUGCAGAUAACUGUAGCUUUGUUGAAGGUAUUCAAGGAAACCUGGAUUUCUCAGCUGUUGCAAAGAACUUUGUUCCCUAAGUCAGCAUAAGAGAGAUUGGAAUCAUUUAUCAAAUCCAGACCUAGAUCUUGAUGUUUCCCAAGUAAUCCAGAAAUCACUGUUGAUGGAAAUGUGCUAAAAGUGGUGGAGGAUUUUGAGAAAAUGCAGCAUCCAGUAAACUAUAUAUCUCCAUGUCUCCUCCAGAACUGGUAAAGCAAGUGUUGUUUUGGCAGCCUGACAAAUCAACUUUGCAAUAAUCCAGAUAUUUCACUGCAUAUGGAGAGUCAAACAUAUAAAGCUGUGAUCUUAACUGAAACUAUUGUAUGGUGCAGAAUUAUGGACCCUGUACUACAGGUAGAUAAAGCAAUUACACACUUUCCAUUGUUGCUAUCAUUAGAAAAUCUGUAAGAUCAAGAAGCAGGACAUGAUACUCAAUAUAGAUGUCCUAUUUUGCUGUAAAAUUGGUGGCGUGCAGAUACUGAGACAUCAACUUCACUGGUGUGAUCAUGUGAGUGGAUUGGAUCUAAAGAUGAUAAAAAUCCCAAAGUAGUCGUUGAUGACCAUCUUGCUAGUCAUAGAUAUUUUAGCAAGUAUUUUUUUGGAGUACCUCUGAAACAAAAUUUGAAGAUGUGUCAUAUUAACGAAACCAUGGCUUCAUUCAAUUGUGUUAGAGAAUUUAUUGCAUGAAGGACAUUGAACUCUUUGAAUCGACUUCUAUUGAAACCUUUGAAGUGAAAAGUAGAAGGGAGAAUAUACAAACAGACUCAAAAGUGAACAUUUUAUUUCUAUUUUGAUUUUUGUAAUAUUUCACUGUUACAGUCAAUGUCAGUUUAAAGUUAAAUUUUUACUACGUUUUUUUUUUCUAUUUUAAGAAUUUAAAAGUAUAACUCUGAAACACUUGUAACAAGUAUUAUAGAAGAUUUCUAAUAGGCACAAGAUGAUACAUUUAAGGGGAGGAAUUUACAGUCAAUUAAAUAGUACCCAGUUCUUGACUGCUGUUACUCAUAUUGAUUCUGGAAGAAUGGAAGGCAAAUGUUGACUUUGGCAGAGUUUAAACUCAGAACAUAUGGAUCUAUAUUUGCUGAAUGGCUUAAACACAAAAUUGGACAUAUAUGCACACAUAUAUCAUGUACAUCCCAUGAGAAAAUAUUCAGAGUAGACAGUAUGCAUUAUUAAAGUAGAUUGUCGCCAAAAAGCCUUGCACUAUGAAACAAAAUAUCAAAAUAAGUUGAUAACAUUUUUGAACAGCCAUCACUUUCUCUUACCAGUAAUUGUCUUUACUGCUAUUCAUCACUUGCUCUCUUAUUAACAAACUCCCAUCUCUUCUUCCACAUUAACCCCCUGCCAAUACUAUUACUCUUCUAUUACUUCUUUCAACACUGUCUCUUUCAUCACUAUCUCUUCCUUCAUCCUGUCACUUUGUUUCUCUCACCAGAGCCUGACUUCCUUCACUCUCACACUCAAUCUGAUAUGCCAGCAAAAAGAGGAUCUGAAAAUAAAAGAUUUGCCAGUGUUCUGUGAAUGGAGAAUCAGAGAGAUGAAAUGUUCUGGAUUAUAAAGUUGUGUGUCAGUGUAAAUUAAGAUCUCAAAUAUCGGAAUAGUACAUAUGGAAUGAUAGUGCACAUUUAUUGUCACUGUUGAUGAGUCUUGGGCAUAUUGUUAUUAGAGGUUGCUGAAUGAGAAAAUUGUUGGAGAGAAAUGGUGUACUCUAAUUAGACCAGUUAUACAGAUGAAAAUGCAAUAUGAAGAUAGGGACAGCUGAUGGACUAACAAAAAUAGUCACUGAGAUACUGAAAAUAUCCAAAAUUGAACAGACUAGUCAAUUGCAUAGUUAACCCUUUUGAUAUCAACCUACUUCAAAACUGCCUCUGGUUCUGUUAUAUAAGCUUCCUGUCUUAACUCUUUAGCACUCAGAUUUCUCUAUCAAAUGUAAUGCUUAUUUAUUUAUUGUUUUGAAUUAAUCAUACAUUGUAGCUUUGAAAUUUCGAUGAUGUGAAUGUUUAUUUUUAGAAUGACGUUGUAAGGUAGGUGUGAGAGACCUGAUCUGGUCAGUUUUAACAUAGGCCUGUUAUGGCUGUGUUGAGAUCAUUAUUGAAACUUUCCAUCAAAAUUUCAUGUUAAUUUAUGUUCCAGACACUAGCUUAAUAAUGACAGUCAUUUUACUGAACUUUUCAUUAUUUUCAAAUUAAAGGAAAAAAAAAAAAAAGCAGUGUAUUUCAACAGAAGUAUGAUGACAAAAGGGUUAAACAGGUAGUACAAGGAUGUCUCAUGCAUAGUAACUCAUGCAGUGGUAUUGCCAAUUGCUAUGGAAAGAAAGAAAAUGCUCUAGAAAGAAGCACCUACAGAAACAUCAAAUUAUAGACCAGGUUACAAAAAUAAUAGAAACAAUUAAAACACAACUGAUUAGGAAAAAAGUUAGGUAAGAUGAGAUGAAAUUCAGGUUUGUGUUUGGAUGAAGUACAACUGAUGGUUUUUUUUUCUAUAAGAACAUCCCACUACAACUAACAUUUAUCAAUCCAGAUAAAACUUUUUGACUUAGUCUUGUAGUGUGGUAGUCACUAGGAAAACAAGGGUUGCAAGAGCUGUACAAGCCAUAUGUAUAUGGAUGCUGUAAACAAGGUGAAAGUUAGUAAGAACAUUGACAUGUGGGUAAGUGUCCAUCAGUGAGAAAUUUCACAUCAACCAAGGUUCAGUUCUCAGCCCUCUUCUGUUCAUCAGGUCGUAACAGAUGGAGUUUAAAACUGAAUUUUCAUGGGAACUCCCACUUGUUGAUGGGCUAGUUCUCGUAGCUGAAUCUUUCAAAGAUUUACUUAGAAAUAACAAAUAUGGAAGUAAAGCCUAGAAUUGAGAAGCCUUACAGUAAAUCUAGCUAUAUGUUUUAGUUAGCACAAAAAAGACAGGACUCUGCUAUCAUCAGGGAAGUGGCCAUAAUUGUUAUGCACAAAAGAUUCAAUAGGAAGAAAAAGAUUGUUCAGGAAAAAGACUGGCAUUGUAUGAAAUGCAGUGGGAUCACAGUCAGAUUCUGCAUAGGAAGAAAUAUUUCACAGAAUAUAUACUUAGGUGCAGACAUGGCUGUGUAGUAAGAAGUUUGCUUUUCAGCCACAUGGUUCUGAGUUCAGUUCUGCUACAUGGCAUCUUGGGGUAAGUGUCUUUUACUAUAACCCGGAGCCAACCAAAAUCUUGUGAGUGGAUUUGGUAGAUGGAAACUGAAAGAUGUACAUACGUGUCCCAGCAUGAUUACAGCCUUAGGGCUGAAAUGUGUAAAAGAGUAAAAGAAUAUAUAUACAUACUUAUUGCUUUUCAAGCUGGUAUGGUUUGGAUGGUUUGACAAGGAGCUGGCAUCUUUGGCAAAGUUUCCAUUGCUAGAUGCUCUUCCUAUCAUCUUCCACUUCUACAGAGUGUACUGGGUGUCCCCACCAUCACUUGGCAACCAGUAUUGUUUUGUUUAUGUCCCACAUAACUUAGCAUUUUGGCAUAAGGAACCAAUAGAGUAAAUAUCUGGCUUAUAUAAAAAAAAGUACUGAGAUCGCAGUCCAAUGACUGAAACAAGUAAAAGAAGGUAUUUACUAGGUCAAAGUCACCAAAGAUGUUACGAUGUUGCCAGUUGUUGGAGUCAUCAAAUUCCACUUGAAUGUUCAGAAUGAUCCUACAGUUCAUAUUUGACUGCUUUUACACAUAGCUGUGCAUAAAAACAAACGUGUGUGUGUGUGUGUGUGUGUGUGUGUGUUUUUCUUGUGGCUUAGCCUCAAAUCAUACCUGGUCUAAUAACAUUGUGAUCAGAAGAAUUCCAGUAAUGAUCCUUCAUUGAAAUCAACAAUUUUAUUUGUUUGUAUAUUGUAAAAAUUUCUCAUCAUUUGAGAGAGAUAUACAAGUGUUAUGUAUAGUAGGUCAUGUGACUACUUAGAGGCUCUUUUUGUAUAUUAUAUAUCAUCAUCAUUUAAUGGUCUCCUUUUACAUGCUGGCAUAGGUAAGGCAAUUCAAUAUGAAUAGAGCAAGAGGGUUGUGCCAAGUUCUAAUGUCCGCUUUGGUAUGAUUUAUACAGCUGGAUGCCCUUCCUAAUACCAACCACUUCACUGAGUGUACUGGGUGCUUUUUUUUACAUAUUUAUAUAUAUUUUAAGAUUUCUCUUAGGCAUAGUGAUAUAUGCAUGUGCACGCGCGCGUGCACACACACACACACACACGUCUAUGUGUUUUAGUUGGUGUAAUAGCUAAUAUUAGACAAACCAUACUCACAUGCACAAUAAACACAUAAACAUGAUGUGCAGACAGUAUUUAUAGAAAAAAAAAUAUGUAGAAUGAUUCCGUUUGUUCUAAAGCUUAUUUCUUGAAAAGAAAAAUUAUCUUUGCAUAAUUUCUUUAAAUUUUGCCUUCUAUUUUCUUUAAAAAUUUUUUUUUCCUCUUUAAUAAUAAUAAUAAUAAUAAUAAUAAUAAUAUUAUUCUUCUUCUUAUUAUUAUUAUUAUUAUUAUUAUUAUUACUGUUGUAUCUUUUAUCCUCAUUUUUUUUUUAUUCCCUUUUUUUAUGAAAUCUCUGUAAGUGAGGCCUGGAACUAAAUUGUUUCAUCAGACGUAUUAUAAAUCGAUCUGUACUUGGGACGGUGUCCAACUAUUUCAACGAGUAGCUUUUAUAUAAUUUUCCUUUCAAUAAUACUUGUUAGACCAGAUCAAAGUCUUGUUAAAUGCAGUCCUUGUGUGUGUGUGUAUGUAUGAAUAAUUGGUGUUGGGGAAGGUUAUUGGUCACCUGCUUAAGAAUCUCCCUCCCCUCAGUCCCUUCUUUCUCCACCCCAAAUUCCUGCUAUUUCUCUAUUGCUACUUUUACAUCUUCUAACAUUUCUCUAAGCCAAUAAAAAUGCCUUAAGUAGUGCAGACAGUUUCACCUGUCCAUUUCUUUUUGUAAAACUGUUUUUGCAUUGAUUUAUUCCAUGCUAACAAGGAGGUGAUAGAUUCCUGAAGAUUUCAACAUUUGUAUAUUGUUUUUGGACUAUCCGAGUAGUUAGUUGCCUAUCCACUGCUACAAUAUAACCAUAUAGCUGUUGUGGAACCUGUUCUCAGUCCAAUAGACUGCUAACCAUUUAGUCAUAUAGUAGUGGAACCUGUUCUCAGCCAAGCAGAUCGUGGCUUUAUUUAGGAACACCUGCACCUAGAAUUAAUCCAGGAAGUAAGCUUCUACAGGUAUACUUGGAGAUUGUGAAGAGGAUUUCACUGGAAAUGAAAAAAACUGUCCUCCAGUUGUUUCAACUGCAUUGAACCUUGACAGUGGUAGGUGCUGCUUAGUGAGAGAUACUUGUUGCAGAAAGUGGGAGAUUUCAGUGUUCAGAUGACUGUUAUCAGAAUUGCAAAUAUUCAAGGCAGAUGACAAGGUGCAGUACAUCAGAACCUAUCUAAUUCAUGUCAAUAUACGUCAUCAUAAAUACUUGUGUGUGUGUUACACAUGCACAUACAUUAAAAAAAAGGUACUGAAUACAUAUAAGAGAGUGUAUGUGUGAUGCAGAUUUAGUUGUUCAAUGGAAGAAAGGUAAAAGAAAAAAACAAACUAAAAAACUACUUGAUACCUCUAGAACUUAUUUAUUUGGAGUUGCUUUGAGUUUAUUACCCCUUUUGGGGGUCGAUGAAAUAAGUACCAGUUAUGUACUGGGGUCGAUGUAAUUGACUUAUUCCCCUCCCCCCACCCCAAAAGAAGUUCAGACCUUGUGCCUAUAGUAGAAAGGAUUAUUAUUAUUAUUAUUGUCAUCGUCAUCAUCAUCAUCAUCAUCAUCAUCACUAUCAAUCUAGCAGAAUAGUUAGCAUGCUGAUCAAACUACUUUAUGGAAUUUCUUCCAGCUUCAAAAUCUAAUGCAGCCAACUUUGCCUAUAAGCACCAGUUGAACACUGGUGCCAAUGUAAUGUCACAUAAAAUUCUUAGAAAAUAUUUAAUGGCAUUUCUUCUUGCUCUUACAUUCUAAGAUCAAAUUCCGCCAAAUUUUCAGGGUCAAUAAAAUAGGUGCCAGUUGAACACCAGGGUCAAUGUAAUCAACUCAUCCUCUCUCCCAAAAAUGCUGCCCUUGUGGCAAAAUUUGAAACCAUUAUUAUUAUUAUUAAGGCUGUGAUCUGGUAGAAUUGUUAACAUGCCAGGCAAAAUGCCUAGUGAUAUUUCGCCUGUUGCUUUGUUCUGAGUUCAGUUUCUGCUGAGGACAACUUUGCCUUUCAUCCCUUUGGGGUCGAUAAAUUAAAUACCAGUGAAACACUGGGGUUUAUGUAAUCGACUAGUCCUCUCCUACAAAAAUUUCAGGCCUUGUUCCCUUAGAGAGGAUUAUUAUUAUUAUUAUUAUUAUUAUUAUUAUUAUUAUUAUUAUUAUUAUUACUAGAGUUGCUUGUUAUAGAUGGGUUUUUAUGAACUUGUUUCUGAAAAAUAUCAGAUAAUUUUCCAAAUUCAAUAUUUUUCAUUUUUUCUGAUGUUUAAUUUUCUUUUUGCUGUCAGUAGGAGCUAUGGGGUUGAGAGCAGUUAUUGGGUUGCUACAGUAGGAGCCAGGAAAUUGUAUCAACUCUGACUAGAUAUAAAUUGUAAUGCAUUAAAAUUUCCAAAUUAACAGAUGCAGUACUAGAUCAAAUGUCUGGCAAGCUUGGGAUUGAAGUGUACUGGGUUUCUGGAGUUUCUGGUUUUCUGGAUACAGCCUAAAUAGGUACUUAAAACGUAAAAUAAACUAUGAAAAGUAAAGAGUUAAAUUGUAUUUACCAGAUUCUAGUAAAUACUCUUGUAAAGUGGGGUCUGUUUGAUAUUUAUUAAUCCAUUUAAAAUUUUUAAAAUAUAUCAUACAACAUAUAUACAGUGUAAAGUUUAUAAGAUGAAAAUUAAAUUAAAGAAAAGUAAAGAAUGUAAUUUUAUUUAACAGUUACAGGUACAAAGUAAUACAAUUAUCAAGCAGAAUAUGUUUAAUCUUUACCAGUCCCACUUAAAACAAAACUAUUUUUGACACACUUUUAUGCAAAUUAGCCAACUUCAAAAACAGGGCCUGUUACUCACUACAAGGUACAGUAUAUUACACAGUAUUGCAUAGCAUUUUCAAUUUUCUGAAAAUUCUGGAUUUCUGGAAGCUGGAUAAGAGGUUUGAAAUUGUAUUUAUUUAUUUUCAUCUCUGAAAAUAAUCAAGGUCUUCUUUGAAAUAUGUGGUGAAAGGAAUUCCAUUUCUAAGAACAGAAUGUUAGUAAAUUUUCAGUUUGUGCUUUGAAAUUAACCUGUAUUCUAAAGAUAGUUUUUCAUUAAUAAAUUUAGUUGGGGUAAGCCUUUCAGUAUUUUCCAAUAUUAUUUCUAUUUCAUGUAACCCUUUAGCAUUCAGGUUACUCAGUCAAAUUUAAUGUUUAUUUAUUCACAUUGUUUUGAAUUAAUUAUGUUUUAUCUCGUAGUUUUGGGAUUUCGAUAUAGCAAUUACUUAUUGUUAGAAUGCUGUUGUAGAGUAGAUGUGAGAGGCCAAAUCUGGCCAGCUUCAACAUAAAACACGGUAUUUGAAGAACCUGAUAUGAUUAGUUUAUAAUGCUAAAGGAUUAAUGUAAAUUUGGCUACAUUCACUUAAAUUGUAUAUUCAGACAAUACUUUAAAUUUGUAAAAGAAGGGUUAUGCAUAUAAUUGUAUUUAGUUUUUGUAAAUGGCUUUUUGUUAAGUUACUUGAGGCAUUCAGUCUCUUACAUAUAAUUUUGAUAUAAUUUUGAUUUUUGGAUGGUAAACAGUGAUAUUUUUCAUUUUCUCUUAUAGUAUUUUUAAAGAUUACUCUUUUACUUGUUUCAGUCAUUUCACUGUGGCCAUGCCUUUAGUCGAGCAAAUUGACUACCUUAGUCGAGCAAAUUGACUCCAGGACUUAUUCUUUGUAAGCCUAGUACUUAUUCUAUCAGACUCUUUUGCUGAACCGCUAAGUUACAGGGAUGUAAACACACCAGCAUCGGUUGUCAAGCGAUGUUGGGGGGACAAACACACACACACAUACAUUUAUACGAUGGGCUUCUUUCAGUUUCUGUCUACCAAAUCCACUCACAAGGCUUUGGUCAGCCCCAGGCUAUAGUAGAAGACACAUUUGCCCAAAGUGCCACGCAGUGGGAAUGAACCCGGAACCAUGUGGUUGAUAAGCAAGCUACUUACCACACAGCCACUCCUGCACCUAUGAUUAUUUAUUUUUUUCAUAUUCUUUUACUUCAAGCCUUUUGAUAAAAAGAGUCUCUUUUGAUCUUAUAGAUUUUGUCUUAUGUUUAGUUAAUUACUUGUAUCUUUAAUAUCAUCAUCAUUUAAUAUCUACCAUACUUUUCCAUGUUUGCAUGGGCUGGGAUGGAGAUAUUUGAGGUAGAUUUUCUAUGGCUGGAUGUCCUCAUCUGUUUCUAAUCAUGGUAAUAUUUCCCCAUAGCCAGACAUGUUCUUGCGAAAGAUUGCAAAUAAAUGACUCUGAAUGGGUGACAAUGAUAUCAUUCACAACAAUUACAUAAUAUAGGAAUACAUAUGCACGCAUGCACAAUGGACUUCAGUUUCUUGCUACCAAAUCCACCCACAGUUUUGGUUUGCUUGGUACUAUAGUAGAAGAUACUUGCCCAAGGUACCAUGCAGUGGAACUGAACCCAGAAUCAUGUGAUUUGGAAGCAAACAUCUUAUGAAAUAGCUAUACCUGUGCCUAUAUAUAUAUAUAUAUAUGUGUGUGUGUGUGUACACACACACACACUAUACAGAUGCCACAACCACAGAACCAUAACCCUUUUAACUUAAACUUUAACAAGUCAUAGUGCUAAAAAUUCACCUGAUGAUUCUACAUUGUUCGUGUAUGUCAUGUGCUUUCCGAUCAAUACAAAAUGGAAAAAAUAAAUAAAAUAAAAGUGGUUGUAGUAGGAGGAGACUAUUUAUAAGCAAAGACUAUAUAUAAGCAAAGUGGCAAAAUUAUAUCUCUGAUCAUUGAUUGAAUGCACAAAUUCAUAUUUACUCAGUUUACAGUUCAUUGCCAAUCAGUCUAAUAUAAAGGCGUUAAAUAUCAUUUUUACCUGUUACUUUGAAAACAGAAAAAGAAAAAAAAAAUUGACCAAUAUUCUGCUAUUUUUAUGACUAAUGUUUUUUAUCAAUCUAUCUAUUGACCACUACACUUUUUUUCUAUAUACAUAUUUCUACCCAAUUUCUCUUAUGGCCUUUACACUUCCAACAUAUAUAUUUUGAUGGCUAUAUUUUCAAUGAAUGUAACUUGGCUUGCACUGAGAAGUGGAAUACAAGGUUCACAACCAUCAUUGGUUGUGCUAUCUGAUCCUUGACUCAUGUCAAUGUAAGAAAUUAUUGUUUCCAUUAUUAUUAUUAUCAAAGUGGCAAGCUGGCAGAAUUGUUAGCAUAUCAGACGAAAUGCUUAGUGGUAUUAAACCCAUCGCUACAUUCUUAGUUCAAAUUCUGCUGAGGUCGACUUUGCCUUUCAACCUUUUCAGGUCAAUAAAUUAAGUACCAGUGAAACACUGGGGUCAAUGUAAUUAACUGGUCCCCUCCCACCAGAUUUCAGGCCUUGUGCCUUUAGUAUAAAGGAUUAUCAUCAUCAUCAUCAUCCUUAUUAUUAUUAUUAUUAUUAUUAGGCAGUGAGCUGAUAGAAUCAUUAGCACGCUGGAUGAAAUGCUUUGCAGUAUUUCACCGGUUGCUAUGUUCUGAGUUCAAAUUCUGCCGAGGUUGACCUUACCUUUUGUCCUUUCAGGGUCGAUAAAAUAAGUACCAGUUGAGCACUGGCGUUGAUAUCGACGCCAGUGCUCAACUGGUACUUAUUUUAUUGACCCUGAAAUGAUGAAAGGUAAAGUCAACCUUGGCAACAUUUGAACUCAGAAUGUAAAGAUGGAUGAAAUGCUGAUAAGCAUUUUGCCCAGUGCAAUAACAAUUCUGCCAGUUUGCCACCUUAAUAAUAGUAGUAGUAGUAGUAGUAAUAAUAAUAAUAAUAAUAAUAAUAAUAAUAGGGGGAGAGGUAGACCCAGGAAGACAUGGGAUGAGGUAGUCAAGCAUGACCUCAGAGCGUUGGGCCUCACAGAGGCAAUGACAAAGGACCGAAAUCUCUGGAGAUAUGCUGUGACUGCAAAGACCUGGGCUGCUUCCUGUACCAGUCACGCAUAGCCCCUGCCCAUUCAAAGUACCUUGGAUUCCAGAACAUCCUGCUGUGCUUGAGGAGACCUAUUGAGUCAAGUACAUGAGCAUCGAAAUAAAUAUCAAUGGAAAUAGUAGUUGUGAUACCUGUGCCGGUGGCACAUAAAAAGCACCAUCCAAACAUGGCCGAUGCCAGCUCCACCUCGACUGGCUUCUGUGCCGGUGGCACAUAAAAAGCACCAUCUGAACGGGACUGAUGCCAGCGCCGCCACGACUGGCUUCUGUGCCGGUGGCACAUAAAAAGCACCAUCCGAACGUGACCGAUGCCAGCGCCGCCUCGACUGGCUUCUGUGCCAGUGACACAUAAAAAGCACCAUCCGAACGUGGCUGAUGCCAGUGCUGCCUUGACUGGCUUCUGUGCCGGUGGCACGUUAAAAGCACCAACCGAUCGUGGCUGAUGCCAGAUUCCCCUGGCACCUGUGCCGGUGGCACGUAAAAAGCACCCACUACACUCGUGGAGUGGUUGGCGUUAUGAAGGGCAUCCAGCUGUAGAAACACUGCCAGAUCAGACUGGAGCCUGGUGGAGCCCCUGGCUUCCCAGACCCCGGUCUAGCGUGUGCUAGUGCGGAAAACGGACGUUAAACGAUGAGGAUGAUGAUGAUGAUUCACUUUUGCAAUUAGUACAACUACCAUAAACAAGAGUAUCAAUUACAUUACUUUUUUAUCCCAGAUAUCUAAAUUCCCAGUUGAUAGGAUCAGAAUGAAAAAACAAAAAGAGACAUUUUUGUGUGUGCGCACCCAUGCUCACACAUACACAGCUUAGCAAAUACACACUGCUGAAAUAAUGUGGCCAUCUUGUAUGAAUAAAUACGAAUAUAAUUAUACAACACUGUUUUAACAUUGAGUUCUCACAUAAUUGUGGACUUCUUUGCCCACCAAAUUGAACCUUUUACACACACACACACGUGCAUGUUCAUUUGAUCUCUCUGUGUGAAAGAUUGUGCAAUUGUCUUUAAUAACCUCCAGAUGACCAAUGCCUUAUGUAUUAUAUAUUAUAUGUAUUAUGUAUUAUAUAUGUAUAUUUGUGUAUGUGUGUGUGUGCGCGCUUGCAUUUACACCAGUGUAAAAUGAUGUGUUGAAGACAAAAGGUCAAUUCAUGAUACAGACAUUUUUGAAAUAAGUACUAUACUGAAAUAAAUCCUCGGUUUGUUAUGACUGAUUAAAACCCUUCAAAGUAUUGCCCAAGCAUAAUUGCAAUCUAAUGUCUAGAACCAGUAAGAUAAUAUUGGUAUACUAACAUUUUAACUGGUAAUUCUCUUCUCAUUAAAUCUGGUUGUGAAUAUUUCUUUCUUAACUCAUUAGCAUUCAGAUUACUCUGUCAAAUUAAUGCUUAUUUACAUUGUUUAGAAUUAAUCCUCUGUUAUCUUGUAGCUUGGAGAUUUCGAUGAUGUGAUUGUUUAUUUUUGGAAUGUCAUUGUAGAGUUGGUAUGAGAGGCUGGAUCUGGUCAGUUUGAACAUAAAACAGGUAGAUUAUUUUAGCUGAAUAUGGCUGGUUGAAAUGUUAAGGGAUUUAAGGCUUUUUCUUGACAUUGAAUUCUGUUGGUUUUAUUUUUUCUUGAUACAGUCAUUUUUCUUCAUACAGUAGUUAUUUGUUCUCUUGAGAAGUACACACCAAUAUCAACUAUUUGUUGCCAAUCAAGCUGAUGAUUACAGUUAGCUAUCAGGCUGAUUGGACAAAACUUUUAGGUCUAGAUAUAUGCUUUUGAAAGACAUAGUUCUGUGUAUGCAAGUGUGUGUAUACCUCAUGAUUAGUUUGUACCCCCCACCACCACUACUGCUAUACUACUACUACUACUACUACUACUACUACUACUACUAGAGAGAGAGAGAGAGUUGCCAAUUUUAGAUAUGGAAGCUCUUCCAACUCCUCUCUGGAUUGAUUCAUAGAAGAAGCAAUUAAUAAUUUUACAUAAACAUUCACUAAAAAAAAAUCUUUUCAACAAGAAAUUGAACUGGUUUUGUGUUGAACUGAUAUAUAUUAUGUCUUGUCAGGUGGUGUUCAUGAAAGACACAAUAAAAUGUAAUCUAAUUAAGCUUUCCCUGCUCCAACUGCACUGUCACUAAGAGGCUCUUUCAUUCAUCUUGGAGUACUUCAAAGAAUUAUUUCUUUUUGAACACUAUUUGAUCUUAGUUAAUUAAACAUGUUCUGUAGACACCUCUUCUUUCUGGAACAUUUUGUACUUUCUGUUUGCUGGCAUAGACCAUCACUUAGCCUGCUCAUAUUUUAUAGCUUCAUUUAAACAUGUGUAAUGUUUGAACUUUUGCUAUGAAAGUGUACCAACUGGAGAAUAACAUGUGAGUCUGUUUUGCCACAUCACAUUGCUAUUUAUCUGUGGAAUUUGGUGAUAAAGCGUUAAACUGUGAAACAUGCUACUGCUGUGCUGAUCUCCUUUCUAACGUAAACUCAAGCUUCCUGUUUUAUUUUUGUUUUCAAAGAAUAAAUACCAAAUAUUUAAGAGACAGUUUUAAAGAGUUUAUGAACAGGACAGAAAAUCCUCAUCAUGGUUUUAGUGCUUGUUUCUCUCUUGCUGAUAUUCAUUGGAUAGGUUUUCUCUGCAGCAUUAAGCAAUGCAGCUAAAUUUACUUGCAGACUGGCAAAAAAUGCUUAAAUUAUUUUAUGUCCAUAUUUUCAUGCUUGCAUAGUUUGGGUGGUUUUCUCCAUCACAGCAUUUUGCUGCUUACUACUGUCCUUUCUGAUCUUCUUUGUGAAGUUUAGUUUUUUGCGAUCAGCCUUCAUCACUUUUUUCUAUGUCUUCUUCAUUCUUCUUCUUGCACAACUUCCUUCCACUUGGAUCAUCUUUUAUAUGCAUCACAUAUUGGUACCAGUUGAGACUUCCCUUUUGCACAUUACAUCUGAUUCCUUUUAUUCUUAGUCUUUCCCUCAACCAUUUUGUGCACCAUCAUUUAUGUAUAUGAACAUUACACAUCCAUUAAAGAAUACUCACCUUAAUUCUUUCUGGCCUUUCCACAUACACUACUUUUAAUAAUUGAUGGAUUCUGGUAAUUAGUGUUGCAAAUGGUUAGGUUACUUGUAUUACUGAACUCUAUGAGUCUUGAUCCCUCUUCCUUCAAUGUGCAAAAACCAUAAAAUUUUUAUUAUCAAAAUAGCCAUUAUUGUAGUGCCUAACAUCUUCAUGAAUAUCACCAGUCAUAAUAAUGAGCUAACUGUUGUCUGUUGUCGAAGUAACCUGUAGUAGGCUAAUGUAGGAAUGACCUUUUUGCAUAUGUCAGUCCUGACUGUGGUGCACAAGCUAAUAUUACUGUUGUUAUGUGGCCUAUUGCAAAUGUGUGGGUGUCAUGUCUGGCAACAUCAGCAGUGGUCUGGUGCAGCGCAGCAGUGAGUCAGAAAAUGGCACUGCUACAAAAAUUAUGAUAUCCAAACCUACCACCAACAUCAACAAAUAUGAUAACACUGAGGAAAAGCUGGGGAAGGUAAAAAUCAUUAGCAAAAAAAAAAAAAAAAAAAAGGUUGAGAACGACAGAAAAAUUUAAUAAAAUAAGUAACUCCAACUCAUCAAUGGGUGCAACACUAAUGACAGCUGCUGAAACAAGAACAACAACAACAACAAAAAUAAUAAUGUAAACAAGAAUAAGGCCAAGGAAUUUUCCCAUUUGCAAGAGCAUCUGGACAGGACACUUCAGUUCAAAGAAUAAAAUAUAAGGUAUAUAUAUAAGAAGACAAGCUGAAUCAUUCACUGAGAAGCAGAGUCACCUAUAUCUGCAUAAACUAAAAACCAAGAAGAGUACAAAACCUUUCUCCAGUGUAAAUAUGGAAUUAGGAGCAUUUCUAGUUGUGUGAGGCAAUGAAUGGUAUCUCUACUGAGGAAGCAUCUGGACAAAGGAAACAUGCUCAGCAGUUUUAUACUCAAACUUCUGCUAAGUAUGGUUGUCAUCAGCUGUGUAGAUGGAGAAUCUCAAACUUGUAUAAUUCCUUGUAUGACUACUUUACAAACCGAAGAGAAAUAGUGUAUGUAUGUGUAAGGUGGCGAUCUGGCAGAAAGGUUAGCACUCCAGGCGAACUGCUUAGCGGUAUUUCGUUUGCCGUUACGUUCUGAGUUCAAAUUCUGCCAAGGUUGACUUUGCCUUUCAUCCUUUCAGGCUCAAUAAAUGAAGUACCAGUUACGUACUGGGGUCGAUGUAAUCGACUUAAUCUCUUUGUCCUUGUUUGUCCCCUCUAUGUUUAGCCCCUUGUGGACAAUUAAGAAAUAAGAAAUAGUGUACGUAUGUGUGAAGUGGGGUGAAGGAUGUGGUAGAUUUUGAAAUAACAUAGUCUAUAAUGAAUUAAGCUGAAAGCCUCAAAAUACACACAUACACACACCCUGACAAAUGUGCAUGUAUGCACAUACAUGCACACACACACACAGAGAUUAAGUACAAUGCAUACUGUGCUAGACUGCAUGUUAAAGUAGCACUAGCAAAUCUUACUACCUUUUAUGCAUGUUUUUAUAUUUAACUUUUGGUUUAAAAGUAUCUAAUUGUUAAAUCUGUGAUUAAAAAAAACUAGUUUUAGUAAAAUUUUGAUACACAGAUUAUGAAAGUAUUCAACCUUUGCUUCAAUUCACAGAUCAUUCAGAUAUAUUUAAUACACUAAUUUAGCAAGCAUACUUUUUUUUUUAUAAUUAUUCCUAACAAAUCACAGCACCAUUUGAGCGUGGCCGUUGCCAGUACCGCCUGACUGGCCCUCAUGCCGGUGGCAUGUAAAAGCACCCACUAUACUCUUGGAGUGGUUGGCGUUAGGAAGGGCAUCCAGAUGUAACAACUCUGCCAGAUCAGAUUGGAGUCUGGUGCAGCCAUCUGGUUCGCCAGACCUCAGUCAAAUCGUCCAGCCCAUGCUAGCAUGGAAAGUGGAUGUUAAAUGAUGUUGAUGAUGAUGAUGAAAUCACAGCAGCAGCAUGUUUUAAUUAUACUGUCAUCAGUGAUAAUAUAUAUCAAGACUUCAGUUUCUUAUUCUUAAGAAAAAAUUUUUUCCAGCGGAAAAACCACAAAAACCAAAAACAAAAUUAAAAAAAAAACACCUUUUCCCAUUUCUGAAGCCGAGGCUUACACGUUGUCUUCUAUAGUGAAAAUGCUUUUGAUAUUUUCAAUGAAAAAUUACCUUGAAUUUUUAUUUUCCGUUGCUAUAUCUGCCUUAUGAUGAGCCAUUUUCAUGUAGCCCACUGCUCAUAAAUGGUUGCCUAUGCCUAACAAAUACACACACAUGCACACUAAGACAUAUAGUCAGACACAUAUACAUACAACUAAGCACACAUGCAUAUGCAGACAGGCAUAUACACAUACAGACAUACAUACACGAACACAUAUUGCUGAGGAAGAUACUGAGAUCCAAGACCUGGCAUACAUUUGUGUACAAUCGUGUAUAUACAUGUUGAGAAUGACACAAAACAUGAACAGUAACAGUCAGUUCCACUACAUGAUGGCAACGAGCCAAAAUGUAACUCGUUCUGCUCUUUCUUUCAUCUCUUUCAUUUCUUUUCUUUUGAUUUAAAAAAAAUAUAUUUUCUUUUAUUUCAUAUCAGCUUUCUUUUUUCUUCCCCUCCUCCUCUCUUGCUUUCUUGCACUUCUUAAUCUUUUUUCUUCUUUUCGGCAGUCUUGUUUUCUCUAUAUCUGAAGGGGCUCAGUGUUCACUCCCACUCUCUCAGAUCACCAUCUCCUCCUUCUCCUCCAAUUUGUCCAUCCCAACAGCCAAUGAAUUAGAAAACAACCAAUCUAUUAUAAAGACUUCAACAGAAGAAAUACUACAGGCAACAAAGAGUAUUGGUAAUCUAUGUCAGAAAAUCCCCUUCCUUCCUUGCCCCGACAGAGAGGAGGUGAGCAUUGAUGUCUGUUUAUUAGUAAGCAUAUGUUUGUUGUAAUCUUGCAACUAAAGCAAAGUCAUCUCUGUAGUCACUACUAUCCAAAGAAGUAGUUUAGUCUGCACCAAAUGCUGACCAUUGACUGGCCUGGAAAGACAUUCAGUGAAGAAGCCAUAAUAAAAACCUUCUGCUUCUUUCUCUCUCUUACUCUUGCCCUCUGUGUCUGUAUAUGUACAUACAUAUAUGUAUAUACAUGCACACUCGUAUUGUUUGUAAUGAACAAGAGAAGAAGUAAUAAUGUAAGUAAUAAAAAGUGUAGAGUAUAAUUGCAUUUAUUCAGUUGAUGGCUUAUGCUGUUAUUCUGAGUUUUAUAAUUCCUUAAUUAGUCAGAUAGCAAGUGCUGAUCUGUAAUGAUAAAACACUCAAAAACAAUUCAAGGUACGUUUGUGUAUGUAUGCAUGUAUAUAUAUGUGUGUGUGUAUAAGCUUGGCUGUGUGGUAAGAAGUUUGCUUCCUAACUGCAUGGUUUCAGGUUCAGUCCCACCAUAUGGCACUUGGGCAACUGUUUGCUACUAUUACUCUAGGCCUUGUGUGCAGAUCCUUUAGACAGUAACUGAAAGCAGCUUGUUGUGUGUGUGUGUGUGUGUGUAUGUGUCUGUCACCACCACAUAGGUUUAGGUUUGUUUACAUCCCUGUAACUUGGCAGUUUGGCAAAAAGUGACCAAUAGAAUAACUAUCAGGCUUUAAAAAAUUGGUACUGUUGUCAAUUUCUUCGACUAAACCCUUCAGAGUGGUGCCCCAGUAUGGUUGCAGCCCAAUGAUUGAAACAAGUUCUCUCUCUCUCUCUCUCUCUCUCUCUCUCUCUCUCUCUCUCUCUCUCUCUCUCUCUCUCUCUCUCUCUCUCUCUCUCUCUCUCUCUCUCUCUCUCUCUCUCUCUCUCUCAAGUUUGUCCUAAUUGUUUCUUCUCUGAUCUUCCUUAGAUUGUAAUUUUGUGACCUGGUCUGUUGUAUACCAUAGAAAAACUGUAUGAAGUUAGAUAUCAUAGACAUCAAUUCAAUUGGAUAAAGAGCAACAACUCCAUUGAGUUUCUGAUUUCAUUGUACUAUACUUACCAUUGCCUUCUUUGAAAAUUAUGUAUUUUAAAUGUACCUACUCCAGCAUUCACUCCUUAGAAGGGGAGAAAUUGGCAAAAAAGCCAAACUCACUAUCUUUAAUUCCAGUUCUUGUGCCUAUCCUCGCCUAGGGUUGUAAAUGUUGGGUAGUGACCAAAAGAGUAAAAUUGUGAAUGCAAGUGGCCGAAAUGAGGCUCUUCUGAAGAGUCUUUGGAUUAACAUUACUUGAUAAGGUGUCUAGCUUGAAGAUUAGGGAGUUUCUCUAACAGCUCCAAUACUACAGACAUAUGAUUAGAAAGAAUUGGAAUAUGGCCCCUUCAAGCUGAGCCAAGUUGUAGGAGACUUAGGGUUAGAGCAAGAAUAAGAUGACUGAAUAAUAUCCAUAGUCUCUUCUUCAUGUUUGCUUGGGAGUCCAGCUAGAAAGUCUAAUGAUAGAAUCUUAUGGAGGAGGUACUUGAAGACUUUACUUCCAUAAUCCUCCUAGGACUAGUGGAUGGAGAAGAUGGAUGGAUAGAUAGACAGUUGCCAUUUAAAAAAAAUUUAUUUCAUUGUUUUGUUUUUGAAGAUAGACAUAUUGUGAUAGGACAGUUCAUGUCCCCCACCAAAAAUACAAUUUGAAAAGGCUUCAUAAUCUCAUAGUAGUAUUAUUAUGAUCAUUUAGGUUUCUAUAUUGAGAGGCUGCAGAAUGCAGAGAUAAGUUGAAGUGAUUGUACUGAUAUAGCUAAUGUUUGGCACAUCACUGUUUUGUGUUUAAAUUCAACUGAGGUCAAUUAAUUAUGUAUUAGUGAGUGAGUGGAAUUGAUUCAUUUGUCAAUGACUACACACUAACAAAAUUAGCCCUGUAACUAGUUAAAAAGAAAUCAUUAUUAUUUAAUAGUUGUUGUUUUUAUAAAUUAUUGUCAUUGUUGUUUAAUUCAUGUUUAAUAUAUAUAUGUUAAGUAUUGCAUCAUUGACAUGUAUAAACAUCUAGACUGCCCAUUUCCACUGGCAUAUAACUCAGAUUUAAAACAAAAAUCUCCUCCUCCCCCUCCUCCUCCUCCUCAUCAUCAUCACCACUACUACACCACCACCAUCACCACACCACCACCACCAUCAUCGUCAUCUCUUUUCCUUGUAGAGUUGAGCUAUACACUUAAUUCUACUCAUAUUAAUUUAACUGUCAGAAAUAGUCUCCAGAUCAUCUGUGAAUGUUUCCUAAGACAGACUGUUGUGCUAUCUUGGAAAGAGUUUUUAUUUUUGCCCACUUAACUUUUCUGAUACACCCGAGACUGUUUUUGCUUCUUUGAUACAAAUUUUUUGUUUUAACUUGAACUAAAUGAAAACCUAUUAAAAUUUCAUGUUAAUGUUUCAAAUGUCAGCUUAAUAAUGACAAAGUCAUUUUACUAAAUUCUUCAUCAGUUUCAAAAUUAAUUGAAAUAAAGAAAGUGUAUUUGAACAGGUGGUAACACAAGGUUAAACACCAUGAUAACAGUGCUAAGAGCUGAUCUUGAAAGGCAGCAUUUCUGCCACCUCCUGACCAAGGUUCAAGGAACAUUUGCUUUUUGUUUACAUUCACUGAUUGCAUGAUUAUUUUUGUGGUUCGAAAGUCUUUUAUUGUAGUGUCAGGUUGACCAGCAUUUUGUGAGUGGCAGACGAAAUUUAUGCAAAAGUGUGUGUGUGUGUGUGUGUGUGUGUGUGUGUGUGUUGCAAGACAUGCAACUUAACUUAAAGAACAACAUAACUCAAAGAAUCAUUUAAAAAUUUAUUAGCUUAUGUACGAGUUAAUAAAUGGUUUGUACAUAUUUUCAUUUUUAUUUUAUUUGAUUUUUGUAUUGGUUUUUAGAGGUUUUUAAAAAGAUUUUUCUACUUUUAAGUAUGCCCUUUGGGACCAACAUAAAUUCUGAUACAAUGAUGGAAAUGGAAAUUUAUUUCUUAAAAAAGAAAAACAAUGUAAAGUUGUAAAAAGCAUAACUUGAAACAAUAUAAGUCAAUGUAUGCCUGUAUACUAGUUUAAAUUGUAAUGCCAAUUUAUGUCCUUUUAUGCAGAAAAAUAAAACUUCACCGUUCUUAGCCAACUUAACCAUAGAAAUUGAUAAUAUGUAUGAGACUGAAAUAUUAAUAUCAAACUGAGAUAAGAACUUAGAUUGAUAUAAUGAUUGAGUUAAGAAAUAUAUUACAGUCUCAAGUGAGGUAGCACUUAAUCUGAGGUUUGAUUCAAAAGACUGCCUUCAUUUUGGCAGUUGAUUUUAUCUUGGUGUUGAUAGGUCUUUUGAUUGUUGUAAUCUGGCGUAUUAUUUACUGUAGCAAUUUAUCAAUCAAUCAGCCAUUCAGUGAGUCAGUCUGUCAAUAUAUCGUUCAAAUAAUCAAUAUAUCAAACAGUCAGUAUAUUGAUCAGUCGAUCAAUCAAUCAAUCAGUCAGUCCAAAAUCAAUUAAUCGUCCUCUAUCAGUUAAUCAGUUAAUAUGUCAAUUAAUCAACUGGUCAAUAAAUCAAUCAGUUAAUAUAUCAAUCAUUCAAUAUAUUGAGCAACCAAUCUAUCAGUUGAUGUAUCAAUAAAUUUAGUCAUUAUUAAACAUAUCGCCACCACCACUGGUGGAGGGCAUAAUUAGUAGUGUAUCAGAUAUAUAAUGUUUGGCAGUAUUUAAUUUUGUGCUUUUACAAUACUGAGUUCAAAUCUUUUGGGCCAAAAUUAGGUAUCAGUAUUACCAUUAUUACCUUUAGCCUCUUCAUCAUCAUCAUCACCAUUUUUACAAAUUUUUACAAAUUAUGUCUAUUAUUAUUAUGACUAAUUUGACUAUAAAAUAAAGACAAGUAGCUUUCCAGAAACUAUAAUUCUAAACAGCAAACAUACCAACACACACUCACAACUCAUAUACAUUCAAUAUUAACAGUAGAGUUAUUGAUUUGGCUAACCAAACACACACACACACACACACACACACACACUCUCUCUCACACACACAUAUAUUUCUCUCUCUCUCCUCCUCCUCUCCCUCCCUAGUAGUCUGAAUCCUUUGCCCUUUAUAUGAUCAUCACCACCUGAAUCCCCUCUAAUGAAAGCAUGCCUUUUCAAAUUGUGUACUAUAAAUGUUUGUUUUGUUUGAUCUACUGUUUUAACCUAUUUUAUUCCCCUUAAGAUAAUUCAUCUGCCCCUUAGAACAGUGAGGUGAGGUUAUUAAAAAAUUGGUCCCAUUUUGGCCUAGUCUGAAGAUAUUUUCCUUCCUGUAGUCAUGGAGCCCUGAAAAAAAUUAUGAGCAUUUGCCAUUAAAAAUAAAUAAAUAAAUGGAAUUGAUAUAAGUUUACAGAAAAUCUUUCUGAUAUAUCUUCAUCCGUGGGCAAAAUGAGCAACGCCCUAACUUCAGCAGCUGCCAUUCUCUUUUAACAUCUCAAAGUUGUUGGGGACUAAAUAUCUGCCUUUUUCAUCACUUUCAGUCUCCCUCAUUCAGUAACUGCUAGUAUAGUUUCUGUAAAACUAAAUUUACUCUAAACUUGCUCUGCUAUAUCACAUACCAAUGGUCCCUUACUUUUUUACACCUGGGUGUAACAUGUCCAAAUAGAACCCCACAUCAGUAUACCCUCACAGUGCCUCACAUCAAUAUAUGCUCGCAGUUAGAUAGCACUUCAAUAUGGUCACAUGAGUGAAAGAGGCUGUUGUGAUAUUCUUUUAUUCUUUUACUUGUUUCAGUCAUUUGACUGUGGCCAUGCUGGAGCACUGCCUUUAAGUUAAAUGAAUCGACUCCAGGACUUACUUUUUGUAACCCUAGUACUUAUUCUAUCAGGUGUUUUGCCGAACAGCUAAGUUACGGGGAUGUAAAUACACCAGCAUUGGUUGUCAAGUGAUGUUGGAGGGAGAAACACAACACACACACACAUUCACAAGUUCAAUGAAUCCACACUUGGUCUUCACUUCUAUGUACAAAUAAGGAGAACACAUCAUUUGUUGGUCCAUAAGUGGACUGAUUGUCAGCAGUGUAUAUAUAAUUUCCCAGCUCCUUUUUUUAUGUUUAAAAAGUGGAAAGAUUCAUAUAUUCACAUUAGCAUAUGCUGAGCAAAAUUAAAUUUUCUUUGUGCCCAUCUCCCUUGUAUCUAGAGUAGAGAAAAUCCACAUCCUCAUCUCAAAACUGGUAACCUUCACUGUUCUGCUCAAAGGUAGGUGGAAUAUCAGCUUCCUCAACAGUAACGCUCUGGCAGGUAAUGUACCCUCAGUGCUAUGUAUAGGCUAUGCUGAAGAGGUUUGCAUUUAUCUCUGUAUCUUACAAACUUUUGAAUCAAACAACUAAAACCACAAUUUCAUUGCUCCAAGCUCACCCUGUCACAACACCUUUCCCUUCUUCUAAAGAAAGAAAAAAAAAAGUUUCACAAAACAAGAAAAAAACCUCUACAUGCUACAAAUAGCAGCCACAUUUAAUCAAAUCCUGUCUUGAAACAGGAAGGACACAUUGAAUAAUUUAGUAGUUCUAGAUAUCAAAAUAGAUAGGAUAGUCGAGACUGGAAUACCUUUUGUCCUAUAUCUGUUAAGUCAAGCUUACCUUAUGUUACACAUAACAUCAAGAAAGAGGAACAAAAAAAGAAAAAGCCUUUAUUGAGUUAUUUUUCUUUUAAUCAUAUAGCUUUAACCCUUCACUGUUCAGAUUAUUCUGUCAAAUGUAAUGUUUAUUUCUUCACAUUACUUUGAAUUAAUCACACAUGAUCUCAUAGUGUUAAGAUUCCAAUGAUGUGCUCCUUUAUUAUUAGAAUAACAUAGUAGGUUAGAUAUGGGUGACCUGAUCUAGAUGGUUUGAGUAUAAAGGUGGUGGGACAUGAUUUGAGAGAAUUUAAGCUACUAUUUCUAUCAUCUUGAACAAUCACAUAGAGCAGUGGUUCUCUACCAUUUUUUUUUUUUUUUACCUCUGGAGCCCUUUGAUUCACAUUUUACUCAGAUUAACCCCUAUAGCCAUUUGAUGUUUUAAAACUCCUAAUGUAUUUUAUAAUCAAAUAUUAUUUGGGAAUUGUAUUAAAAAUUAGUUGAAAUAUUUUUUGUAUUGUCAUAGCAUAAGCAAUUCAUUGCAGAUAGAUUUUAACAACAAAAUCUUAUAUGGACCAUAUGUGAGAACCACUGACAUAAAGACUCAUUUGGCAUGUUGGCAGCUAGUAAAUAGCUAGUACAAUAGAAGCCUUUUCAGCCAUCUGUCCACCUCAUCAAGGUCAACUGUCCACUACAUUGGACCAAGCUUCCUUUACAUUUAUCAAUGUAUUUUCUUAGUCUUCUCAAUGACAAGCAAAAACCUGUUCAUCUUUGUCCUUCUUCAACUCAAAUUAGUAACUUGGUUUUGAUGUAUGUACUGUUGAUAGUGAGGUAGCAGUGAGUUGGUAGUGCUUUGUGUGUUUCUGUGCCUGUGUUUUUGCAUAUCUGUCCGUGUAUGAAUUAGUAUUUGCGCGCAUGCACGUGUGUGUGUGUUUAUUACUAUGUUUCUAUGUAUAUGUUGGCAACUCGGUUUCCUGUGAUUCUUGCUAUGCCUUGACUUCACACUUGUGUUUACCAUCUACAGGUCCUUACAUGUUUCAAAAAAUCUACCUCUUGGUACUUUGCAUAUAUAUGUAUUAUGCAUGUGUGUGUGUGUGUGUGUGUGUGUGUAUGGAGAGAGGGAGAGAGAAAGAGAGAAUUCAUCUAUAAUUGAUCUUGUUUUAUUUUUGUUUUGUUUGUUUUCCUAUCCCUGUCUCUUGUUUAAUUUCCAUGACUCCUUUGCAAGUAGUUUUGGUACUAUUAGUGGAAGAGGAACUGAUAGAGAGAAAAGUGAAUUGGAAUUAAAUUCUAGAGUUUAACAAACAUUUAGAGAUUUCCGUUUGGUAGAGAGAUUAACAUAUAUUGUAGUAUCGUUGUUGUUGUUAUCAUUUAAUAUCUACAUUUCCAUGCUAUUAUGAGUUGGACAGAAUUUGUUGAGGCAAAUUUUCUACUGCCAGAUGCCCUUCCUGUUGCCAACUCCUGUUCUCCAUGACUAGUCAUAUUCUCAUUGAAGAAUAGGAAUGAAAGACACUGCUUGCAUAAUGGGGACAUUUGUUUACAACAGUCACAUGAAGUUGAAACAAAGAGACAGUGACACACAUGCACACAUAUGAUAAGCUUCUUUCAGUUUCUGUUUACCAAAUCCACCCACAAGACUUUGGUUGGCCUGGGAAUUAACCCAGAACCAUGUGAGUUGGGAAGCAAACUUCUUACCACUCUGCCAUGCUUGCACAUAUCAUCAUGGGUAAUAAAUUUAUAAUUUGAUCAAAUGAGGCCUCUGACAAACCAAACCUGACAUUGUAGUUUUGUCCUGAUUCCAUGUCUGAGUUCAAAUUUUACAGUUUUUGUCCUGAUUCUGUGUUCUGAGUUCAAAUUCUCUUGAGAUCAACUUUGCUUCUCAUCAUUCUGAAGUUAAAAACAAAAUAUGAAGUACCUAUGAAGCCUUGGAGUCAAUUUAGUUGACUAAUCUCCUUUCCCCCAAAUUUGAUGCUUUGUAUGUGUGUUAGAAACUGUUACAACUAUUAUUGUUUUUAUUAUUACUCUACCCACCAUCCUGAAAAGUAAAGCAAAAUAAAACACUUGCCUAAGCUUGAAGAACUUACCAGGUGCAGAUCCAUGGUUCUGCAAGACCUAUGGAGGCCAUGGAUGUUACAAUAAUUACUUAACCCUUUAGCAUUUAAACUGGCCAGAUUCAGCCUUGCUCACCUUCCAUACUUUCUAAAUACAAGCAAUCAUGUCAUUAAAAUUUUGAAAGUGCAUGAUUAAUUCAAAACAAUAUUAUUAAUUAAGCAUUACUUUUAAUAAAAGAAUCUGGAUGCUAAAGGGUUAAAGAUGCUGGGUAAAAUAUUAUCUAGCAUUUAGUUUGACAGUUAACAUUCUGAGUUCAAAUCCUGUUGAGGUUGCUGUAACUUUUCAUCCUUCUGGGAGUGGUAAAAACAAGUACCAAUCAUGUACUGGAGUCAGUAUAAUUGUAUCACCAUCAUUGUUUUUAUUCUUACUAAUAUUGGUCUUCAUACAAAUAGCAGGGCCAGACACUUUGAAACAUUUUAUUUCCAACACUCAUAUCAGUUUGUCCUUGUUUUUCAUCUUCAACAUCUGUUAAAACUAAUACCUCUAAUAUUUUCUAUCGAAAACAUUCCUACUUCUUUGUCACUAUAUUUUUACUAAUAGUCUUGAUACUAAGGCUAUGGCACAAAAUCAGAUUCUGUUUAACCUGUUAGCAUAUAAAUGGUCACAUCUGGCCCAAAUAUUCUACCUGUCUUAUGCUCAAUUUGGCUGGAUCUAAUCUUUCACACUGACCCUGCAAUAUGAUUCUAAAAAUAAACAAUCACAUUAUUGAAAUCUGGAAGUUAUGAAAUAAUGCAUGAUGAAUUGAAAAUACUGUGAAUAAAGAGUCAUCUAAAUGCUAAAGGGCUAAACACUGUUUUAGCUGAAAUCUUCAAACUUUACUACUCUCUAAUCUUAUGAAUUUCAAAUUAAAAGGGUGGCUUAUUAGCAAUUAUAACCUAAAGGCAGAAUUAAUAGAGGUCACAAAAGUGACAGAGGGUGACUUUUGUCAGUCAUUAAGUAUAGUGCUUUAAGUGGCUUUAGAGUGAAUUUAACUCUUAGUUUAACAUAAGUGGUGCUAGUCAGCACCCUCCAUCACUUUUGUGAGCUCUGUUAAUUUUGCCUAUAUAUGUACACACACACACACACACACAUUGCAUGAACUAAAAGUCAGAGGGAUACAGGAUAAACUAUCUGCAUCAACUUGUUAUAAAAGCAGGUAGUAAUUUUACCUUGUAUUUAUUCUUAGUGCAAGCUUUGAAGAGUGCAGUUCAAUUUUAACAGUUAUUUUUUUCAAAGCUAUAAUGUGACAAAGGAACAUAUUUGGCAUUAUGGGUUCAACAAAGGCAACGACACAAUAGAAAGUGCAAGGAAUAUUAAUGCAGUAUAUGGGGAUCGGACAAUAAGCGUAAGCCAAUGUCAACGGUGGUUCCAGAAAUUCUGAACCAGGAAUUACAGCCUAGAAGAUGAACAUCAUCCUGGAAUAUCUGUAGAGCUCAACGAGGACAUCCUGAAAAACCUGGUGGAAUGAAAUCUCAUUAUAUCUAUUGAGGAACUAGUAGAGAAGCUUGGAUUUGGUCAUUCAACCAUUCAUUGACACCUGUGUGCUGUCGGAAAAGUCAACAAAUUAGGUCAAUGGUUCCUCACAAAUGUUCCAAGUCUAAUUACGUGCUCUUCUUUGGUGUCAUGUCUCAAGAAUGAUCUUUUUUGGACUGAAUAGUGACAAGAAAUAGGUUCUCUAAAAAUGUCAAGUGAUGAAGACAGUGGGUAGGGAAAGGAGAAACAUCAGAACCCCAGGCUAAAGAAGGUCUUCAUCCACAUAAGGUGUUGUUAUCUGUUUGAUGGGAUAUGAAAUGUUUAGUUCACUCUGAACUUUUAAACCCAAACCAAACAAUAACAAAGGAAAUUUACUGCGAGCAGCUUAAGUCAGCGCUAGAAGGAAAAUGACUAUCUUUAGUUUCAAGAUAAAAGGUGUUCUUCCAUCAGGAAGCCACAUGCAACAAGGAUGACAUUCCAAAGGCCGGAGCAGUUUGAAAAGAAAACAAUGCCCUGCCCACUAUAUUCACCAGACAUUGCUCCAUCUGAUUGUCAUCUAUUCCACAGUCUUCAAAAUCAUUUGGACGGAAAAAAUAUGAAUUGUAUAGACAAGGUCAGAACAGUACUGGAGGAGUAUUAUUCGUUAUGGACAAGUGAAUUUUGGAAGAGAGGCCUUGCAAGCAUAUCAGUUAGAUGGAAGAGCAUUGUAGAAAAUGGAGUAUAUUUUGAAUUAAAAAAGAAGUUUAUUUAUCUUAAUUUUAAAAAAUAAAAUAAAUAUACAAAAAGCACAUUAUUUAUGGGAUGACUCAAUUUAUAUAUACCCACAUACAUAUUCUAAUAUACAUAUAUGCCUCUUAACCUUUGCAUGUACACACAUAUAUGCAUACCCACACACAUACAUAUACAAAUAUAUGCAUAUACAUACACAUGUACACAUCUACACCACAUACACCCACACACACAUACCUACACACACACACACACAAACACACAUACUCUGACUCGCUUAACCAGCAGGGUGGUGUCAUUUGGAGGUUAAAACAAUGUGAAGCGCAUUGUGACCAGUGAUGUGUAGCAACAUCUGAUAGCCUGGUCGGUCAUGUGAUCAUGUGUGAUAUAUAUAUACACUCACACACAUACAUAUCUCAAUACACACACACACACACACACACAUGCAUACACGUAUAUAACUGUACUAACAUGCUCAUGUACAGGCAUGUGUAUGUAUGCAUACACAUAUAUAUGUACACACUCAUACAUACAUGUAUGCAUACACCUUCACACACACAUAUGCACAUAAACAUAUAAGAGAGUGUACAUCCAUACAAACAUUUUUAUAUAUAUUUUUAUAUAUACACAUAAAUACAUGCACACACAAACAUACACACAAAGAGAGAAAGAGAGAGAGAGAAAGCAAAAGGGAGGGAAAAGCAUCUGCAUAUAACUUUUUGGAUGCAGAAAAUAAUAUGUAAAAGAGUAUAUAUUCAUAUGUAGCUUUCAUUAUUCAGGCAAUGUUUGAUUCGUGUCUCUCUGUGGGAUGGUAGUUUUUGAUUGUUGUCUUUCUUGGGAUGGUAAUUUUGGUGAUUUUAGUAUUAUUUUUGGUUCAGUUUUGGUUGGUGUUUUUGAAAAAAAUAUUCUUCCUUGGCCUUACAGAAAUGUUCAUUUUCUGUCCAUAGUUUGACGAAAGGGAAUCUUUUGUAUUUUCUUUUCUCACAUUUAUUGAAGUGUUCACUGCAAGUUAUGUUUCUAACAGAGGAAUCAUGGAUUUGUUGUUUAUGUAUCCUUACUCACUCAUAUUAUCCAAUGCCCAUUUCACCAAUGUAGUACUCUUUGCAUUCAGGGCAUGUGACACAGUAAAUUAGGUUUUUGGAUUUGCAAUUUAUAUUUGCAUUUAUUUUUAAAACAUCUUUAAAAGUAAUUUGUUCUCUUUCUUCCAUGUAAUCACAUGUUCUACAAUGAGGGUCACCACAUUUUUGAACUCUCUUUGUUGUUUCUCUAGUUGUAACUCUUGCUUGAGUUAAGAGCUUUUUAGGUUGGGUGCUUGACAUCUGCUAUAAAUUAUUUUUGAAUCUGUUAAUUUGUUCAUUUUUAAUGAUUGUUAAAGAACUGGGAGGUACCUUUUUGCAGUAUUGAUGAUGUCAUGAUUUCUUGGGUUGUAGGUGAUGACAAAAAGAAUGCUUAUGAGUUCAUUUUUAUUUUUGUGUGUUUGUUUUCCUCUGAGGUCAGUAGUUGGAAUGUCUUUUGCUUUGGUGAUUGCUGUGUCAAUUUAGUGGGAUACUUUUGUUCUUUUAGAAAUAUUUUUAAUUCUUAUAAUCUUUUCUCCCUUAAUUUUGCAUCUGUUACUAUAGUGCAAAUUUGUUUUGCAAUAUUAACAGGUAUGUUUCUUUUGGUGUGUGAGGGAUGGGAGGAAUGAAAGUUCAAAUAUUGGUGUGUCUCUGUAGGUUUGUAGAAGAGAUCUGUUUUAUGGUAUUAUCUUGUUUAAUUAGAAAUAUGUCUAAUUUGAAACCAGUCUAUGUAUCAUAAUAUUUUUAUCCUCAUUUUGGUUUAGCUUCUCGUGUUGGUCAUUAAGUUGUUCCAAAACCAUAUCUCUGUAAUGGUUCUUGUCCAUGAUAGUUGUUGCUCCACCUUUGUCAGCUUCUUUGAAAAUUAUCGAAGAGUCUUUUUAAAAUUUAUUCAUGCUUCCAACAGAUCUUAAGGUAUGUUGGAUUUACAUUUCUUCUCCAUUGCAUUAGAUGGAGCUGAUCAUCAUAGGUAGCUAAUAUAUUCUUCUGAGUUUUUGUCUCUAUUUAAGAUAGAUCUGAAUUCUGUUCUGUUUUUAACCAGUGAUUGUGUAUACAGUAUUAAGAAAAAAAUUCUCUCAAUCAUAAUUUUCGGCAAAAUUCUUGUGUCUUUUAUGAGUUCAGCUUGCUUGGAUUUUGGAGUGGGUGUAAAUUUCAAUCCAUUUUCUAGGAUCUUAAUUUCUUAGUGGAUAAAUUUAGUAUUUUUGGUUUGCUUAUGUGUUUGUUUUCUGUGUCUCAUGAAGAAUGGUGCUAUUUUUUCUUUUUUUUUUUUUGGUGGUUGAUCUCCUGUCUUAAAAAAUGAUUUCCAUUGGAAUUAGGAGUGUUUUGCAUUUCUCUGUAUGAAAACAUUUUAGGUUGGUUAUUCAUAGGUAAGUAUGUUCUUGGUUGUUGGAUUGGGGGUUGACUCAUUAUUCUAUUGUUGUUCCAUGUGGUUUGUUUGGGUCUAUAAUUUGGUCUCUGGCAAGUCCUGUUUUAUCUUUGGUUAGGGUUCUUUGUUCUAUUAUUUCUUGUUAUAUCUGCAUAUGAUCACAAAUUUGUGUUUCUUAGAGGACGGAGGUAUCUGUUUAUUUUGUGGGAAAAUUUCCUUUCUUUUGGUGUUGUCUCGAGGUCUCAGGGUUGUCAUAAACAGGUCAGUGUUUAGGUUUUAUCUGGUUUUUCCCAUAGGUGUUUUUGUAUUCUUGUAGCCAGAAGAUUUUUGAUUCCAAGGUCUUACUCUUUGUCUCUUCAUGUCUAGAAGUUUUUUUCAGGGGGGGGGGGAUACUUCCACUGCUUCUUUUGUUAAUUUCUUCAUGUAUAUAGGUGUCAUAUUUUUCAAAUUUCUUUUGGAAGUUUGUUGCUCUAAGGCAGAGUAGUGUGAUUACUGCUUCAAAUCUCUAGUGCUAAAUUGAGGUGAAUUUGUUUCUUCAAUCGAUCAACAUCAAUGGAAAUUGUAGCUGUGAUACCAGUGCCGGUGGCACGUAAGAGAACCAUCUGAACGUGGCCGUUGCCAGCGCCGCCCCGACUGGCCUCCGUGCCGGUGGCACGUAAAAAGCAUCAUCCGAUCAUGGCCGUUUGCCAGCCUCGUCUGGCACCUGUGCAGGUGGCACGUAAAAAGCACCCACUACACUCACGGAGUGGUUGGCGUUAGGAAGGGCAUCCAGCUGUAGAAACACUGCCAGAUCAGACUGGGCCUGGCGCAGCCUUCUGGCUUCCCAGACCCCAGUUGAACCAUCCAACCCAUGCUAGCAUGGAAAACGGACGUUAAACAAUGAUAAAAUUUCAUAUCAAAGAAAUAACAUCAUCAUCAUCAUCAUCAUCAUCAGACGUUAAACGAUGAUGAUGAUGAUGAUGUUAUUUCUUUGAUAUGAAAUUUUCUUGGGAGUAUUACUUCUCUGCUCCUCCACCAUUCAUAUGUGUUGGCUAGGUUUUCAUUUCUUAGAGCUUUCCUAUAUGCUUGUUUUCUUUUAUUUGAUAUACUGUGUGUGCAUGUAUGUCUGAAUAGGUGACCUCACAUCAGUAAGCACCCCACUGGUCAUUUUUUGACAAGUCAUAACAGUAUUGGCCACUCCAAAAUAUUCCAUUUCUUUAUUCUUGACUCUCCUUCCCCCUCUAUUCACAAUUGCUAUUAGUCUUAUCUUUAUUCUUAUCUUUAUAUUUAUUUUUAGCUUUAUUUCAUUUACUUAUUUUUUCCACUUCUUUCUUCCUUGAUCUUCUUUUUAAACACAUAAGCUUUUAUAUUUUUAAAAAAUAUAUAUUUUUGUUAUUUAAGCAACUAGUAAAACAAACAUUUUUCAGUUUGAAAACAGCUAUUUGAUGCUUGAAACUCAUCAGUCACUCACUGUAAACAUUAUUAUUAAAAUAAAAAAUUACCCUAAAAAAAGACAUCUCUACUCAUUUUCUCAUAUAUAUAUAUAAAUAUAUAUUAAGGGAGGGCACAUUAUUGUUUGUGCUUUCCUUUUUAAAACAGGAUAUGGUGUGAGGGUGAUUUGUGAUUUAGCUAAUAGGUCAAACUGUUACAGAGGUUUAUCUGGUUCAUUAAGAAUAUGGUAGACUUGUAAGGAGUGAGUGCAGGCUAUAGCACUGAUGAAGAAACUUUCCAGCUAACCAGAUCUGUAGCAUAUGAUAGGCAUCCGGGUCAUUGCUCUUUCUUCUCAUACUUACAGUAUCCACUUUUAGGUACCACCUUUGAAGGGGAUGCAUUCCACUUACUCUUGGCACACCAAAACUACAUUCAAAUGAAAAUCCUUGUUGAAAACUCAGUGGAUCACAGUUUUUCAUGAUUGUGCAUUUGCUGUAUUGGUCAUCUUGUGACUUUUCCAUCUCGGUGUCAUUGGCUUGUUUAUAUCUCUUUAGCUCAAAACAGCCUAAGAUGUCUCAUUUGUUUUAACUCUGACUGUAUCAACUCUCUCUGACACAAAACACCAAUAAGUCUACAUGAAUUGAUAUGAAUAUAUUUGAUUAUACCAUUUUCAUUAAUUGCUUCCCAUCUUUGCUUCCUUUAUUCCUAGUCUUAAAGUUUGGUGUACAAUUAACUUAAUGUAUUGACUAUUUUUAUGGUAUUCUUUUCUUGCAUCUGUCUUGGCAAGGGAUUCAGUCAGAGAUUGAUUUCUAUCUUAAGUACAAAACCACAAAUUUUUGAGGGGUGGGGAAAAGGGAUAGUUGAUUUUAUUAACCACAGUUGUUGAUUGAUGUUUUUAUUGAACUUUGUUAGGUCAACUUCAGCGAUAUAUAUCAUUGCAUCUUAAUAGGUCACAACUGGCCAUUAGUAAACCUGCAUAUUAACUGAAUUCCUUCCUUUACCAUUAUUCUUGUUAUAUGAAUUCUUUUAUCAUAUGUCUAUAUCCAGGCAGCACAUUUUCUCUAGAGUGACAUUGCAGAAUAGAGAGCAUCAAUGUUUUAGUUGUAGUGGUAUAAAAUAGAUUUUGAUGUAAUUUAUUGCAGAAUGAUUCAACAUGCAAAUAGCUAACAUCUUUCGCAGCAUACAAACAACAACAUUCUAUGGUGUUGUUCAAUACUGGAUCACAAUUUAGUCUGACAAAUUUUAACACUUUAACAUUCAGAUUACUCUAUGAAAUGUAAUACUUAUUUGUUCACAUUGUUUUGAAUUAAUCAUGUAUUAACUUGUAGCUUUGAGAUUUCAGUGAUGUGAUUGUUUAAUUUUAGAAUGAUAUUGUAAGGUUGGUGCGCUGGAUCUGGCUGACUUGAACAUAAAACAGGCAGAUAUGACUGGUUUAAAUGUUAUAAGGUUAAAUAUAUUUAUCUUUCAGCAUCUACUCAAAAAGAAAUGCUUUUUCUUAUAAUCAUCAUGCUUUCCAUCAAUAAUUUCCUGAAAUCAUAGUUGUAACUGGUGCCUGUGCUGGUGGCCCGUAAAAAGUAUCCCGUAAAAAGCGACUAACCCCUUUGGCAAUAUACUAUGCUUGAGAAGACCUGUCAAGCCAAGUGAGAGUGCAGUUGAGGCUAAUGCCAAUGUUUCAUAACUGGCACCUGUGCUGGUGGCAUGUAAAAAGCACCCACUACACUCUUGGAGUGGUUGGCAUUAGGAAGGCUAUCCAACUGUAGAAACCAUGCUAAAUCAGAUUGGAAUGUGGUGCAGCUUACCAGUUUUCAGUUAAACUGUCCAACCUAUGCUAGCAUGGAAAAUGAAUGUUUGAUAAUGAUGAUAGUUUCUGCUGUACGGGUGCACUUUCAUCUUCCUGAGGUUUGUGCAGUCUUUUGAGAGUGUAACGUUGUGUAGAUGUUUUGCUUUUGUUACGUCUGGUGUUACUUUAGCGUUUAAUCUGUUUGUUGAGGAAUAUGUUCAAUGUGAGUUGUCAUUUCAUUGGGUGAUGAUGAUUGUGUCUUGUAUGUGCUGUGUGAAAUGUGUUGCCAGGGAAUUGAUUGGUUAUAUAGGAUCUGAGUUGUCAAUGCUUUAAUAUCAGAAGUUGGUUUUGUUGUAUCAUUUUAUUAGGAGGUGAUAGUAUAUUAGGUUACAUUGUUUUGUGUGAGUUGUGUUCUUUUAUUAGGUGGUGAUUAUCUUAGGUGUGUGGUAUGCACAGAAAACACUAUUUAAAUUGAUAUUUUUAAACUGAAUGUAAAAUUAUGAUCCCUUUGUUUUCAUUAAAGUUCUUUUCAUCAUUCCUAGUGCUCCAAAUGCUACUUAUUUCAAUUUUAAGAUCUUUGUACCUUAGCAGUUUCUCAACUUCCUUCCAGACUAUGUUUUAGUCAGAAGGCAUUGGGAUGCCUGUCAGAGUACAGAAACGUUCAUCCCUGUCUUCAUUAAUUAUAUCUGGACAAGUAAAAAAUAUUUUGUACUACUUUAAUUAUUUAUUUAUUUUUUAUCUAAAUAUUCUUAAAUAUGCUAAUAGGUGAAUUUUGUCUUUUUUUUUAUCCUUUUGUGAUCAAUAAGCAAAGUAUUAGUCAGAGCAAUAGACUGGUGGAAUUGUUAGGAUACUGGACAAGCUGUUUUGCAGUGUCUGCUACAACUAUGAACAAUUCCUUUAUGAGUCCAAUAAUGGAGCCUCUAGGUAACUACUACAUAUCUUAGUAACAGUAGUCAAAUUUCCCUCAUAACUUAAAAGGUUAAGACAUUGGAUAUUGUAGUCAGUCCUAGAUAUGCUGUGUCUCAAUAAAAAGCUAGAUUGUCACAGAACAGUUUUGGUCACAAAGCUCUACUGGAUCAGGAUAACAGCAAUCAACAACUUUGCCAGUAGAGGAAAUCAUCACCACCACCAUCACUGCAUGUAUUAGUAUCAUCAGCACCACUACUUCAAUAAAAAAAAAUCACAAAAAUAAACAAUCAUCAUUACUCUCAUAACUGCUAAUGUCACCAUCGCUACCAUCAUCAGCACCAUCACACCACCACACCUGCUUGGCAACAUUGACAUCAGUUAACACUUAUGCUUUCAUUUAAAGUGAUGGAGUUGGUGGUGAUGAAGAGGAAGAGGAUUGUGAUGAUACUGAUGAAGACUAAUGAUGAUGAUGACGGUUAUGAUUGAGUGCAGCAAAAUAGUUUUAUGAUUGGUUAUCUUCUCUAAUAUUUAUGGUUCCGAUUAAUCUUUAUUUUUUUGUUUCUUUUUCUUUCCCUAUAUGUGGCCUUGAUUAUUUUUAUCAUGGCUUCAUGUUAUCUAAGUGGUGUGUGCGUCUCAUUUGCACACAUACAUUUGUACACACACACACACACACACACACACACACAACUGCACUUUCACACACACACACACACACACACACACACACACACAACUGCACUUUAGCAUAUAAAGCUUUCUUUUUCUCUUACCUCUUUCUUUCACUUUCUCUUUUUCUUUGUAUCAUUCCUUUCGCACUUGCACACGCUUGCAGACUUCGCAUUGCAUGCACACGCAUGUGUCUGUGUUUGUGUAGUUAAGUGGAAGUUAAGACGAUAUAAUGGUUUCAGAUUUUGGCACAAGGUUUGGAAUUUCAAGGGGAGGUGGUGGUGGUGGUGAAGUUGACUACAUUGACCAGUGUUCAACUGGUACUUAUUCUAUCAACCUCAGCUGAAUUUGAACUCAGAACAUAAAGAACUGGAAGAAAUGCUGCUAACCAUUUUGUUUGACCCACUAACAAUUCUACAAACUCACCAUUUUAAGUUAACAUACUACAAUGACACAACAUUAAGUAUGUUAAUGUUAUUCCACCUCCACUCCGCUUCUAUCUUUUAUCUUUUAAUUGUUUCAUUCAUUUGUCUGUGGCCGUGCUGGGGCACUGCCUUGAGGGGUUUUAGUUGAACAAAUCAACCCUAAGCCUUAUUUUAAAAAAUCUUGUGCUUAUUCUGUUGGUCUCUUUUGCUGAACUGCUAAGUCAUGGGAAUGUAAACACACCAACACCGGUUAUCAAGCAGUGGUCAGAGAAUAAAGUCAGAAACAAGAUAUACAUAUAUAGAUAGAAAUAUAACACACACACACACACACACACAAGGGGGUUUCUUUCUGUUUUGGUCCACCAAACCCACUCAUAAAGCUCUGGUCAGCCUGAGGCUAUAGUAAAAGACAUUUGCCCAAGGUGUUACACAAUGGGUGUGAACCUAGAACAAUGUAGUUAGGAAGCAUCUUACUACACAACCCGCAGAAAAUGUCCCUCGUUAAUUUCAUCAUCAUCUGUUUUUAUUUGGUGUGUGUGUUUGAGGGAGGGGAGACAAAGUGGAGGAGGUUACUCUUUUUUUCUCUUUAUCUUUUGUUAUUUUGUCUGAAGAAGAUAAGACAGGUUUUAAAGUUCUCUUAAGCAAGAAAAUAUUUUUUAGUUUUCUUUUAGGCCUGUGUAUUUCCUGAGUGAAUUGAUAUGAAUAACCAGGCAUGGUUAGUACAGUGAAUAUUGAACUUUGCAAUAGUUGUGAGAGUGGAAUAUUAUUUUGUUUGCUGUGUAAGGAGGCGGUUCCUUUUCUAAAACUUGAGAGAGAAACUUCUUUAUAGAUAGAAGUAAUAUUCCAUAUCUUUUGGAGUUUUAUACAUAUAUGAAGCAUGGCAUCCACAGAAUAUGCAGAAAAGAAANNNNNNNNNNNNNNNNNNNNNNNNNNNNNNNNNNNNNNNNNNNNNNNNNNNNNNNNNNNNNNNNNNNNNNNNNNNNNNNNNNNNNNNNNNNNNNNNNNNNAUUAUUAUUUAUAUAUAUAUAUAUAUAUAUAUAUAUAUACAUAUAUGUACAUACAUACAUACAUACAUACACACAUACACACAUACACGUAUAUAUAGUCCACUCUGCUGAGUGGUUGGUGUUAGGUAGGGCAUCCAGCUGUAAAAUUCCUGCCUAAACAAUUACAGAAGUCUGGUGCAGGCUUCUGCCUGGCCAACUUUUAUCGAACUGUUCCAUCCAUCUCUUUCCAAUAUAUAUUCUGUAUGUAACACAUACCUUUACAAAUGAUUUUGUCUUGAUGAAAACCAUAGUAAUAAAUAUCUAUAUAUAUAUAUAUAUAUAAAAAGUAUAAAGUAAAAGAGUCAAAAGGAAAAGUAAGAGCAGCUUCGUUAAUUAUCACUACAAAUGUUUUGAUACAUAUGGAUCCCAUUAUAUACAGGAUUUAAAUUUAAAUUUAAAUUAAAUUAUGUAACGAUUUACCUGUAUAUAAGAAGAUUUAUAUAUGUAUCUUCUCAGAUGAUAUUUAAUUGCUGUCUCCGUAAGUAAAUCUAGAUUCCCAUGCUACAACAUCCAUGGUGCCUUUGAAACUAUACAGGUUUAGAUUAUAAGUACAUAUAAACCACGGAAGGAUAAAAAUAUCCAAGAUGAAACUGAUUGAAUACCUAACAAUAUAGGCACAUACACAUGGUUUAAUAUAUAUAGAUAGAUAUAAAUGAUAAUAAGGAGUAUGAUAAAGUAGAAUUUCAUGAAUGUUAAUUUACAUUUUGAUUAAAUAUAGCUUAAUAUUGACCUACAUAUGGUUCCACUACAUCAGUUAGUAACUGUUGUAAUUGCAACUUCACUAUUAUACCAGAGUAAUUUCUUCAGGGUCUUCACUGCAAUAUCCUUUCAGAUUGAAUUGGUUAGAAUUUCAUGUUAAUUUUAGUAUUGCAUUAGAUGAAGUGGUUUUGAUUGUUAAUUACGACCUGAAUUUUAUUUUGCAUUCCAAGUAUUGGUUUGAUAAUUAUUUAUUCGCUUCAUAGAUUCAGUUAUUUCAAAGCAUUUCAUUUCAUGUAUAUGUUAUAGUUGUUUGAUUAUUUUAAACUUAUUUAUAGUGUUUAGUGAAGGUACUUGGCUUAGUGGAUGUUGGGCAUUCAGCUCAUGAUAGUAAGGUUAUGAGUUCAAUUCCUGGUGAAGCAUUGUGUCCUUGAGCAAGACAAUUUAUUUCAUGUUGCUCCUGUCCACUCAGCUGUUAAAAAUUAGCUGUACUUGUAUUUCAAAGGGCCAGCCUUGUCACACUCUGUGUCACACUGAAUCUCCCUGAGAACUACUUUACAGAGGUAUAUGUGUCUGUGGAGUGCUCAGCCACAUACAUGUUAAUUUCAUGAACAAUCUGUUCCAUUGAUCAUAUCAGCUGGGACCUUGUAACCAAUAGAGUGCUUCUGUAUUUAUAUUGUUUAAAGGUCCAUUUUUCCAUAUGCAAGUAUCGUAAACCUUGUUCUUGCCUAGAAUUUAUUAUAUUAUGCUCUGAUGUAAAAAGUUGGUAAAAUUCUUCUGUGCAUAAGUCACAUUUAUUUGUCCCUCUUCUAUAAGAUUUAGCAGUACUAAUUAAUUCCUAAUGGAUGGUAUAGUCCUUAUUUCUAUCUUUAAUGGACCAGAUUUUUUUACUUAGACUUGUUUGAAAUUUUUAUAUAUUUCUAUCUCUAAACACAUUUAAAUGAUUAACCAGUCUUUUUUGGGAAUAAGUGAAGUUGCACUGAUGUAAAAGUAUUCAGUUCCCUCUGAUGUAACUUUACAUCUAAAAACAACGUUCUUUGUUUUGCAUUUAUUAUUGAUAGAACACGAGUUUUGUUCACAACAAUUUCAGAGAUUAUUUCAUAUACUGCACUCAGAUUUCUUAUUAAUUUGAUUGUUUGGAGUAAAACCAAAUUCAUUUUGCCUAAAUUCUUUAUCAUUAUUUACACUUUUAUACAAUAAUGUUAUAUUACUUCUCUUUCUAACGGAGUCUUUAUUUGAUUCAACGUUAUUCAUUUGAUUAAACAGGGUUGUUUCCCCUACUGUUAUAUUGAUAUUUGAUAUAUGAACAAAGAUAACCCAUUAUUUCUGCCUUCAUGUGCGUGUGUGUGUGUGUGUGUGUGUGUGUGUGUGUGUGUGUGUGUGAAUUGUGUAUGUUUACAUGUGUUUGCAUGGCAUCUGGUCCCUGGAUGUCAUUCCUCCCCUCUUGUUGAAGAUAAUAUCCUCCUCCUCAUCAUCAUCACCACCACCACAACCACCACCACCACCAUCAUCAUCAUCUCCAUCUCCAUCUUCCUCGUUGUGUUGUCAUAACUGUAGCCAUUAUUAAUGACAUCAUUGUCUCUUAAUGUAAUUUCAUUUAUCCACUCUGCCAUUGUGCUUAUUUGUUCAUAAGUAUUAUGACUAUUUGACUAUAGGUCAAUCAUUAUUUAAUAUGUAUUGCAUAAUUGCUAUGACAGUAACAUUGCUCUCUUACAAUAUCUUCAUGCAUGUUAUAUAACUCAUCACCCGUGUUAUUGAAACAAUUGUAAACCAUGCACUAACUGCAAUUCCAACCACUCCAUCUUUUGUGUGUGCAUGCACGCACACAUGCAUUUAUGUAUUAUCAUCUUACUCAGCACCUUAAAGUGCGCUUCUCCAUGCUUGCAUGGGUCAGAUGGAAUUCAUUGUGGCCGAUUUUCUACAGCCACAUGCCCUUACUGUCACCAGCCUGCAGUUUCCAAGUAAGAUAAUAUUUCCCCAUGGCUGGGAAUACUUUCUUAGAGGAUUAUAAAGGAACAAAACUGUAUUGAGAUGACAAACAAUUACAACUAUCAUGUAAUAUCAAGACAUUAAAGUGCUAACACUCCUCCUCAUACAUUCACACAUAUACACAUACAUUGUAUGUAUAUAUAAGUAUAUAUAAAAAUAUGACAAGCUCCUUCCAGUUGCCUUCUACCAAAUUCACUCACAAGUCUUUAGUCAGCCCCUCCACACACACACACACACACACGCCUACAUAAAUCUGUCUGAGUGCAUUACAAAAUUAGAGCCACUGUUUGAAGAAAUGGCUCAGUGACUGCAAACCUGGAAAGUCUAAGUGAAGUUACUAAGUAGUGUUUUCACUUCUUUACUGUGAGAUAUGCAAAUAAAUAUGCUCAGUCAGUUCUUCACCUGAAGCUGUAUGAAAGGGAGUGGCAACCAUCAGUUAUAUCAACAUAAAAGAGACAGAUACAAUAUCAGCAAUUGAUGAGGUAAAUGGACACUGAUGGAUUUAUUUUUUCAGUGAUUCUUUUAAAGGCAUGCAAGAAAGCUUUGGCUGGUAAAACCUCUGCAGAUACUUUUCAUGGGCUUCCUUGCAUGUGGCAAACAGUCCAAACAUUUGAAAGAAGGUAUGAUAUGUUCUGUUCAAGAAUGAGGAAGCAGAACAUCAUCAUUAUUUAACAUCUACUUUCCAUGCUGACACGGAUUGGGUGGUUUGCCUGGAGUUGGCCAGGUUCCAAUUGUCUGUUCUGGCAUGGCUUCUAUGGUUGGAUGCUCUUCCUAAAAUCAACCAUUUCACAGAGUGUUCUGGGUGCUUUUAUGUGAUACUGGCAUGGGUGCUUUCAGACUGGGCCUGGUGCAGCCAUCUGGCUUCCCAGACCCCAGCUGAACUGUCCAACCCAUGCUAGCAUGGAUGGCGGAUGCUAAACGAUGAUGAUGAUGAUGAUGAUGAUAUAUAUUGGAGCAUUGAAGUUAGCUUGAAGGAUUGUAGUACAGAAGUAGAAAAGGAGAAUAAAGAAAGCUUCUAACAAUGCAGAAAGUUUUACAAAUAAACCUUUAUAUUGGGCACAAAGACCUAUCUUCAGAAGGAAGUAGUCCAAGAAAUCAAUAUGCAUACACAUUUCUUGGACUCUUUCCUUUUGAAGAUAGGUCAUUGCACCUGAAAUAUAAAGGUUUCUAUAAAACAUGCUGCAUUGUUAGAAGCUUUAUUUAUUUUCCUUUUCUUUUUAGAUGUGUGUGUGUGUAUGUGUAUAUCAUCAUCAUAUAUAUAUAUAUAUAUAUAUAUAUAUAUAUAUAUAUAUAUAUAUAUAUAAAGAUCCUGGAAAGUCUAGCACCUAACUUUGUGAUUGAAAGCUAUACCGUCCCCCAAACUGGGCUUCACUGCAUAGUACCAAAGAUCACACUCUGUCUAUCUAAAAUAUAUCUCCAAUAAUGUAACAGCUUAGGGUUCACAGCUUUUCAGUACCUUUCAAAACCUUUCAGAGAUGUAUGAGACGUUGAUAUGGGUGUGCUGAAAAAAAUACUUAGAUGAAUUUUUAUCUGAGAUUUUACUUGAGCCCACAGCAUGACAAAAAAUGUAAAUAAGGGUGGCAUUGUACAACACUCUGAUUCACCAGAACCAAACAUAAUGUAGGGCUGUGGAAGUGAGAUGAAUUAAACUGGCAAUACAUGGUGGUGACCUAACAUAGUCACAGCCUCUUACUAAAACAAGUAUAAUUAAAAGUAAAAAGUGUAUGUAAUUAUAUAUAUAUAUAUAUAUAUAUAUAUAUAUAUAUAUAUGUUCAUGCCCAAUCCCUCAUCAGUUGUCAACCAAAUAUCAUCACAAUUUCAACACUUUCCAAUGUAUUUUAUGUAUUUUCCUUUAGUUUUCACUCUUAAUUAAUCUGUCCCACUUCAGUCUUGUUCAUGUCUGUAUAUGUGCCCAUCUUCACAUAUAUAUAUAUUCCUUUUUUAUUAAGUCUCAGUUCAUUUUCUCUCUGAAGAUGGAACAGGGUGGUAGAAAAAGAUUGGAUGGAUGCAACAUGCUAUGAACUGCACCAAUUAAACUACUAUUCUUGAAACAGCUGUUAGGAGAAUCUGCAUGUUUUUUUUUUCUUCUCUUUGACUUAGAAGGUUUUUAGCUGUGAUAACUUUUUCCUAUCAAACCAUGUCAUAUCUAUACUACUGACUCACUUGCUGCCUAUUUCUGGAGUCUAUCUGUUUACAUCACAACUAUUAAGAGUUUCCCAUAGUGGAACUUUUACUGACCUCCUGAAAUUUACUCUUUUAUGCAUUUGUUUUUCUCUAAAUAAAUAGGUGUGUUCAAAAGGUAUCCAACUUUAUUGUUACCCGAUGAAACUAAUGCUGCAUGAGCAAAAACCAGCACCGGUCUGUCGCAGUGUUACUCAUUUACAGCUGAGUGGAAUGGAGCAACAUGAAAUAAAUUGUUUUGCUUAAGAAUAAGACACCACCAAUUUGGGAAUUGAAACUAUGGUCUUGUGAUCAUGAGUGUAACACCCUAACCACUAGGCCAUACACCUUCACCAGAUGAAUAGAAGUUGGGGUGUGGCUUGAUAAGAAAUAUCAAUAUGAGUGAGGGAGGAGUUUGGAAGAAAGAGACAGGGAGUAGCUCAAGGAUGAUAAUUCAAGGAAUAAGAGAUGGGAACCGUGGGGAAGGAGAUGUGGCACACAAGGGAUAAAUGGAAUGAGUGGAUAUGUAAAGGGCACCCAGCCCACUUUGUGGAGUGGUUGGCAUUAAAAAGGGCCAAACCAAAAACAGACUGAGCUUGUUGCAACUCUCAGGCUUAUUGCUACAGUCAAACUGUUUUACCUGUGUUAGCAUGGAAAAUGGAUGCUAUUAGAUGGGUCUUUUUGAACACAGUAAAUCAAUAAUCAUUUUGGUCCUUUGAAAUCUACUCCUCAAGGCUUGGCAUCUUAAGAUCAGCUUUCAUCACCACUUUGUCUCAUCUCAUCUUGGGACUCUUUCUUAUUCAAGUUCCAGCCACUUUAAGCAAUCAACACUUCCUUAUGCAGCUGUCUUAAUCAAUACAUAACCACAUGGCCAAACCACCACAGCCUUCUGCUUUGUACACUAUGUCUGAUUCCUCUUAAUUAUAAUUGCUCUCUCAGUACAUUAGCACUUUGUCACACAUGCACAUUCCUGUUACACAUUCAGGAGAACAGGCAGUGUCAGUGUGCAUGUACAAAGUGCUAAUGUAUUGUGUGUGUGUGUGCAUGUAUAUAUAUAUAUAUAUAUAUAUAUAUAAAUAUAUACAUACACACACACACACACAUACACACUGUGUGUGUGUAUAUAUAUGUAUAUAUAUAUGUGUGUGUGCAUAUAUAUGUAUAUAUAUGUGUGUGUGUAUAUAUAUAUAUGUGUAUAUAUAUAUGUGUGUAUAUAUAUAUAUAUAUGUGUGUGUGUGUAUAUAUAUAUAUAUAUGUGUAUAUAUAUAUGUGUGUGUGUGUGUGUGUAUAUAUAUAUAUAUUUGUAUGUGUGUACAUGUAUAUUUGUAUGUCUGUUGUGUAUUUAUAAACACACAGACAUAUUUGUGUAUUCCUCCAUUUCCUCCACCCACUAUUCUUGGGAGGGUUGUGGCAGUAGAGUCCUCAGGUUCUAUCAGAACCCUAGGAAAGAAUUGCAUUUUCCGGCAGGAUUUCAGCUGCAACUAUGAAUAUUAUCCAACCAUCUCAUUUCAAGUGCUUAUGUAAUAAGUAGUUAUACACUUCUCUCUAAUUUCGCCAGUCAUUUCAAGACUGAGGAAUGCAGGUAAAUGUGUAACUACUUGUUACAUAACUAUUUGAAAUUUGUGUAUCAUUAAAUGUAUUUGCUUUGUCAAUAAUUGGUUUCUGUCAUUAUUCAUAUAUUAUGGGGCCUUUGUUUCUCACAAUCUAACCAGGUGUUUCCCAAUCUGGAUGUCAGGUAUGAGGAACUUCAGUGGGACUACAUAAAAAUUCAGGAAAGGGAGUGGGGCACAAGUCGGUGAAGGAAGAUAUGUAUUUGAAUUUUCUUGUUAUAUUUCACGUGUAAACACAGACAUUUUUAUUCUGAAGUAUAAUUCUAUAUCUUGUAAUUUAUAUUUGACAUUAUAUACUUGACUUUACAAGGUUGAUAUAUAUAUACUAAUUCAUAUUUAUAAUGUAUAAUUUAUAAAUUUUAAUUCUUAAUAUUACAAAGUAAAAUUUUUAUUUUUACCUUUUAAUUUUUUAAUCUUUAAUGCUUAAUUUUAUUGCUUAUUUUUUAAAGGGAUGUAAAAUUUGAUUUAUAAUAUUUUGAAAAAGAACCUGAAGAUGUGUUGGAAUAAUUGUAAAUCUGAUGAUUUACAUAUAUGUAUUUAUAUAUGUGUGUGUAUAUAUAUAUAUGUAUACAAUUGUGUGUAUGUAUAUAUAUUGUAAUCUUCUAAUACUGAAACACAUAUAGUUCUUCAUAUUUAAUUAAUUUAGUGUUAACUAAAGUAGGAGAUAAUUAAGGAAGUAUAGUAUAUACCCUGCUGGUAUAAAGGUUAUUAUUUCGUGAUAUGCAAAUGGAUACCAUGAGUUUACUUUCAGAUAUACUGAUGCUACUCUAUUUCUUCUUAAUAUUUUUCAAUUAGUUUGUAAUACUGUAAAAUUCACACUCAAAAACACAUUCACACAAUGCAUUAAUGCAUAUAACUUAAAUUCCAUCAUGACAGAAAAGAAAAUGGAUUCAUUUGACAGUUCAAUAAUAAUUUAUCGUCGAUGAAUAAAAUAUCAAGUUGGCAUUGAAAAGUUUUGUAUGAAUUAAAUAUUAUGUUAUUGCUUUGAACUUCAUACAUCUGGUAACAAUCUCUAAGAGUAAUUGCCUGCAUUGCUUCAUUGAACUUUUGGUCAGUGUUGUAAUGUUUCUGAUUAAUAAGCAGUGUGGAGAAGAAAUCCUAGCUGCCAAAUGUGAUGUAUUCUACUUUCCAGCUAUAUUUGAGAAGCUAAAUUUGUUGAUCAAACAUCAUCUAAGUAAAAAUAGAUAUCUUUUAUCCCCACUCAAAAUAGAUACCAUAGACAAACUCAUAUUGGUUUUUGGUGCAAAAUGCACGCUUGUUUAUAUCGCUAGUUGGGAGAUGAAUCCCUGCCAUCUCCAGUACUGGGAUCACCAAAUCCUGUGAUUUCGACCUUCCUUGGUUUCAUCAAUGAUGGAUGCUUGACCACUGGAGAUAGAUCUCCCCGCCAGUGAUAUAUAGAAAAACUGCCAAAACAGAUGCUGGUGUUGUGAUUAGUCAGUGAGCUUGUUAAAAGUGUGUCAAAUAUAUAUAUUUUUUACAGUAUUUUUAAUUUGUAAAGAGGCUACUAAUGUCUUUCUUGGAAGACUUAAUCUAUUUAGGGUACAUAUUGGAUGUAAGGAGUUGAUGCACUUCCCAACCCUUGCCACUGCAAGAGGUUGAUAAGGAACUGCAAGAGGUUGAUAUUGUAAUGUACAUUGAGCACUUGAAGAAAGUGCUCAGUGAUAUGGAGAUUAGGUUCAGAGAUCUUGGAAAUGAACAUUCCAAGUUGUGUGGUAGAUCUAUUUGGGAUGAAUGCAUCUAAUAUUGAUGUAAGACUACAAGAAAGCCUUAUUGGGUUGCAGAGUUAUUAAACUGCUCAAGAUUAAUUUAACCAUGGGUGCCAGAAAAAAAUAUUUAAAACAUAUAUAUAUUUAUAUGUUUGUGUGUGUCUGCACAUAUAUAUAUGUAAUAUAGAUAGAUAUACAUACAUAUAUAAAAACACACACACACAGGCUCUUAUAUCCUCCAAUGCUGUCAGCACAGUGGGCAACAAUCCUUCUUCAAACAUCCCAAUGUUUGCUUUCCUCUUAGCUCCACUUAGGCUGACUCCCAUCACUAUUAUGUCAUCCCAAAAUGCAAUGCAUCAUGUCUUCCUUGGUGUUCUGCUCAGUCUUUUCCUCCAUCUAGCAUCCAGUCUAUCACAAUUAUAUAUAUACUUGCUGGGCCUUACUUUUUAAACCUGGUAUUUAUUUUAUUGAUAUCCUUUUGCUGAGCAGGUAAGUCAUGGGAGCAUAAAUGAACCAAUGCUGGUUAUCAGCCAGUUGUAGGAGACAUGAAUGCGCUCACAUAGAUAUAUCUAUACCUGUGUAUAUAAACUACUGAAAACAGAACUAACGAGAUCCCUUGUUGACAAUCACUACAAUUGUUUCAAUACAUUCUUACAUCUGUAAUUCAUAGAUGAGAUAUUGAGCAGUCAUUGUCUUACAUACCAGGUGUAGAAUGUACCCCCUCAGCUGACUGUGUGAACAAGUUCUUCAUUAUAUAUACUUGUCGUUUCACUCAGUUUAAUAAUGCAUACCUAGAUUAGUAUUUCAUUCCAGCAGUUCACUGACAGAACUCAGUUCUGUCUAUCACCUGACAAGGUGCAUUCUAUACCUGAGAUGUAAUAUAAUGACUGCACAAUAUCUCACCUUUGAACUACAGGUGCUAGAAUGUGUUGAAACAAUUGUAGCGAUUUUUAAAUAAAGAAUCUUGUUACUUCCAUUUUCUGUCAUUUUUUCAUUUGAUAUAAUCUCUACAGAUUCUAUAGAAUUCCUGAAGUAUAUCCAAUAUCAUGUGCAUUUCAAGUAGCCAAUAACUGUGGACAAGCUUUGCACAGCAUUUUACAUGGGUUUUAUAUAUAUAUAUAUAUAAAAAAAAAACAAUCGAACCAUCCAACUCAUGCUAGUAUGGAAAAUGGACGUUAAACGAUGAUGAUGAUGAUGAUAAAUAAUAAGGGUGGCUUGUUAGCAAUUUUUCGGCUGAAAGGCAAAAGACUUCUUUCAGUUUCUCUCUACCAAAUCCACUCUCAAGGCUUUGGUUAGCCCAGGGCUAUAGUUGAAGAUACUUGCCCUGAUACAUAUGUGUGUAUAUAUAUAUAUAUAUAUAUAUAUAUAUAUAAUUCAGUUUUGGGGAUUGAUUGAUAUGUGGGUAUUCUAUUUCAGAUAAUACAAAAAAAAAAAAUAACCUCAUGAGUAUAUCUGAAAGUAAACUCAUGAUAUCCAUUUGCAUAUCAUGAAAUGAUAACUUUUAUUCCAGCAGGGUAUAUACUAUACUUCCUUAAUUAUCUCCUACUGUAGUUAACACUAAAUUAAUUAAAUAUGAAGAACUAUAUGUGUUUCAGUAUUAGAAGAUUACAAUAUAUAUACAUACACACAAUUGUAUACAUAUAUAUAUAUAUACACACACACAUAUAUAAAUAUAUAUAUAUGCAAUCAUCAGAUUUACAAUUAUUCAAACACAUCUUCAGGUUCUUUUUCAAAAUAUUAUAAAUCUAAAGUUUACAUCCCUUUAAAAAAUAAGCAAUAAAAUUAAGCAUUAAAGAUUAAAAAAUUAAAAAGUGAAAAAAUCAAAUUAUACUUUGUAAUAUUAAGAAUUAAAAUUUAUGAAUUAUUCAUUAUAAAUAUGAAUCAUUAUAUAUAUCAACCUUGUAAAGUCAAGUAUAUAAUGUCAAAUACAAAUUAUAAGAUAUAAAAUAUACUUCAGAAUAAAAAUGUCUGUGUUUAAAUGUGAAAUAUAACAAGAAAAAUUCAAAUACAUAACUUCCUUUUUUGCUGGUACCAGGAUUAGUUUUCAAAAUAUAUAUACACAUACAUACAUACAUGCAUAUGUUUGUAUGCGUGUGCGUGUGCAUUGUCCCCCACCUCUGUUUGACAACUGGUGUUGGUUUGUUUAUAUCUCUGUAAUUUAACAGUUUGGCAUAAGUGACUUGUAGAAUAAAUACCAGAUUUUGAAAAAAACAUAAGUACCGAGGUCAAUUCAUUUGAUUAAGCCCUUUCAAGCUGAUGGCCCAGCAUAGCUGCAGUCCAUUGAAUGAAUCAGAUGAAAGAUAUGAGAUAGAAUAGAAGAGAGAGAGAAAAUACUACUAGAGAAAGGGAGAGGAGGAAGAAAAAAAGAAAACAUGGAUGGAAGGAAGAAAAAUAGCAAGAAUAUAUGUUUGUUUGUAUAUAUAUAUGAAAGUUUGAUCUUGAAGUUAAGGGGAGGCUGGUAGCAAAUAAAAAUAACAGAAGGAUUGGACAACCAGAAAAGACAAGGCAUGUACUCACCGCAAAUUAGAAAUAAGGUAAAUUAGAUAGAUAUAAAGAACAAGGCUCAAAUAUACACAGUAAAGGCUGAUAAAUAUAUGGUACAGGUAUAUAAAGUGUAUAUAGAAGGAUUUUUUUUCUAACAAAGAGAAUGUGUUACUAGGGACCAAUAUGCAUGUAAAUGUAUAUAAUCAAAAAUUUGUGCUAAGAAAAUAUAUAUAUGUUCUAACACAAGGUAGUUUUGGUGAAUCCUUGUGCUGUAUAAUUUUAUAGAGAUUUGUUGUGUAAGGCUGGAAUGAUGUACAAAGGGAAAAGAAUGAAGGUACAAAGGGAAAAGAAAUGGAAACAAAGUUGCAAUUUUUAACUUGUAUGUAUAUUAAUACAUUCAUCACACAGGUAUAAAAAAUAAAUUUGUCCCAAAACAUUUUUUAAAUGGGUUGGGUGGGUCACUUUCCAAUAUAAUGAUUAUACUAAAAGUGUAAUCUUAUACAUAUAUACACACUGACAUGCAUAUGUAUGUGUAUGUAUAUAUAUAUAUAUAUAUAUAUAUAUAUAUAUAUAUAUAUACACACACACACACAUGCAAACACACACACAUAUAAAUAUAUGUACAUGCAUACAUAUACAUAAGAAACAUAUACAAAAAAAAUACAUACCCACGUGAAGCUAUUUCACCUUCAAUAAAGUAAUAUUUUACUCUACUUUUGGUAUUUGAGUACUGCUUUCUCUACCUUGUUUUGCACCUGUGUGCUCAUGUGUGUGUAUAUUGCUCCCUUUGUAAGUUUUGGCAGCUCUGUACAAGAGGAAGCAGCAACAGCUGAAAAAUGAAAAUACAUCUGCUGAAUUUUUAACUGAAAAAUAUUCUAAGUCCAUUGAAUAAACAAUAUUUUAAAAAUCUAAUCGUGGAAACAGUAUUCCAUCUACAGAAUGAAAUGACAAGCUUAUUUUUCUUGAUUGAAAACAUGGCAGGAUACUAACUUCAAAUAUGAUUUCAAGUUUAGAAAUAAUAAAAGAAAGUUUAUAUUUCAUGCCAUCAGAUAAAGACUAAAAACUUAUAUGCUGGCUCCUCUCUAAAUGUAGGGCAUUUAUAAGAAGGCAGACUAUGCUUUAUAUCAUUAAGUGAAUCUAGAAGCAAAAAGAAUUGUGACCAGCCUAAAUGUUAGUGAUAGCAUAGGGUGUCUAUCCCUGCUUGAGCCUUUCAUUACCUUUAAAGACCACAAAACUAAUUUUAGAAGAAACCCCAAAUGUAGAUUUGUUGUUCUGGCUAAAACUGACAUAGGAAUAAUUAAUAAAAAAUAUGUUAGAUUCCAUUGUUCGUAGGAUUAGUAACAGUAUACAUUUUCCUUUAUGAAAUAACAUCAUGUCUGUUAUAAACUGGUUUUAAGAGCAUUAGCAAUAAACAUAACUGUAGGUUUACUCAGUUUGACAUUGUGGUCUUUUACCUGUCAAUAACAAGGUCUCUACUGCUUAAAGCACUUACUUUUGCUGAAGAAUAUGUUCACAUAAGUGAGUCAGAAACUGAUAUCAUUCUGCACAUUAGGAAAUUCUGUUUUUUAACGACUUAACCUAAGUGUAGAAAAAUGCUUUGUUUGAUGUGUCUAUAGGACAGAGCAAAAUUAUGUAUGCUUAUAGGCAUAUAUAUUUAAUACCGUUUACAUAUAGAACUCCCCCUUCUUUAUGGACAAGUCUAUACAGGGAUCAUGAUAUUACCUUAUUGCCACCUGUAAUACAAAUGGCAUGAGCUUGAUAGCCUUAGGAAGAAUCUUAUCAUAUUUUAUCAUAUGGGCUUAAAAAUUACAGUUGACAUAAAUCUUAGUGUUAACUUUUUAUAUAUCAACUUAGAUUUGCAGCCUAACCCUUUUAAACCUUAUUGUAAGUCUAAUGAAAAGCUGUGCUCUUUUAGUAAGUGUUCAAAUCAUCUGUGCUAUAUUCUCAAACAUCUGCUUAGUAAUAUGAGCAAGUGAUUUUCCUCCUUGUUAUCAGACAGGGCAUCUUUUAAUGGUGUGUCCUUGUACUACGAUUUUGCACCCUUUGAUAUAUGUUUGAUAUAUAAGCAAUGCAACAUGAUAGAUGGUUUUCCAUAGAUCAAUGAUCCCUUUUUGUCCAUUUUCAAAAUUAGUUAUAGCACAUCUUUUAUUGUUUUACUGGCCUUUAAUUCUUCUAUUUCUCCAAGAUGGUAUUUUGCAAUACAGUUCUACAUUUAAGAGAUGAGGAAUUAUGUACAUUAUUUACAUUUGAGGGAUAUUUUUCCCCAUCUUGUUUGUUGUUAACACGUUUCGGCUGAUAUACUCGCCAGCCUUCUUCAGGUGUCUUGGGGAAAUUUUGAACCUGGGUUCUCAUUCCUAAGGUAUUUUUCGGUGUUAUUAUUAUCAUUGUUAUUAUUGUCAUUGUUCAGGUCACUGCUUGGAAUUGAACUCAGAAUCUUGGGGUUAAUAGCCCGCGCUUUUACCCACUACACCAUAUCUUAGACCACGGUCAUAUGGCAUAGUGGUUAAGAGCGCCGGCUGCUAACCCCAAGAUUCCAUGUUCGAUUCCAAGCAGUGACCUGAACAAUAAUAAUAAUAAUAAUAAUAAUAAUAGUAGUAGAUCCACAUUUGAAACAGAUACAACUUUGAUUUUGACUAAUCGGUUAAGUGAAUAUGAUCAAAAGAAUAAACAUUCAUUUAACAAGGCUGGUCAUUGUGACAUUAAUGUUAGAGAAGGCAUUCAUUGUAAAUUCAAUGAAUGGCUUCCCAUGCCAAAUAUGCAGCUGUUUACAUUGUGUGCGCGUGUAUGCAUAUGAAUUCUAUCUUUCAUUCCUUUGUCUCUGUCAGGUUUUCCAUGCUAGAAUGGGUUAUGAAUAUAUUAUUAAGUCAUAUUUUUACAGCUGGAUGCUACACACACACACAUACACACAAAAUGUUAAAUCACAAUGAGUAUGCUUGUAUCGGAUAUCAUAUCCACCAAUGUUCAUCCUAAUACACAAAAAAUUGUGUUCAUAAUUGUUGCUGUGAAGUGAUUAAGAAAUUAAAAUUGACUCUACAAUGCAGCUCUAUUUAUAUUUUGACAGUAAUGUUUACUAUAAAUAGAUAUUAUUUAUGCCCAGAGACAUUACUAUUUAUGUCCCCUAAAAAUUACUCACAAAACUUCAGCUGGCAUGAUUUCCCCUAAAAAUUAAUCACAAAACUUCAGCUGGCAUGAUUUCAAAUCAUUUUCCGCUUUCAGGAAAUCUAAAAAUCUGUGUUUUGUUUUUUUAAAUCUAUUAAAACUAUUUGGGGGCAGACCCUGAAUAUCUGAUGUUUAUAAGAAAAUUCUAAACUCCUAAAAAGAAAAAGGAAAGGUUACUUGACCCUCAAGCAUUUAAACUGGCCUCUCACACCUACCCUACAAUGUCAUUCUAAAAAUAUACAGUCACAUCAUUGAAAUCUCAAAGCUAUGAGUUAAUUCAAAAUGAUGUUAAUAGAUAUUACAUUUGACAAAGUAAUCUGAAUGCUAAAGGGGUUAAUAAAAUAAGUACUGCACUAACUGAAUAGUAAAAUUUAAUAUAGACUUAUUUAAGUACAUUGAGAUUAUGAAAAUUGCAUGGUUUGUUCACUAACACUGAUCUUUCAGCAUUUAAACAGGUCAUAUCUGGCCCAAAUAUUCUACUUGUUUUAUGUUCAAACUGGCCAGAUCCAGACUCUCACAGCUACCCUACCAUGACAUUCUUAAAAUGAACAGGCAUAGGCAUGAUUGUGUGUUAAGAAGUUUGCUUCUCAGCUACGUGGUUCUAGGUUCAGUUCCGCUGUGUGGCACCUUGGGCAAGUGUCUUCUGCUACAGCCUCAGGCUGACUAAAGCCUUGUGAUUAGAUUUGGUAGACGGAAACUGAAAGAAGCCUGUCCUACCAGCGCUGAUGUGUUUACAUCCCCAUAACCUAGUAAGUAUCAGGCUUAAGAAAAGAGUAAGUACUGGGGUUGAUACAUUCAACUAAAAAUUCUUAAAGGCAGUGCCCCAGCAUGGCCACAGUCUAAUGACUGAAACAAGUAAAAAAAAUAUAAAAGAUAAAAGAUACCACCAAAAUCUCAAAGCUACAAGAUAAUGCAUGAUUAAUUCAAAACAAUGUAGAUAAAUAUGCAUUACAUUUUAGAAAGUAGUCUGAAUGCUAAAGGGUAAAGGCAGGUGCAUUUUACAGCCUAAACCAGUAAAGUUCACUUUUGAAUUUGCUUGUUGUUUCGUUUAAGAUUUGGGAACUCUUCCAUUGUAUUUUGUACAGCUGUUAUAUAUCUGGCUAAACACUCCUCUUUUUGUACAUCAUAAUAUAAAACAAGAGUCAGCAUGUAUUAAUGUACACAAGAGAUAUUUUUUACUAGGAUUUCAUUGUCUGUAAUUAGUGUACGUUAUAUAUGAGUGCAAACUAUACACACGUAUAAAUGUGUGUGCGUGUGUGUAUCAUCAUUGUCUAACAUUCAGUUUUCCCUGCUUGCAUGGGUGAGAUUUUCUAUGGCCAGUUCUCUUCCUGUUUCUAACCUUCACCUGUUUCCAGGCAUCAUAUCCUCCAUGGACAGAAUGCUUGUCAUGCAAGACUGGAAAUGAGCACUAUUUUUAGUAUGAUGUCUAUUACCACCAGGUGGAUGAUAUAUGUGAGUGUGUGUUAUGUAUAUAUGUGUGUAUGUGUAUACAUAUUUCUCUCUCUCUCUCUCUCUCUCUCUCUCUCUCUCUAUAUAUAUAUAUAUAUAUAUAUAUAUAUUAUAUUAAAUUGGAGAUAAAACCACUAUUAGGCAAAUCAAACAAUGAAAAACUUAAGCCAAUACAUAAAAUUAAUUUAAAUUAUUUUAAAUAUAUAUCAAAAGUAUUAAAAGAUUAAAAGAUAAUGAUUAAAACACUACGAUCGUUUCAUGGCUGUCCAAUUCGUAAUAAUUCGAGUUAUGGUUACAGUCAAUCUUCAGGUGAUUGAAUUAUUCUUUCUCUUCUUUCUCAUGUAAAUUGCAUAUUUCAUGUCUUCAUUUUCUCAGACUGGUCCAAAACAACAACAGCGAUAACAGCAAUAAUCUUCCUCUUUCUCCCCACUUAAACUUUUCCUUUCACAAAGUAUUAUUUGCCGUUCUACCUUGAUCUGUCACGUCUAUACUGUUGUUGUUAUUAGGGGUAAUGAUGUUUCGGAUCUUUUCGGUUUGAACGGCAGUUUUUUCUAGCGGUGUCAUAUGAAAUUUUCCCCCAUAAUUAUGACCCUAGUAUUGAUCUAUUGCAUUUCAAUCUGUUUUAGGGUUAGGGUUAGGAGUGGGGCGAAGGGUAUCUUUUUUUCUUCAGAAAUGUAAAUAAACCCAAUAUAUAUAUAUAUAUAUAUAUAAAAUCUAGUUCAAAUUUACAGAAAACAAAAGGCAAAGACAGGUGAAGGAACAACAAGCAGGUGUAUUAGUUUAAUGCUCAGGAAGAAGGGAAAAAUCUUUGAUGUUUCAAGCCCAUGCUCUUUGACAGAAAAGGAUUAAGAGGAUAAAAAACAGAGAGAGGAAAAAAUGUAUUAAGGAUUAACAGUUCGACAUGAUGAAAUUUAUAUAUAUAUAUAUACUCUUUUAUUUGUUUCAGUCAUGUGACUGUGGCCAUGCUGGAGCACCACCUUUAGUCAAGCAAAUUGACCCCAAGACUUAUUCUUUGUAAGCCUAGUACUUACUCUAUCGGUCUCUAUUGCUGAGCCGCUAAGUUACGGGGAUGUAAACACCAGCAUUGGUUGUCAAGCGAUGUUGGGAGGACAAACACAGGCACACAAACAUAUACACACAUAUAUAUAUACAUAUAUACGACGGGCUUCUUUCAGUUUCCAUCUACCAAAACCACAAGGCUUUGGUUGGCCUGAGGCCAUAGUAAAAGACACUUGCCCAAAGUGCCACGCGGUGGGAUUGAACCCGGAACCAUGUGGUUCGUAAGCAAGCUACUUACCACACAGCCACUCCUACGCCUAUAAUAUAUAUAUAUAGAUUCAUAGACUCAUGUAGCUAUCACAGAAAGCUCUCCAGUGACUUAGCUAAGAGACCACAUAGUAAUCUAAUACAGAGGUGUACGAUGCAGAAUGUCCAUGCAGCUGAAAUCCAGGAGAUCCGAUCAGUGAAUUUAUUUCAUUUGAUAAACCAUAAAAGGUCAGGAGGUAUGAGAGGUGAAUAUAUUUAUUUAACCAGUUGUUAUCCUUAGGAUUAUGGCCAUUUUGCAGCCUUCGUCAUGCAUUAAUAAUGUUGGUGUAUAAUAAAUUAUGUUUAGAGUUGAAGAAUUUGUUUAACCACGAUUUUCUGGUGAUUUGUAUAGCUAGCCUUCUAUAUCUGCAUUGAUUUGUAAUUGUAGUGUGCAUUGUGUAGCAUACAUAUUGGUGCCGACACAUAAAAUUAUAAAUUAUGCACUGAAAUUAUUAUUACAUAAUGAAUACUGCGAAACAGCCAUAAUCCUACAGAUAUCAAGUGGUUAAAUAUAUUCAUCUCAUAUACCACCUGACUUGUUACUUUUUAUGGUCUAUGCACUCCUCACGACAUAUAUAUAUAUAUAUUAGUCAGCUCUGACCAAAUUGACCUAUAAUCAAAGGCAUUCCAGCCAUGAUUAGCCCUUGUGUACACGAGGGAGAGACCAGGAGCCAAAUUGUACAACAUAUUUUUAAAGAUAGUAUUGUGUGAUUUGAAGGAGAUUUGGCUGCUAUUUCUACCACACUGAGUGCCCACAUAGAGGCUCAUUUGGUUACUGUAAGUUUCAUUCUCACUGAUUGCUCUUGUCCCAUACCAUCUGAUCUACUCUACCCUCCACCCCCACUGAUGUCUUUCUUUGUUCCACCCCUUAAUCUGCCAGAGGAUGGGUUCUUUCAUUACCUUUUUUUAAUGAUCUGUAUAUCUUACUUAACAUGGAUUUAUAGUAAGGGCAUACACCAUACUGGGGUAUUCAUCUCAAGAAGGCAUCUUGCUUAGACAUAUAAUGCUAAAAGGCACAAAAGUAUCAGUGGCAGACAAAAAGUAUCCAGCAGCGACAGUAGAAUUGGGUAUUGACACUUUUCAUCUGCCAUUGAUACUUCUAUGAUUCUUAGCACCACUAUACAUCUGUAUGAUAUGUCUUUUCAAGAUGAAUACCACAGUACCGUGGCUUUCUAACAUUAUAUCCAUGUUUAGUUAGAUAUACAGAUUGCUAUUCUGAACAAAUACUGCUUCUACUGCUACUCACAAUUUUUUGCCUUCUUUAGUAUUUUACUGUCACAAGAAUGGGAGGAAAGAAGUACCUACAACUAUUAUCUUCAUGCUGUAGUGUUGUUAUUAAACUCUAGCUUAGCCUUGGUUAACACAUAAAGUGCAACGGGCCAUCAGGCACAGGUCGACAGGCCACAAUCAUGGCCCAGAUAGAUGCAUUUAAUUUAUGGACGUUUGUUGGGGUCUAAUGUCACUCAAAUAUUCUGAGCCCCCCCUCCAGAAUGCAAGAAGACUAAUAGUUCAACUAAUGACUUUUCAGGUGAUGUAAAACUUGUUACCAUUAUAUACUAAGAAGAUAUUUUAAAUAUUUUUUGCUUUUUAUGUGUGCAUGGUGGUCUCAUUGUCAUAAAAUGUACUCAGCAGUCCAUGCUAUGUAACUGCAAAUCCCAGCGCUUUAUGGCUUAAGAAAACAUAAGUUUAAAAACAGUACCAACUGGUAACCAGCCCAUUUUGAUUCAACCAUUAUUUAUCCAAGACCUCUUUGUUCAUUGUGUUUUAAAUUUUUUCUCAUGCGCGCACACACACACACACACACACACAUAACUGGCACUUGUGCAUUUUGGGCAAGUGUCUUCAACUAUAACCUUGGACUGAUCAAAGCCUUAUGAAUGGGUUUGAUAGACCAAAACUGAAAGAAGUCCUUCAUGUGUGUGUGUGUCCCUCACUAUUAUAUGACAGCUGAUGUUGGUUUGUUAAUGUUCCCUUAGUGGUUCAGCAAAAGAGAAAGAUAGAAUGGUUCAGAUUGUAAAUAAAAUAUACUGAUGUUCAUUUGUUUGACUAAACCCUUCAAGGUGGUGCCCCAGCAUUGCCACAGUCCAAUGACUGAAACAAGUUAAAAAUACAGGAUAGAAGAUGUGUGUGUAUGUUGCUUAUUAUUAUCAUUGUUGUUGUUGUUGUUGUUGUUGUUGUUGUUGUUGUUGUUGUUGUUGUUGUUGUUGUUGUUGUUGUUGUUGUUGUUGUUGUUGUUGUUGUUGUUGUUGUUGUUGUUGUUGUUGUUGUUGUUGUUGUUGUUGUUGUUGUUGUUGUUGUUGUUGUUGUUGUUGUUGUUGUUGUUGUUGUUGUUGUUGUUGUUGUUGUUGUUGUUGUUGUUGUUGUUGUUGUUGUUGUUGUUGUUGUUGUUGUUGUUAAGGUGGUGAGCUGACCAAAAUGUUAGCACACUGGACGAAAUGCUUAGUGGUAUUUCACACGUCACUACAUUCUGAGUUCAAAUUCCACUGAGGUCGACUUUUCCUUUCACCCUUUCGGGGUCGAUAAAAUAAGUACCUGUUGAACACUGGGGUCAAUGUUAUCAACUUAACCCCUCUGCUAAUAUUGCCGCCCUUGUGGCAGAAUUUGAAGCGAAUAUUGUUAUAUGUGGAGGGAUGCCUGUGUAGUUCCACUACUAUUUGGUUUCAAGUUCAGUCCCACUGUGUGGCACUUGGAUGGUUGUUUUCUAAUAUUAUCUUAGGCUGACCAGCAUCUCCUAGAGUAGAGGCAUGCAGCCCCCCCCCCCCACUGUUUAAAUCGUCCAUUGCUCAUCCAAUGUCAACUAAAUUUAACCGAAAUCAAUAUUCAAUCAGAAAUUUAAUACAGACACUAAAUAAAAGAAAAGAAAAAGAGCAAAUAAUAAAAUAUCAUUAGUAAUAUCUGAAGGGUAAAAAUAUCGAAAAAGAGACAAAUUAGUGUGAUUUUGAUAAAAUUUGUGAUAAAUGUCACCAUGACCCACUAAACAUUUUUGUGUAGUCCACUUCUAGACUAUAUUGGCUACCUUGUGCAUCACUGAUAUAAAGUACCAUUGAAGGUUUUAUGUCUUUCUCUAUACAAUGUAUUUAGCAUCUACAGCUUUUCUCUCUCUCUCCCCACCUCUCACUAUCUCUCCAUCUUCUUUCUUCCAGUUCUUUUUCUCCGUCCUGUCUCAGUUUCUCUUUCACUCCCUUCCUCUCUCACAGACCAUCUAUGCAAGCAAUAGUUGCGUGUGUGUGACAUUAGUGCUGACUACUAGUUGGCAGGUGUUGAGUUCAAAUCCACUUGCUGAGCCUUAAAACAGGCAACCAAACCAAGCACCAAAUUCUGCAUUGUUCCUUCCAUUGCUAUCCAGGACACAAGUUGUAGAUUGGUGUAGGUAUUUCACCUUCAUUGGUUUUCUCUCAAACAAAUAGAAGAUUUGUCCCUCCCAUUUCUAUUAAUACUACAUAACUGUCUGUCCUUCUAAGAUUUUUGCUGAUUUUGGAGAAGGAUGGAUACUCCUACACUGUCUCCCCUUACUCCAACACAGUACUGUAUGUGUGUGUGUGUGUGUGUUUUAUAUAUUAUUUUCUAUGUUUAUAAAUAUUUAUGUAUAUGCAGCCCCCCUUUUGAUUGGAGGGGAAUAUUAGCCUGCUCACCCAGCCAGUGGGCUGAUGUUGUUUGAAGGCUAAAACAAUGCAAAGUGCAUUGUGACCAGCAGUGUGUAACAACAUCUGAUAGUCUGAUUGGUCACAUGAUCAUGUGAUAUAUAUUCAUGUAUUUAUAUGUGUGUGUGUGUGUGUGUGUGUAUAUAUAUAUAUAUAUAUAUAUAUAUAUAUAUAGAGAGAGAGAGAGAGAAAUAUGUAGAUAGAUAGAUAGAAAUGGCAAGAUAACAAAAGAAUGAAAGCGACCUCGAUAUUAUGUAAAUAGAGGAAUUUAUCUGUAAAUAUAAUAUGUGACAAUUAUUCAUUCAGUAGCCGUGAUAAAACUCUGACAUCCGAAACUCAGAGUUUUAUCAUGGCUACCAAAUAAUUGUCACAUAUUAUAUUUACAGAUAUAUACAUGUAUAUAUAUAUAUGAACAGGUGCACUGUGUGUCAGGUGUCAAAGUGAUCACAGAGCGACAUGAGAUGAAGUGUUUUGCUCAAGAACACAAUGCACCACCUGGUCUAGGAAUUGAAACCACAAUUGCUAGAUCGUGAGUGCAACACCCUAACUACUAGGCCAUGCACCCUCACAUGUGAGCUUUGAACAUUUGAUCACUAUAAACAAAUUGUUCGUGCAGGUUGUUUGGCAAAAGCUGAAUAUUCGUACAUGAUCUUCGACUGGGGGUGAGGUCAUAUAUAUGUGUGUGUGUGUGUGUGUGUGUGUAGUCUGAUCAGUAAGUAUCCGGACUGUUGCCAUAGUAACAAAGCUAAAGCAUGACAAGUGAAUCAGCUUGGUACAGAUUACCUUUUAACUCUGCUGUGCAUGCACACUAUGUUUUAAUGUUCUAGCUCACUUCUACUGUUUAUAGCAGUGCUUGGAAGGAAGGUGUGUAGCAUGUGAUCAUCACAUUGACCAUGACAGGAAGUUGAGAGGAGAAUUUGAAUCAAAUUUUGCCAAAAGCUUGGUGAUACCUACUCAGAGGUCUAUGCAAAGUUUUCAAAAAUCUUUCAUUGUUCUCGACACAAUCAAGGAGAUCUUAUGUAAUUGAAACUUGAGUGUCUUCUUGGUGAGGUGAAAGCAGUUUUGGCAUAAACUUGGCAGACAUGCAUCUCCUACCAAAAUCUUCAGUGAUAAUGGAUUGAACUGAUCUGCACAUCCUCUGAUAAAUCACUGAUGGUGAUUCAGCGAUUUCUCCUCACAGCUGCACGCACAUCUACAAUGUUUUUCUCAGUUCUGCUGGUCGUGGGUCUCCCAGAACAUUUGUCAAUAUCAAUAUCUUUCAGACAUUUUGGAAAUGUCUGAAACACUCAUACACUUGUAUGUGGCUCAUACACUUGUAUGUGGCUCAUACACUCCUCUCCAUACUCUUUCUGCAACUUUGUGUAGGCCUCUGAGCAGGUAACACCAUGACAACUUUCUGUCAUGGUCAAUGCAAUGAUCACACACUACACACCUUCCUACUAAGCACUGCUGUAAGCAGUGGAAGUGAGCUAGAACAUUCAAACUUAGUGCACAUGCACAGCAGAGUUCAAGGUCAAUUUUUGCCUAGUGGCUUUCCUCUAUGUGCUUUAGGCUUCGUUAUUAUGGCAACUGUACAGAUAUUUAUUGAUCAGACUGCAUAUAUAUAUAUAUAUAUAUAUAUAUAUAUAUAUAUUUAUACACAUAUAUAUAUAUAGAGAGAGAGUGUGUGUGUGUGAGUGGGCACUUUGGAUAAUGACUUUGAUGCACUAUGUCUGAAAAUAAAACUAGAUGGUCAUGGCUGUAAUAUGUUUGACCACAGGUCUGCUUUAUCAAGACUGACCUAGAUCUGGAACCACAAGACAAUAUAUAAAUUUGCCAGUUUAUUGUGUUUUCACAGCAUAAAACUAAUAGUAGCUCAUAUUUAAGUACUGUUUAUCUCUCUAUAUAUAAACGGCAGUUUGUCUGUCUGUGUGUCUGUGAGGUUGUACCCUCACCCUGACCACGGCUUUCAACCAAUUCUGAUGAAACUUGACACACACAUAGCCCAAUGUCAUAAUUAAAAACUAACGCAGCGAAAAUUUUGAAAAGUUCCUCCAGUUCUGAAAAAUAUCGAUAAAUUUGACUGGGGUCGAGAAUCUAAGCUUUUUAUAUGCAAUACAUUUUCUGUUGUAGUUUUCGCAACUUGCAAUCAAGUUUCACCAAACUCAUGGUGAAGCUUAAUGUUACCCUAAGAAACUUAAUUCUGAGGUUAGUUUUCCAUGCAAUACCUUACCAUCAGAAAAAAUACACAGAAGUAUUCGAGUGAAGAGAAGACAUUGCAACCUACACAUGCACCUUUGUUCCCUAGAGGGAAAGGACUAGAUUGAGAUUAGUCGUUGCCUACUAGGGGCUCUUACAUAUCCGGACAACGCCGGGCUAUGCUGCUAGUUUUAAAUAUUUAUCUCUCACUGGAUAGAGUACUUUUUCUUUUGUGACCCCCACUGCCACCACCACCACCACCAUUAUGUUGGGGUUGUGAAGGGAAUUUAGCUCUGUUGCAAGCUAAACAGCUAUGUAGUUAUUGUUUCAUUUCUGUUCUUAUUGCUAUAUGAUACUGUUGUUGUUUGACCCUUGGUCAUUUCUGAUUGCACAUUCUUGCUGUUUUAAGGAUAUCUAUGCUCCAAACUGUUGAGAAGUGUUUCCCUAAGUGGGCAGUGCUGCUCCCUUGAGGGCAGUGGAAAGAUCUAGGGGCAUGUUGAGAAGAAAAGUAGGGUGAUUAUGGGGUGAUUAUGGACGUAAAACCCCACAAAAUAAUGUUUUAUUUAUGAAAUACAACAGUUUUGAGUUUGCUGCAGAAAGUGGUCUAUGUUUGUUGUGUUGAGUGUUUGGGGUGGGGAGGGUGCUAGGAAUGUGGCCUGGGUAGCUUGAAAAACUUUGGGAAGCACUGCUGUAGGGUGUGACUUCAUGAAUUGGCUGCUAUUUCUAGCAGAUCUGGUGACCAUGUAAAAUCUUCUUUGUUGGUUUAUGUUGUUAUUAUUGUUACUGUUAUUAUUCUUCUCACUGUCAUUGUUGUUAAUAUGUUGCUGUCAUUGACUUCGUCUAUUAUUACAUUUUGUUGUUUUUGUGUUUGUUAAUGGUUGCUUUUUUUUUGUUUCUGUUUUUUUUUUAGCUAUUGUGUACUGUUUUUGCAGCCAUUAAUGUUUACCAUUUUGUGACCAUUCACUGUCUCAAAGGCUUUUACUGUUUGCUGUUGUUUGGGCUAUUAAUGUUUUUUAGAUUUUCAUGGUAACUGUUGUUUUCUGUUUUUGUGGCUAUGAAUGUUUUCUGUUUUUGUGACUAUUUACUGUUUUAGAGGCUAUUAAUGUUUUCUGUUUUUUAAGCUAUUAAUGCUUGCUGUUUCUCUUGUGAAUAUUUGUUGUGUUUAUGGUUAUUGUUUGCUGUUAGGGGGCUGCUAUUGCCUGUUGCUUUGUGUCUAUUUGUGUUUUGCACUUAUAUCAAUGUGUCACUAUAAUCUCGUGCUUGCUGUGACUUGGGUGCUGUUUUUGUAACCACAAUUUUUGUGAAAAUGUAUACUGUUUUUGUGUCACAAAUCUUUGUUGUUUGUGUGUCUCUUUGCUGUUUCUGUUUUUUUCUGACUCCUGCUCAUUGAUUUCCUUUACUAUUAUUUACUGUUUCGCUAAUUAUUGUUUACGGGUUUUGUGAACAUUUUCUAUACGUCUUACUAUUAAUGUUUACUAAUGUCUGCUUAUCAGUGCUAUUGUUUCUGUUUGCUGCUAUUGCAGCUAUUAAUGGCUCUCGGUGAUGAUGCACUUUCUAUCACCAUUUUAUGCUGCUUUUUCCUAUUGUUAUUUACUACAUAUAUCAUUGUUAUUGGUGUUGCUGUUAUUGUCACAGCUACUGUUAUAGGUGUUUGUUGUUGUGGUGCAAAUAUUUUCUGUUAUUCUUGUUACUGCAACGACUACUGCACUUAAUGGUUGCUGUUGUUCUAAAUGUUUGUUGCUGCUGGUAUUAUUGUUGAUGAUGCUGUUUACUGUUUCACUGGUGCUGCUGUUACUGCAACAGACACUGGCUGCAUAAUUCAGCCCAGACAAAGCAAUCGACCCGUCACUUCUUCCCCAGAAGACAAAUUUGGUUACCUGAAGCUGCGAUACUGCACAUGACGUAACAUCAUUGCAGACUGUUGCUGCAGUGUUCAUACACACACACACACACACACACACACAUACAUAUACACACACACAUUUAAAUAAAUCAAAAACAUUCACACACUCAAAUACAGACAUACAUUAUAAACACCCAUUUAAAUACAUAUAUCACAAUCAUUAAAUGUGCACACACAAAUAGGCACCUGUGCAUGUGCACACACAUGCACACCAAUACAUAGUCAUAUACUGCACAUACUUAGAUGAAUACGGACAUGUACUGCACUUAAUCAUAUACAUAUUUGCACAAAUACAAACAUACACACACAUACUCAGAAACAAAUAUAAUCACCCUCUCUUUCUUUCUCUCACUCAUUUACUUUUUCUCUCUCUCCCUCUCCUGUGCUCCAUUUGCUCCUCCCCACUCUCCAUACAUUAAAUAGAUUUUAUUAAAAUUUUAAUACUUAUUCCAUUCUCUUAACACUGUUAUCAUACAUUGAUUCAAACUUAUUUCUCUCUAUUUCUUUUGUCUGUCUGUCUGUCUCUCUGAUUCUCUACCCCCUUCUCUCUCUCUCUCUCACCCUUUGUCUUUCACUAGAUUUUCUUCGUAAUCAUGAUAUUAUGAUUUUCUCUCUCU